GCCUGAAAAAUUAAACAUAAGGAGGGUGAGUAUAAAAAUACCCAGUAAGAGACCCUCUACUGGUCCCGUCAGGGGAAAAUAAAUUGUUAACAUUCUAUUGGGACACCCUGUACAGUCGCAGUCUUGUGAUCCCGUAGGAUGCACAUUUCAGUCUAACGCCCCGUGGGACGUACAUUUCAGUCUAGUGUUCUGCAGAAACACAUAUCAGUCUAAUGCUCCCGAAGGUCGCAUAAAAAUUGGUGAUCCCGUAGGACACCUACAAGGCAUACAUCCCAAUAAAACUAACAAUUUUUCCCCUCAAUCCAUUCUAACCAUCUUUACGGUAAUUUAUGACAUCUUUCAGUUACUUCAAAAUAUAAAGUUCUUUCACUCAACAUUCUAACAGUCAACCUAUCUCACUUAAGUUCGAAGGUCGUUGAUAACAUUUUAAUACAUCUGUCAAGUAAACAACAAAGUCACAACACCCCUCAUUUUUACCAGCGCAAACCACAGUUCAGUAUAAUCCACAUUCAACCGAAAAAUUCACUAGUUCACAUCCAAAUCUUUAUACAGCACAAUCUAUUAAUAUCAUCAUGUACACAUAAGCAUAAUUUCAGUCAUUCACAUGUAUACUUUCGGCAAUCCACAUCAAUUCACACAUCAAUGUAUUUAUAUAUAUGUUUCCAGUCAAAUACAACAUACACUAAACAUUUAGUCUGCAACCAAACGUGUACAUCUUAAUCAUCAUCCAUACAGUCCAACACAACUCAAAAACUUUAGGUGAGUCCAGUAGAAAGUCCCUUACCUCAAAGUUAGGGAAGCUCCCUUAAUCAACUAUCGUCCACGAAACAAUCCAAAUAAGGGCAAACCGAAAUCAAAAUUCACAAAUUGGUUGUGAAUUUAAGUGAUCCAAGGUUACCUUUCACACCUUCAAGAAUAAUUUAUCAAAUUAGUCAAUUAACCCAUCCGUAACGUUUGAACACCUUGAAAACAUCACAACCCAUACUUAAAUUGUUUUGAAAACGACUACAAUUUCAUAACUUCAAUCUUACCAACAAUACUUCGACGGAUCUCAGUAAAAAUAGGGGCAGCGGCAAUCGAUUCUAAACAAAAACCAUCGUGCAAACAGAUUAGAGUGUACGUCGGUUUGUGAAUCGCGGUUAGAAGAAAAAACACGUUGCUGGAAGAAGAGGAAACGCGCGGCUAGAAGGAGGCGUGCGCGCUGCCUCAAAAUCGAUCGACGAUCUGACGCGGCGACUGGGCUUCACGAACGGAAGAAGAGAGGAAAGGAAUGGACGACGGCUGGACUUGGCUUCGACGGAGACAGAGGUCACGCGGCGGGGCUGGGCAGAGGGUCACGCGGCGGUGGGCGGAGGCCAUGGAUCUGAACGGCAAGGGAAGGGGAGAAGAUGAUGGUCGGCUGGGUUAGGGUACAGGAAAGAGAAGAAGAAAAAGAUGGAGAGAGGGUGUCACACGCGUGAGAGAGGGGAGAGAGGAAAAAGAUAUUUUAAUUUCUUUUUCUUUUCCUUUUUUUUAUGCUAAUUAUAAUAAUAAUAAUAAUAUAUAUUAUUAUGAAAGACUUUUCCAACACUUUUUUUUUUCAAGACAAAACAACAAAAUGACGUCGAACAAAAAUUAAGAGUAAAAACAUCGAAUGGUCCGAUUAAAUUAAUUACCUUAGAGUUUGGGGUGUUACAUUAUCGCACAACUUCUUUCGCGAACUACCCACUUAUCGCAAAAAAGUAUACUUAACCGUAAAAGAUCUUAUCACUUAAUCUUUCCAUGGAUUUAUUUGAACACCAACUUCUUAAUUCUUAGCCGAAUUUUACUUCCUUACUCAAAUUAGAAAUGGGUCGCACAACUUCCUUCGCGAACAACCCACUGAAUCGCAAUAACGUAUACUUAACCAUAAAUUUUUUUAUCGCUUAAUCCUUUUCGUUGAUUUAUUCAAACGCCAAAUUCUUAAUACCUAGCCAAAUUUUACUUCAUUACUCAAAUUAGAAAUGGGUCUCACAUUUAGAGCCUAUCGCUUCUUUAAGAUACAUGAUCUUACCGAUUCAGAGAAAUUAACCACAGGCGUUAUUAGUUUUGAUGAUCUGGCAUUGGAUUGGUACCAAGCACAAAAGAGUUGGAAGUUUUUAAGAAUUGGGCUGACCUGAAAGAACGAAUGCUUGUACAGUUUCGAUCAAUUCGAGAAGGAACUUUGGUUGGAAGAUUUUUCUCAAUCAAACAGAAAAUGAAUGUAGAAGAAUACCGCAACCGAUUUGAUCGAUAUUUAGCUCUGGUAGCAUUUCUUCAAACGGUAGUGUUAGAGGAGACUUUGAUGAUUGGGCUUAGCCCAUGAACAAAAAUGGAAGUGGAAACCGUGGAACCGAUUGGGUUGGCCCAGAUGAUGAAAUUUGCGUUGAAGAUUGAGAAUAAGGAACUAGUGAGAAAAGAGUGUGGGUUGAGCAGUGCAUUUCAUGUAAAACUGCAACUCACCCUAUCUAUUGUGGAAAACAACAAUACAAUGAUGACUAAGGAAGAAACCAGCAAUGGAAAGUCUGCUGAUGAGAGCUAUCACCCUGAAAGGAGUUACUGAUAGAACUAAGACAUGCACAACAGAAAAAGAAUCGAAAUUCUACCCUAAUUGGGCUUAGUUAACGAGACUAAACCAAAAAAUAAGGUUUUUAGAAUACUUACAUUUGAAGCUGCGUUUUAUUCGAACAACCACUAAGUUUGACUUAGUAUCCUCUAGACUCAUAAUCGAGUUGUGGGACCCGUUGGAUGAAAGAACCAGACGAGAGAAAUAGAUGAAAAAAAUGGGCGUGGUAAAUUUUCUUUUUUUUUUAAGUAAAUAAGAAAAAGAAAUUCCAUUUGGUGUGAAAGCCCAAAUAUAAUAGCCAACCCAUCAAAUGAGUUCAAAGGCCCCAUUUAUAAGGAUUUUUCAUUCAAAAUUGUAUGUCCAUGCAAUACUAAAGUCCAACAACUCAAAGUCCACUUUCUCUAGCAAGGACUUGAUAAAAAAAGAGAAUAUGAGUUAAUAGGAAAAUGAAAGGGAAUUCCUUGGAAAGUUGGUUUGUGUGUCAUUAAAAGUCAAGGUGGAAAACAAAGUACAACAUAUGGCUAAAUGUGAGAGUAGGCGUGCAAGUAUAAUAAAUACCUACCAAGAUGUUUAUUAAUAACAUGUGUUUGAUACAUAAUUACAACACUUUGACCAAACAACCAAUGCUUAACUAUUUUCAAAACGUAUGGUCAUCUCGCUGCAAAUCCUUCAACCUUCUUCUCUACUUGGCCUAAACACCUCAUCUUGGAAGAUGAAUUUUUGAAAGAAUGUCUAAAAGACUAAGGUUUUAUGAAAUCCUUUUCGCAAUACCUUUUCAUAAACAUCAUUUCGCAUAAACAACAUCAAAUAAUUUUAUCUCGCAUAAACCUUUCUUUAUCCUUAACAUACUCAUAACAUAACAAUUUCACAUAAACACACAUUAGUUAACAUUCAUUCCUUUCACCAAGGAUUUUGAAUCGUUCUCUACACUUUGAUGUAGAACAUCUCCCUUCUUGAUGUUUCUUGAGUUUUAUCCUAGAGGAGGGGUUUGAAUUACCAUUUUUAUAGUUUAGGAUUAGUUAUUUGAAUUACCAAUUUUGUAUCUUGAGUUAGUUAUAACUAACUCAACCCCAAGUUAGUUUAACAACUCUUGUAAUCUCCAGCCUAUAAAAAAGCUUCUCAUUUUCAUUAAUAAGACAUAAAAAAAGAGGCAUUAUACAUAAAGAUUUCUAGCUUUGCAAUUACUGCAUCAAUUGGUAUCAGAGCGUGAUCCUAGCUCACUCUUCCCUAAAAAAACUUGGAUCCUACCACUCUUAUCCAUGGACGCGGAAGCCUCCUUCAACCAACGCUUGCAGUUGGUAGAACAAGCUAUUGAAGAACUUCGAAAAGGGCAGUCGAAUAUACAACAAUCGUUAGUAGAAUUAACAAACCUUUUUACCCGAUUUCAUGUCCAACCUUUAGAAGAAGCAAUUCAGCCCCCAAGAAACCCAAUUGCAGCAAACCAAGAAAGACAAGAAAAACCAAUAAACCCUGUUGUAAACCAAGAACUACUAAGAAAUCAACCUAUUCACAUCCACAAUAAUCGAUUGUAUGGAAACAACGUACUUGGAAAUUUCUUAAACGAUUCUGACUCUUCCGAUGAAGACAACUUGCUGAACAUUCAUCAAGAACCUCAACAAAGGCUUGGACUUCGACCAUACUUUCAAGAAGAUCAAGAAAUACGUAUGAAAGUGGAUCUCCCUACCUUCAAUGGUCAAAUGGACGUGGAGAAGUUUCUUGAUUGGAUCAAGAACGUAGAAAAUUUUUUCGACUAUGCCAAUACACCCGAACACAAGAAGGUUCGAUUAGUUGCUCUCAAACUUCAAGGUGGCGCAAGCGCUUGGUGGGAUCAAUUACAAAACAAUAGACGAUUAUUCGGUAAACAAUCUAAAGAUUAGCUGAAUAUCUUAUAAAAAGAUGUUGCCAUAGGCUUAGUGGUGACAGGUGAGAAAGUAAGCUGUGUCUUUUAUGACUCUUAAACGUUGAAGUCAAUCAAUGAGUUCCAAAUGCAAUAUUGGAAGUUUUCUUAAAUAUUUUGAUGCUUUUGCAUGUUGUGAAAGAACUUGGUUAGAUGUGAGAAAGGGGUUUACGAGAUUAGUUACUUACUAUUCCCUUUUUCACUGUCAUUGCUACUCAGUAGAUAUGCUAUGGGCUCGUGUUUCUGUAGAAUAUAAUUCAGAUGCUCUUUCUCUAGAAUAUAAUUUAAAUGUUCUCUCUACAAAUUUGAAGUAAUUUCUACUGUUUUUGCUAAUAAUUUAUAUAUUAUAGAGUUAAAUUUAACACAGUUAAUCAUCUUAAGCAUUUGACUCUGGUGUUCUUAAGAUAUAAAUUCAAAUCCCUAUAAUUUUAUCAUCUUGAUCUUUUCAAUCGUCUCACAUACCGUCUUCAUUUCAUAAUCUUGCCUACUAGCUGCGUAUCAUCAAUGAAAUUACCAUAGGAGUCCACAUGUGGUAAUUAUGGAUCUAGCACGAUAUACUGCGUAUCAUGUUGUUGGAGAUCAUUUUAAAUGAUUAACCAGUCUAUUGAUGGUUUGAGUCUUUCCUUUUGAAUCUAUAGGUUGUUCAAUGGUCUAAUAUUAACUAUGUUUAGAUUUAUGGUAAUUUUCAUUCUUUUACAGCCUUAAUAACCAAGGAAAGGUGUGCUUUGAUAAUCUUUUCUUUCUCUUCAGCAGGUUGGUAAUGUAGAAAGGAUACAUGUAUACUAUGCCCACGGACUAGAUAGCCCAACCUUUGUUCGCCGAUGUUAUUGGCUCCUAGAUAAGUAUGUUAUGGUUGAAAGAAAAUUGUUAAAUUGCUUGCUACCAGUUGUUUCAGUGGGGUCUAUCCCCAUCAUGCCACAAGCAAAGAAAAAUGAAAUUAGACAGUGGCAGUAUAUCGUGUUCUACUUAUAUAAUUUAUGACUUGCUUCUGCUUUUUGUUCAGGACCUUUGAACACAUUGUCCUUGUUCAUUAUCGUGAAACACAAGAGGUUAGGUUCAGCACAAUGCAUCUGCAGUUACUGAAAUAUUAUCUUGAGACAAACUUUUAUCAUUUGGACUACUACAUCUAUUUAAGAUUUGUUGAUUUUUCCUCCAUGGUUGCAAUAUUAGAACUUCAUCCAAAAUAAUGUUGUCAUGUGUGUCUUUAUGGUGAUUCAUGUGUUGAGAGUUCUCUUUCUUCUGCUAUCCAUAAAUUUAUGGAAUGGAAAGGCAAUGAUCAUGACACUAUUUUUUGUCAGAUAAACACUGGUUUCAUAUGCUUCAACUUUAUGGUGCUUCACAGCACACAGAUAAAACUUCCAAACAAUCUGCACCCAAUAUUACCAUAAUGCAUUUGGACACUUCAUUAACAACUUCUUACAAUUAGCCUUUCUAUAUUGAAAGUAAUUUGUUAUCUUAACUUCCUGUUGCUGCUAGUUUCAGAAUUUUCCAUCCACAUCGUUGAACUCAAAUUCUGGUUCUGUCUCUAACCCAUCAACUCCGUGGCUUUUAUCGGAGGAACUUGAUUCCAAGGCUACUCAUGUUUAUUCUCUUGGUGAAAAUGAAUUGUCAGGUGAUACUGGCCGAACCUGUCAAAAAUAAAUGAGUCAUAGUUUGUUUGAUCAUUCAUUUUCUAAUCUUUCUUCUUUAUAUUUAAUUAGUUGUUUAAUUUCUUAAAAAAGAAUUAUGGUUUAUUUAUAGUAUAUUUGGUAGUAUGCAUGCCUCAGCUUCUUUAAUGCAUGUCUCUUACAGUAUAUUUGGUAGUCUUUUAUAAUGUUACACCCUUUUUUUAAUUCCUAAUACCUUUUAACUUUCCAAAUUUUCAUUCUUUCUUUUAGAAAAUUAUUUUCAUUAUUUUUUUAUGGUUACAAAACCAUCCAUUAACUACAUUAAUUAGACAAUUCACUCCAAUAAUAAAUAAAUAACUUUUUUGGAUCUAAGGUCUUUUCUCAUUCUACAAAUUUAAUUUACUAUAUAAAGGUUAUUAUGCUAAUUGAAAAAUAUAUUUCUCUCAAGUAUGCAAUGACAGAAAAUUAGGUUAUAAAUAUAAAAAAAAAAAUUAGGUAUUAUAAUUUUUUUAAAAAAAUUAUAUUUUAAUUUUUUAAUAAAACCUUGCAUUUGGGGAUUCACAUGUUGUUACUUGUCGAACCAAAAAGGAUAAAUUCGCGAUGAAAACUCUUUAAAAACCCAAUUCGUGGAAGGAAAAAUUGAACUGUGGCGUUGAGUUAUUUUGUUGUUGAAGAAGAUCAGUAAAAAACCCACACCAUUAAAACUUCUUUUUGUUUCUUUAAGUAUAUUUUAGAUUGCAGCGUAUUUUCUAUUUGGGUUUAGUUAGGGUUUCUCUUGUUUAUUCCAAGAUAUGCAUGGAUAGUUCAUGUUCGACUAUUUGGAAAGAGGGAUUUAUGUAGCACGGGUAUUAUAUUCUGGUUUUGGAAGUGUCGAGAUAAAUUAAGGACUUUUUUAAUCUUCUUCAAACAAACCUAUACGAAGGUGAAGAAUAAUUUGUGCUUGUAUUUUAGUCGGAAUAAGAAGAAACAUGAAGAUAAUGCCCAGGAGGAAAAUAACCAUGAGAAAAAGUUGUGUAUUCCUCCAUCCAUAACUGAGCUCUCUAAUGUGUAUUCCUCCCUCCAUAACUGGCUUACUUUGGACUGUUUGGAUAGAAAGAAACAAUAGAAUUUUUAAGGAUAAAUCAAGGUUUAUUGUUUACUUGUGGAAAGACAUAUGUAACUUGAUCGGAGUUUGGUCUAGGCGUCAUUCAUCUUGUAACCAAUAUGAUGUUACUACCAACUCUUAACUUUAAGCUUUGUAAGAUUAGGUUGUUUCGGGCUUCCCUCUAGACUUCAACCUUGUAACUUUAACUCUAUGUUAAUAGAUAAUGACUCUUAUCCUAGGUUUAUCUUAGUUUGAAGGAUUCGGUUUCUUCUUCUUAAAAAAAAGUUGUAUUUCGACUACUAUUUGGGAGGAAAAUGUGCUUAACUAACUAAAAAUCUAAUGACACUUCCAAAACCAGUCAUUUCAAGAAAUGUUUCCUCAAUAAUAUAUUUAAUGCUCUUCCUUUAUAGAGUAAAACAGUAAAGCAACAAAACCAUUUUAAUUCAUUAUAUAUAUAUAUGUAGAUAUAUAUAUAUUUAUGUAUGUCAUUACUACAAAAAAGGCCUUUCUUGACGUUUGUUGUUUUUCUUUCUUGACAUUUUUUUUCAAAAAAACGUCAAGAAAGGAGUAGUUCCAAAGAUAAAACGUCAAGAAUUUUUACGAAAAGGCGGGGGUAGGUCAAUUUUCAGAUUUCUUGACAUUUAUUAAACAUCAACUAAUAUGUAUUUUUUCUUGGCGUUUUAAAAACGUCAAGAAAUAUCUAUAAAAAUUUUGACGUUUUUAAGAAUGUUUAUAUAUUCAACAUUCUUCAAAAUUUUCAAACGUCAAGUAAUAUGUACUUUUACUUGACAUUUUAAAAACGUCAAGAAAUAUCUUAAAAAUUCUUUAUGUUUUAAAACGUCAAGAAUUUUUAUAAAAAGCCAGAGAAGAGUUAUUUUUUAAAUUUCUUGAUGUUUUUUUAGACGUCAAGUAAGAUCGUUUUUCUUGACGUUUUGAAAACGUCAAGUGUUAUUAAAUAUAUAUAUAUAUAUAUAUAUAUAUAUAUAUAUAUAAAAGAAAAUAUUGGGUUGAAUCCUUCGUAGCCCUAGACUUGUCUCUACCGCAUUCGAAAAUGCCAAGUUCUUUCUGAGGAUCUCUAACUUCUGCCGUGUUCACCGUCCGUCCGUCCGCGUUCACCACGUCCGGGUUUAUCUAAUAUAUUUUUCCAAAUCUUAAAGAAGAACUUUUGAUUUCAUUGGAGUUUAUCAUUAGAGGCAUUACUAUAUUGGCUGCCUCUCAGUGGGCUAUAGGUUUUCCAAUGGUCAUUUGAGACUGGUUGAUAAUAGCAAAAGUUAGAGCUUGAGAAGAAGGAGCGAAGAAAGUAGUGAAGACAAAAGAAGAAAGAAAGCUGAGUGAAAAACGAAAAUUGACAAGGUAGAGAUGUGACAUGAAAAUGAUGAUGAGAAGUGAAGGAGGCACGACACAAUACUGGUACACAAUAACAAAGCCUUGAUAAUUAAAAAAAGGAUGGUGCCAAGAAAAUUUAAAUACAAAAAAAAUGAAGGUUCUUGCAAGUGUAUUGAGUGAAUGGGAGAAAGAAAGGAUAAAAAAGGUAGAAAGAGAGAAAGAGAAGUCAAGGGUAGAGAUACAUAGCUUUGUAUAUAGAAACUUUAUGUUUAUACUCCAUUAUACGUUGUGGAGAAUAUAACAUCCUGAUAUGUCUGAUUCAAUUUGAAUGAUGCAAUUAUUUAUUUUUCUGCAAUAAUUCUACUUCUAGAACCUAAAUCAUAUUGUUCACAUGAAAUGAUAAAAUAAUCAUUACACAUUUACAAGAACAAUAAAUAAAUUAUGUGAUUUUCGUGAGAAAAAUGAAGAAGAAAUAACUUCUAACAAAAGUAAAUAUAAAUUAAAGGAGAAUAUAAAAUUGUUGAAAAUAUUUAUUUUCAAUAAUUUGGAAGUUCUUUGGCUAUAUAUAAUGAAAGAGAGCCUUUCCAAGGUGUGAUGCCUGGCGUCAACAAUGACGCGCUUAGCACAGAUACGGAACCGGACACCAUCUUCUUGGUGUUUGUCUGUGCAAAAGCCUCGAGUGGCUAUGGUCUUCUUCUUCUCUGUGAGGGAAAUGGUUGAAGUUGCUAGACUAUUUCAAUUACUAUGUGAGAGGUGGCUGAAUUUUAUUGGACCUCUCUUCUUGAGCUUACUUUUUACAAUUGUUUAACAAUCUCUCUCCGAAUAUACCUUCGUCCCCUUAGCUGCUUUCCACUUUGGUAAAAUCGCCAAAGCUUUAUGUGUACAUUACAAGAGAGAGGAGCAGGGCAAAAUAAGGUUAUUGGAACAAGGCAAAAGUUAUCAUUGCUAGCUGCAACUUUCCUCAUUCUUUUCACCCUCCUUCAAACCAUAUUGUCUGCUAUGUAUGCAUUUCCUAGCUAGCCUUCCCCGGCAUAUUCUAUUUUAGCUUUUUUCCUCUACAGUUUCUGUUAUGUAUUUUUACUGAAUAUUGAUCUCCUUUUUGCUAUCAAGAUAGUAUACCAUACAUGCAUGUGUAGGACUUUAAUUUUAUCCCUUAUAUUUUAUAAUUUGUCUUACUACUGUUAUUGACUGAUAUACCAAUAUACAUGUGUAAAGUAUUGACCAUAUAAUUAAUAUUAAAUUUAUUACAUUCACUCAUCAAUUUAAGUUUUUUAGUCAAUGUAUGUUCAUGAUGUACCAUGGUCAUAUCAUAAUAGAAUAGAUCCAAGAUUAUAUAUGUUCAAACCAACUGGUGAUUUAAUUAUCAAAGAUAUUAUGAUUUUGUCCAGUUUUUUUUUUUUCAGUCACUACUAGAAAAAUGGAUUUUAAUCAAGACAUUGUGUCGUUGAAAAUAAAAGAAAAAAGAGGUGGGAUGAGGUACAUUGUGUUGUUGAAAAUAAAAAUAUGGAUUAUUUCUUAAAACAACCAUACACAAUUUAAUUUAUUUCAACACAAUUUUUGCGUCAUUAAUUAACGACAAUUUUUUUGUCAUUAAAAAAAUUUUCAAAUGAAAAAACCUCAAAUUUCAAAAAAAUUCGAAGUGGGCUACCGAGUCGUUAUGAAGAACCCUUGCCCUCCAAUUUUUUGCCACUUGCCGUCGUCGAUUCCACACUCCAACCACUGUUGUCGUUGCUCCCACAACAAGCCUUCGCCGUCAAACCCACCAAUCUAGCCACUUUCGUCGAAUAAAUUUAUUUAGAAAUAUAAGUUUUAAUGACACUUGAAAUCAAGAAAAAGGGAUAUGAGGGAAUAAAAUGUGUCGUUAAAAAUAAAAAUACAAAAUUUUUUGUGACACAAAUUGAGUUUUCUUGACAAAAUUUUGGCAUUGUAAAUAAUUGCAUAAAUUAUGUGUCAUUAAAAAUUACCCUAAUAAAAAAUCAAUGUUUUCCUUCAAUCAUACGUUUUUUGAUUUAAAACAAAUAAUUCGAAGCUUUCAUCCCACUUGUGAACAAUGACCGAAAAAAACCUUACUUCAUCCCACAUCGUCGUUGUCUUUAGCUCUCUCACAAAUGCUCUCUGGCGACGUUCCCCCCUCUCUCGCAAAUACUCUUCACGACUUUUCCUCUCUCUCAAAAUUAAGCUCUCCGCCCACCAUUUGAAGGAACUCACCAAAUUUGCAAGUAAUUGAAGAAUUCGUGGUCCAUGAGAUAGAUUAAGUCCAUUUAUGAGUUAGUUUGAUUAUAUUAUGUCACAUAUACAUGUAUUACAAUUAAGGGACACUUGCAAAAAUGGCAAAAUAAGUUAUAAUAAUUAAGUCCAUAGAACACAUACCUUAUUAUUUGAGAAAGUGACAAAAACAAAGACCAACUCACACAUCAAGAGGUAAAAUGUCAACAAAUGCCCUCGUUAUUGAUGUACAUUUGAUACACCUUAUACACGUCUGAUACACCUAAUACCUCUUGAUACAUUAAGUCCAUUUAUGAGUUAGUUUGAUUAGAUUAUGUCACAUAUACAUGUAUUACAAUUAAGUGACACUUGCGAAAAUGGCAAAAUAAGUUAUAAUAAUUAAGUCCAUAGAACACAUACUUUAUUAUUUGAGAAAAUGACAAAAACAAAGACCAACUCACACAUCAAGAGGUAAAAUGUCACAAAUGCCCUCGUUAUUGAUGUAUAUUUGAUACACCUUAUACACGUCUGAUACACCUAAUACCCCUUGAUACACUUGAUACUUCUUACUGAUACACUUGAUACAUUUGAUAAUACAAUUCAUGCACUCGGUACUCAUUGAUACACUCGAUACUUUUUGAUACACACUUGAAACAUCUUCAUACACAUAAUACUUCUCGUUCCACAUAAUACUUCUCGUUACACUUGAUUCUUCUUGAUACACUUGAUACCCCUGAGACGUUGAUACACUUGAUUAGUUUGAUACACUUAAAGACUUCACUUAUAAGUUUGAUACACGUAAUACACCACUAAUAAACUGUUUAUACUUCAUUGGUACACUUAACAAAUUUGAUAUGUUUGAUGUACAUGCACUACAAGAAAUUUACCCUUUGUCGAUGACAAAUAUCGUCAGUAAAUCUUCAAAAACUAAUCAACUUUUCUUUUGCCAACAAAAUUAAGCUGUCAACACACACCGUCACGUAGGUCUAUUGGAAGAUCCUCUAUCGAUGGCAAAAAAUAAACUGUCAGCAAAAAUAGGAACUAUUUUGAGAUAAGGUUUGUGCGUACACGUGUGUGCGUUUGUGCAUGUGUGUGUGCUUGUGUGCGUGUGGAUAGGUGUGUGUGUGAAUGCGUGCUCGUGUGCAUGUGUGUGUGCGUGGGUUCGUGCGUCUGUGGGUGUCUGUGUGUAGGUGUGCGUGUGUGUAAGUGUGCAUGUGUACGUGUGUGCGCAGUGCUUCUAUGCUUGUGUCCGAACAAGUUAAUAUUUUUUAAUGUUGAGUUUCUUCCAAUUUUAAAAUAAUAAUUUAAUUAUCUUGAUAUUUAAGGCAUUAAUGUUAUUUUGAGAUAAAGAUAGUGAACGGGUUGAUAUUUUUUAAUUUUGAAAUUCAAUUAAGGUUAUUUUAAUACAAAAUCUAUCGUUGAGACUCUCAAAUUCCGAAAAAUAAUAAUUUUGUUAUUUUGAAAUUCAAUUUUGUUAUUUUGAAAUUCAAAUUCAAUUAGGUUAUUUUGAAAUUAGUAUGAUUGAAUAAAGUUAUUAAUAUGUUGAAUUAAUUAGUUGAGUCUCGAGAUAUUAAGAAAAAUAUUAUGAUAUGAGUUGAUGUAUCUAUUUCAAGUAAAAGAUAAUUAAAAGCUGAGAAAUGCAUAACAUAAAUUAAUUACAAUGUAGAGACGAAAUAAUUACAGUUGAAGAAUAUUGAUAUUUUGGUAUUUUAUAAAAUACCAUGCACGUGCAAAAAAUGCUAGUUGCUAAAAUUCAAAGGAAAAAGUAGUUUUGUCAUUUUUCAAAAUGACCCCUAAAAACGUUGUUAUGUCUCUUAUGACAAAGAGUGUAGAUCUACUGAUCCAUAUUCGAUUUGUUUUUUGUUGGUAAAAUUGGAUAAGACCGCAUUAUAUUGAAAUAAUUACACGAAUGACACUUUUAAGCCAAUAUUGAUAGAAAUUAUAAUUUAAUCAAUGUUAUUAAGUCAAAUGAACAUGGUUUAAAACUCUUUCUAAACAUAAUUAAUGUAUUUGUUUUUUAACUUUAAUUAAUUUACACAUCUUUGUGCGUGCGUGUGCGUGCGUUGUGCACGUGUGCGCGUGUGCUUGUGUGCGAACAAGUUAAUAUUUUUUAAUUUUGAAAUUCAAUUAAAGUUAUUUUUUAUACAAAAUCUAUCGUUGAGAUUCUCAAAUUUCGAAAAAUAAUAAUUUUGUUAUUUUGAAAUUGAAAUUUAAUUAGGUUAUUUUGAAAUUAGUAAGAUUGAAUAAAAUUAAAAUCUUGAAUCAAUUAGUUGAGUCCCAAGAUAUUAAGAAAAAAGGAUGUAUCUUUUUCAGGUAAAAAAUAAUUAAAAGCUAAUAAAUGCAUAACAUAAAUUAAUUACAACGUAGAAACGAAAUAAUUACUGUUUGAGAAGGUGAAUAUUUUGGUAUUAUAAAAUAUCAUGUACACGUGUAAAAAAUUCUAUUUGCUAAAAUUUAAAAGAAAAAGUAGUUUUGCCAUUUUUCAAAAUGACCCAUAAAAACGUUGCUAUAUCUCUUAUGACAAAGAGUGUCAUCUACUGGUACAUAUUCGACUUGUUUUUUGUUCGUAAAAUUGGAUAAGACUGCAUUAUAUUGAAAUAAUUACACUAAUGACACUUUCAAACCAAUAUUGAUAGAAAUUAUAAUUUAAUUAACGUUAUUAAGUCAAAUGAACAUGGUUUAAAAGUCUUUCUAAACAUAAUUAUUGUAGUUUUUUUUAAUUUUAAUUCAUUUAUACAUCUUUGUGCAUAUGUGCGUGUGUGCGUGCGUGUGCGUGAGUGCGUACGUGUGUGUGUAUGCGCGUGUCCACGUGUGCGUGGGUGUGUGUGUCUACGUGUGCGUGGGUGUGAGUGUCCACGUGUGCGCUUUUGUGCGUGUGCGUGUGCGUGUGUGUGCGUGUGUGUGCGUAUACGCGCGUGUGCGUGUGUACGUGAGUGGGCGUGUGCGCUUUUUGUGCUUUUCUUCCAAUUUUAAAAUAAUAAUUUAAUUAUGUUGAUAUUCAAGUCAUUAAAAUUAUUUUAAGAUAAGGUUAUUUUAAUAUAAAAUCUCCGUUCUAAAUAAACACAAUCCAGAUCAGUGCCACUGAACACAGGCAUUUCAACCUUCUUGAAUUUGCUAUGAUCGUUCGAGUUUUCAUCCAUUUCAAACUUGUUUGUUUUACCUUCUACCUUGAUUUCCUUCAAUGUCUUACCUCCACCUUCGAUGAUACUCUCAAUCGUUUGUCCUUUGCUCGAUGAUCCUUCCAUUCUUCCGGAGAUUGUCGAAUUAUCCUUCUGCUAUUCAUUUGAUGCAUUUAGCAACCGUUCUUGUUUUUCUAACUAGAUGACUAGUCUUUCGAUGCUUUUUGGCAAGAAUAACAAGUUUUCUUCAAUUGCCAGCAACUUGUGUAACUGAACUUGUAUCCCUGAGAUUUCCUUAUCAGAGGUCUCCAACUUCUCUUCGAUCCGUUUUUUGUGCUGCUCUAUCGUUCUCCCAAGUAAAAUCGCUCUGAUACCAAUUUGUUAAGAUACUGUAAAUAUACGGCAAGUGCAUCUUACUUUAUUGAAUUACCUCAACGAAUUACAGUAUAGAGAAUAAAAAAUCACUCACAUCUACUUCCUAAAGGCACACUCCAGUGAGGAUCACAACAAAGAACAAGAAAAACUAAGAACAAACUGCAACCAUGAAAAUGACCAAAACAAACAAUAAAAAGAACUUGACUUGGACCCUCUACUUCUCCCGAGCAUGAAAGAGGGCAGCCUCUACUUCUUUGGAAUAUUUUGUCCCCUUUCUCCCUCCUCUUUCCUCCCUUUUUAUUUUUCUUUACUAACAAACUAAUGGGAAAGAUCUCCUCCAAUAUUCUCUCCUCCUAUAAUCUCUCAUAUAUUCUCGUGUGGGUCAAUAUUACCCUUUUUAAUUCUUCUACUGUAUUUAAAUAAUAUUGGAGACAUAUGCUUCCUAACAAGAACAAGAUCUGAAUUUAUUAUAAUGUAACUAUAAGAAAAUACAAGAUAAAACCAAGUAUAAAGCAUUAGAACCCUCCCUCUUGAGUACUCUCACCCAAGCCUUAUAUCACUCCCCAGAAUUCUCCCCACCACCCUAGUUACCACACUUACAUAAUAACUACUAGUAACCACACUUACACAAUAACUUCCUAAAUAUCUAAUUACCCUUAUACCCCAACCCUAUACAUAAUCUAGGUAUCUAACAAAUUCCAUAACAUAAUGUAUUAGGGGAAGAAGGAAAUCGAGGAUAAAAAACACUAGCUAGCCAACAAAUAUCUUUCAUUAGUGAGCUUGAGCCAUUUUACACGUAAAAUGGGAAAAGUAAGCCUGCAACCCAAAUUAGCCUAAUGGUUGUCUUAACAACCACUACCCACCAUCAUGAUAGAAACAACUGAAAAGGAAGAGCAUGAUACAAUCCAACUCAAAUAUAAGAAUUGAUUUUGAUGUUUAACUAAAAGUAAACAGGCAGUAGAAUAAGAAACUAUGCCCUUUUAGAUCUAGAAGGUUCACAACAAUUUCCAGCCUAAACACAACUACGAGCCAAUGGAAGAAUAACGGCAAAGCCCUUGUGUGCAUGGAAUCGCUAACUUUGGUGCAAAUGAGAUGAUUAUCGGUAUUCAAAGGCCAAAAGGACACAUAGAAGAGUGUUCGUCUAAGGUUGGAAGACUAACCUUGAAAAGAGAGCAAUACAAAAAUUUAGAGUUUUCCGCACUUUUCCUGUAAUGACAUGAGUGCUUGUACUCCCAUAAGCAGUGAGAGAACCACCAAGCUCCUCAAUCAUCUAAAUCAGAAAACAAAUGCACAUUAGAGCAGUCACAAUUUGGAAUAAAUAGAACUUUUUAUUGUUAGAAUCUUAGAAUAUUUACGAAAAGUUUAUGGGAAUAUUUUUCUUAAUUCCUAAAUAUUUUCCUUUUUUAUUCCUCUGUAUAUUCUAUUUAUUCUCCCUUGUACCUAUUGUAUUUUUCAUCAGAAAAUAAUAAGAAGAAAAAUAUAGUGGUUUUUCUCCUGAUACACAGGUUUCCACGUAAAGUUGUGUGUUUGUUUGUCUCCCUUUCAAUAUGGUAUCCGAGCAGGUGGUCCAAAAAGGUCUUGUCUUGUCGUUUCCUCCCUAAUUAAAAUCCAUUUCCAGUUGUUGGGCCUUUCAAAUAUUUCAAGCCCACAAGUGAGGAGAGUGUUGGUGAUAUAUAAUUGAAUUUUCUUUCUUUUUUUAAAAAAGGAUACGAGUCUCACUAUUAUUAAUAUAAAGAAAGAGACAAAGCUCAAUGUACAUGAGGAUUAUACAAAGAGCAAAAGGGGAGAGGGAAGAUCAAUAGGCGCAUCCGGACAUCUCAAACUAGGUUGACACCCCCUUAGUGCCCUCAAAACAUCCAAAAAGCGACAACACAAGAUCAAAACAAAAAGCCACAAAAACAAAGACAAACAAAAUGAUAAAAAGAAUCUUUCCAAAGAAAAAUCAUAAUCAAAGGCAGCAUGCUGAGAAAUGCAUUAUAUAGGGUAUCGUUGCCUGCAAGGAUAAAAAAUCAUCUAGUAGCUCAUGUGAGCAACUUGAAACCUUACCAUCAAGAUCCAGAUGACCAGUAGUGCAACAAUGGUGUAUGGUCAUCUAGUGACCUAAAGCAGAAAGACGAUAAAGAAAUGGAAGAAAUCGUUCCUAAGAGAGUGAGGAAGGGUAUACCCAUGAAGAGGAUACAUGAAUUCCUACUGAAGUGAAAGAACCUCCAUGCGGAAGAAACACGUUAGGAAUGUGCUGAAGGGUAUACCCAGUCGACAGGGACGCCAAUUGUUUAAGAGCGGGAGAAUGUAACAAGCAUGCUUGUCCAGGGCGCUGUUUGCUUAUGGCCGCAUGCCCAAACACCCAAAAUUUACAUUGUUUUUAUGUAUAAUCAUUUAGUUUUACUUUUUACUUUCCCUUUUAUGUCAUAAACCUUGGGUGUGAUUUGGCUUUUUCUUAUGCAAGCCUACCAGAACUAAAAAAGUCUAAAAUGUACUAUAGAUGGGACAUAGUAGUUGAAUCCCUGCCCAAGCCUUGUUGCACUCUUCGCAAUCAAAGUUUUUCUUUGCAAUUGACAAUCUUCAAUGCUUGCUUUAACGAUAUUUUCAUUGAAUUUCUUUCUCCUCACGUUUUAUAAAACAUUUUCUCAAGAACGUGAAGAGAGGCUACAUCGUAUCAUGUGUUUGUCCGUGGUUUUUGGAUUUUGAUCAGCUAACUUGUUGUCUACGUAAAACAAGUGCAACAUAAUCGCUCCUCUCGUGUUUGAAAGCUCGCGAUUGUGACACAAGAAAUGCACUAGCCAAGAAUGCACACGAGGAGGGCUACACGAAAUGCCAAGCACGCAACCAAGUGAGGUUCACAAUGUGCUUGUGUGUGAGGUUAGCACGCGGGCAUGCCCAACGCGCGUGAAAAGCCUCUUGUGAGAUUCACACACACUAGCCAGCGCCCAACCAAGGCCCUGCCGCGCACCCAUUCGUGUCAGGCAGUGUCAUAUUGCGUGUUGAGCUAUUUUUGGUAAUUUUUUGAGUUUUUUAAGUAUACUUUUGAUAUUUUCUUGGCAAAAGAUAAUUAAUUGUACUAUUUUACCAUUAUUUCAGGACAUGAGAAGAUCAUACAAAUUUAUAAACCAAGGAUUUGAGCUUGUAUCUUUGAGUGGAAAAUGUUUUAUUUAAAGUGAUUUCAAGCAUGUUCUUAAGUCAUGAUUUAUGACGGAUUUAUGCUAAAAUGUUUAAGUUAUGUUAUGAAAAGUCUUUCAAGCGUGUUAUUGUUUAAAGGUAUUUAUUCAAGCAUAUUUUUUACUCUUCAAAAUGCAUAAUAUUCAAAAUGUUUUCCCACUUUCUAGGUAGAGAUCGUGUCCUCUAAGCCUAACUUGAACCUGUCUACUAAAGGAUUUCAUUUUGUUAUCGUAUGUGUCCUGUUAUUUUGUACUAAUGGUAAAUUAGUCUUUUGUGCUAUCAGACUUACGCUUUUGGAAAGGUUUUAUAAGGUUUUGUUCUAGAUAAAUAAGAUUACGUUUUUUCUAUGUAAAACUUGUCUAAGGUUGUUAAAUGAAAAAGGUUUAGCCCAAUUGGUUUUAGUAAAACUUAUGUGUUAUGUUUCCGCUGUUGUUUAGAAUUUAAAGGUUCAGGCUAAGGGUCAGAUAGUGUCGUUCUUGACGUGGGUGCUAUCGAUUGGCUUCACGCCAUAUCUCGAGCCACGCAAGUAGGUGCUCGUGGUGGGGUGUGAUAGCCUAAGUUGGCUUAUUAACGGUUAAAAUGUAAACAUGUCCAUAACAAAAUAGUUGGGCAAGGCCCAUGUGGACCGACUGGUAAAGGUUGAAGAGCAAAUGCUCUACCUAAUGAAAGUUCCUAACUCAAUUCGCUUCUCGGAAACCCGCCUUGAAGAAAUUUUUUAGAAAGCUGAUGCUAUUAAUUAAACCACCACCCAAAAUCUUAAGCUAGUGAUUAAAAGUAAAUUUAAUUAUAUAUCACUAACAAUCCCCCACUUAUGGGUUCGAAAUAUCUAAAAGGUCCAACAAGUGAAAAUCAAUUUUAAUUGGGAAGGAAACACCAAUACAGGGACUUGAACAUAAGACCUUUUGAACCACCUGCUCUAAUACCAUAUUAAACCCCAAAUUCACCCAAAAGCUUAAGCUAGUGGUUGAAGGUAAAUUUAAUUAUAUAUUACCAAAGUAUGAGGUUUCAUCACAAUACCAAUUGGCAAUGAGAGGAGUAGCUCAUCUAUUUUAUAAAGAGUCUAAGUUUCCUUGGUUUUUCAAUUGUGGGAACAUGCCCCUUCAAGAUGGUGCCUCUUUGGUUUCACCUAUCUUGAACCAAAUAUCCGUUUAGGCUUAAUGAGCUCUAAUACCAUAUUGAAAGCAAUAUAUACGAAACCAAAGCUUAAGUGAAAACGUAAGAAUCGAAAGAAAAGCAUUGUGUUUGUAGUUUUAUUAUUUUUAUGAUAAUUACAGACGUACAAUUGGUGGUUUAAUAUAUAUCACUAACACUAUUGCUGCAAUGAUCGAUCAUCUCGAUGGAUUACCCAUUUAAGAGUUGUUGACAAGAGUUGACACUCUAGAAUCAAAAGUUGUAAGAACUAGAUGUUGUAAUAAAUGUCCUAAAACUCGUUGUAAUCAUAAUCUAUUCAUUAAAGUCGUUAUUGAUACUAUAAUCUUAAAGCCAAUAAACUAAGGACCCGAAGUUAUUAUUAAGUAAACUUGAACUUUAUGUAGAGACAUAAAAGUUGAUCAAGUUUAAGUAUAGAGCCUAAAUAGUAUAGAUUGUACGAAUACAGUUAGGCACCUUAUUCCAGGACAAUGAAUGCAGUCUGCUUUGUAUUUAGUAUAAACGAUGUGAUCCUAAAUCCUAGAGACAUGAAAGUGUGGACAUCCUAUGUAAAGAGUUUACAAAAGACUAGAACCAUGAAAUAGUCACUUUUAAGUUAUGACACCGUUAACUUUGAAAAACUUACUAUUUCAUUGAUAGAUAUCAAAUAUAACUUAAUCUUAAUACUGAGCUAACUAUAAGCUUCUGUUCUCACCAGCAUGCUUGUUUAAGGCGUUGUUUAUCUAUGGCCACAUGCCCAAAUACCCCCAAAUCACCUUUUCUUUAUGCCUUGUAUUUAGUUUAGUCUAUUGCUUUUCUUUUUAUGUCAUAGACCUAGGGUGUGAGGUGUCACACAUUUUCAUUUGCAAACCUGUCAAAGCUCAAAAAGUCUAAAUUGUACUAUAGAAGAGACCCAAUAGUUGAAUCCCCAACCAUGUCUUAUCGUAUUCUUUAUAAUCAAAUUUUUAUUUGCAAUUGAAAGUCUUCAACGCUUUCUUUAAUGAUGUUUUUAAUGAUAUUCUCUCUCACAUUUUAUAAAAUAAUUUUUUCAAGAACGGGAAGGGAGGUUAUAUCAUAUCGUGAGUUUGUUCGUGAUUUUUGGAUUUUACAUUACUGACUUAUUGACUGAGCAAAACAAGUCCUCUACAAUUGUCCGUUCCAUGUUUGAAAGAUUGUGAUUGUGGCACGCAGAGUGUCACAAGUGUGCUUGUCCAAUGCAUUAUUUGCCUAUGGUCGUAUGCUCGUAUAUCCUCAAACCACUUUAUCUUUAUGCUUUGUACUUAGUUUAGUCAACUGCUUUCCUUUUGUUGUCACCGACCUAAGGUGCGUCGUUUCGCAAUUUUCAUAUGCAAUGUUGUCAAUGCUAAAAAAGUUUAAGAUGUAUUGUAGGGGAGGCAUGGUAGUUGAAUCCCCAACUAAGCCCUAUUGUGAUUUUUGCAAAUCUAAGCUUUCUUUGCAAUUGACAAUAUUCAAUUUUUUCUUUAAGGAUGUUAUCAAUGUUUUUCUUUAUCUCUCACGUUUUAUACAACCAAUUUCUCUCAAAAGAUGAAGCGAGGCUACAUCGUACCAUGAGUUUAUCCGCAACUUUCAAAUUUCACAAGGUUGCCUUGUUCAUCAAUUUAGAACAAGUGUUGCACAAUCGCCCGUCCCGUAUUUGAAAAGUUGCAUUUUGUGACAAGUGGUAUUAAAGCUUUCUUAGCUCCUUGGCUAAGCGAGAUGCAAUUAUGUCGACAAUGAAACAACUAUCAAAGUUGCAAUCUGAGCGACUGACUGAGAUUGAAGAGGAAUUCUUGGAUAUGAAAGAAUUGUCAAAGGAAGUAAGAUUUCUCCAGACCUAACUUGAGAUGUUUAAAGAAAAAGUCAGAGAAAUAGACGCAUUGAAUGCCUAAAUAGACAAACUACCCAUAAAUGAAUUGGCGUUGAGGGUUGAUUCGUUAGAACAUAAAACCACCAAAGUAGGUAGUUUUAAACGUGGAAGUAGCUCUUCAAGUUCUAUCGCACAAAUGGAAGAGCGUGUCGAAGAGUUUGACUUUUGACAAGCUCCAACAUAAUCAGUUAUAUUUCAAGAAAGAGAAAAGUGUUUUUGCUAAAUAGCAUAUCAAUUUUCUGGGUCACAUCAUCGAAUGUAGAAAGAUUUGAAUGGAUGAACAUAAGUUGUGAGCUAUUAAGGAGUGGAGAGCCCCCACUUCCGUGAAAGAGUUACGUUUCAUCCUUCAAUAUAUUCUAAAAUAGGGUUCACCUACUAUCCUCUAGACUCAGUACCGAGAGAAAGAAAUAGAUGGAAAAAGAAAUGGGCUUGGUAAUUUUUUUUUCUAUGUAAAUAAGAAAAAGAAAUCCAAUUUGGUACAAGAGCCCAAAUUCAAUAGCCAGCCCAUCAAAUGAGGUCAACGACCCUAUUUAUAAGGAUUUUCCAUGCAAAAUUGCAUGUCCAUGGAAUACUAAAGCCCAACAACUCAAAGCUCUAUUUCUAAUAUGAAAUUCGAUGGCUAUAACACAUAUACUUGUCAGUUUCUCUCUCUUCUCCAAUUCGAACAAUUCGACUUAUUUUAUUUAUUCCAUCACACUGUUUUAAGUUUAUUCCAUAUGAGCUAGCAAGGGAAACUAAUGGACCUAUAUAUCAUGGACUCUAAUGAUUCAAGAUUAAUUGACUAAAUUCUUAUAGACUAAGUUAAUCAACAUUCGUUAACUAACGGGUCAUUCAUGUAUGUACUGGAACGAUUCAGAAUCACCUCGUUUGUACUAACUACAAAUCGGGCGACAUCCACAGUUUCUCUGAAAAAAUCUGGGUUACUACAACGUCACCACGAUGUACAAUUUUCCUGAUAAGAUGGUACUUACGUUCGAUAUGUAUUCCCCGUUUACGGCUUUUAGGUUCUCUUGAAUUUGCAACUGCACCACUGUUGUGACAGUAUAAAGUGAUUGAUAGAUGCAUAUUUGGAACGACUUUCAGAUCUGUCAAGAAUUUUCUUAGCCAUAAUGCUUCUGUUGUUGCUUCAAAAGUUGCUACGUAUUCUACCUUCAUUGUGGAAUCAACUAUACAAGUUUGUUUUAUGCUUCUCCAAACUACUACUCUUCUAUUUAGAGUGAAUACUAAUCCUGAUGUAGACUUUCUAGCAUCUUUAUCAGUUUGAAAAUCAUAAUGAGUGUAUCCACUAAGGAUCAAAUCUUUUGUACCAUACACGAAAAUGUAGUGUUUUUUUCUUCAAAUAUAUUUUAGAACAUUCUUAACGGUUGUCCAGUGAUCACAUCCAAGAUUGGACUGAUACAUACUGACCAUCCCUACUAAUUAACAAAUGUCAGAUCUAGUACACAACAUUGCAUAUAUCAAACUUCCAACAGCGGAAGAAUAGGAACAUUUUCUCAUAUCCUCAAUUUCUUGAGGUGUCUUAGGACAUUGUUCCUUUGACAAAUGAAUUUCGUAGAUGUAUAAUAGCAUACCCUUUUUGGAAUUCUACAUUUUAUAUCUAGACAACAUUUUGUCUAUAUAAGAUGCUUGAGACAUGGCUAGUGUUUUGUUCUUGCAGUUCUGUACAAUUUGGAUCUUAAGAACGUAUUGUGCAUUUCCCAGAACUUUCAUUUGAAAUUGCAUAGCUAGCCAUUUCUUGAUAUUAGUAUGAAAUCCUAUGUCCUUUUCCAAUAAGUAGAAUAUCAUCUACAUACAAGACUAAGAAUACUACAAUGGAAUUGACGACCUUUUUUGUAAACAUAAGGUUCGUCAACCUUUUGUAUCAAAGCCAUAAGAUUUGAUCAUAGUAUCAAAUCUUAUAUUCCAGGAUCUAGAUGUUUGUUUUAAUCCAUAAAUGGAUUUUUGAAUCUUACAAACCUUUUGUUAUUGAUCUUGAUCUAUAAACUCCUCUAAUUGAGUAAUAUAGAUACUCUCUUCAAGAUUGUCAUUCAAAAAAAGUUGUCUUGACAUCCAUCUGCCAAAUUUCAUAAUCAUAAAACGUGGCGAUGCAUAAGACUAUUCUAAUUGACUUUAGCAUGGCAAAGAUAGAGAAACUUUCUUCAUAGUCUAUGUUAGAAAGUGACAUGCGCAGUGGAAAAAUGGAAUACAAAAUUACCCUAAUUGCACCUAUUUAACUUGCAACCCUAAAUUAAAAGAAUUAGGGUUUAGGAAAUAUUAUACCUUUGUAUCUAUUGGAAUAUGAACGUCUAUACCUCUCACAAAAUUCCAAAAGUUUUUGAAACCAAAAUGUAACACCUUAAACUUAGGAUUUGGAAUUCGUAUCUCCAGCAUUCUCUGCAUCCCCUGCGACCUGGCAGCAUCAUCCUUACUAUUCUUAAAAACUUAUUAGAAUGAAAUUCCUCUUCACAAACCAACACGAAAUCUUUCAUCAUGCUUUUCCUCACUCACAUAUAUCCUAGGAAAAUUUCCAAGAGGUCACCCAACAUAGAAUUUCUUCAAGCUAAGCAAGCUUAACUAUGAAGUCCCUAUAAUCGAGCCACCGAAAAAAAAAGGUUCACAUUGUUGGUAUAGGUAAUAAGUUUCAAUUCUUUUAAGUCUUUCUUAACAUGACUUUCAUGUCCUCAAGGUGCACCUUGUCGGUAUACUUGUCGAUUUCUCUCUCUUCUCUCAAUUCGAACAAUUCGACUUAUUCCAUCACAAUGUUCUAAGUUUAUUCCAUAUGAACUAGCAGGGAAACCUAAUGGACUUAUAUAUCAUGGGCUCCAGCGAUUCAAGAUUAACUUGUUAAACUCUUUUAGACCGAGUUAAUCAACAUUCGUAAACUAACGGGUCAUUCCACUAAAGUCCCGCAGUUGCACUCCCCUCACUAUAGAUAUAUUCUUGUCCAUUUAAUAUAACCAUGAUCAAUAAGUUAAUCCUUCACAUGUUAUUCGUAACCUCGAAUGGAUCAAAUUACUGUUUUAUCCUUGAGACUACAUCUUAUUUCUUAAGUUUCAUUGAUCCACUAUUGAACAAUUGGUUUAAGGUCCAACCUAUAAACUUAAUCCCUCUCGGGCUAAUGUGAGGGUGGGGCCCCUUGUUCAAGACUUGGAUUCAGUGCUUAAGAGAACAACCUAUCUACUAACCCUAAACAGGUAGAAGUGAAUUUUGUCUUGCAUCCUAUGUUCCUAGCCAUUCAUCUGAUCUUACCCUUGAAAUAGGAGGCUUAUUGGGAGAACGUUGAUGAGAUACCCUCACCUAUGCAUAUGUAACCCUAAAACAAGUAGAAGUGAAUUCAGUCUUAUGUAAGUACUUUACAGUGCUUAAGAGAACAACCUAUCUACUAACCCUAAAACAGAUAGAAGUGAAUUCAGUCUUAUGUAAGUACUUUAUAGUGUUUAAGAGAACAACCUAUCUACUAACCCUAAAACAGGUAGAAGUGAAUUAUGUCUUGCAUCCUAUGUUCCCAGCCAUUCAUCCGAUCUUACCCUUGAAAUGAGAGGCUUAUUGGGAGAACGUUGAUGAGAUAUCCUCACCUAUGCAAAUGUAAGGAUAAUCUCAUGUGAACAGGAGUUCAUAGUUAGCUUAGGAUUAAGAUUAAGCUACCUAAGUCAUCAAUAAACGAAAUAGUCAGUUCUAAACAGUAAACGGUGUUAUAACGUAAAAGUGACUAUUUCAUGGAUCAGUUUUAUGUAAGUACUUUACAUAGGAUGCCCCCACUUUCAUGUCUCUACAUGAACAAUUUAGGAUCACCUCGUUUGUACUAAUUACAAAGCGGGUCACAUCCGUAGUUUCUCUAAAUAAGGCACUAUAGACUAUUUAGGCUAUACACUCGAACUUGAUCCACGUUUAUGUCUCGACAUAAAGUUCAAAUGUAUUAAAAAAUAGCAUUAAGACUUAGUUUAUUGGAUUUAAGAUUAUAAUUUUAAAUUUUUCAAUAACGAUUUUAUUGAACUGAAUAUGAUAACAAACUACGAGUUUUAGGACAUAAAAUCCCAACAUAUGUAUUUUUGCCUCUAAUAAUAAUGUUGAAAGAUGUUUGUUGUGGUUUCAUAUAGGUGAUAUCUCUUCUGGUUGGACAUAGUUAGGUUUCGUAAUGGGUGACUUUAACGAUAUCAAAAUGCAUUUUGAGGCUUUUGAUAGGUCUUCUGUUCCUAUGGAUAUGGAGGAGUUCGAUAUGGCUAUUUGCAAGGCUUAUUUAGUUGAACCUACAGUACAGGGUAACUGGUUCACCUGGACUAGAAAGGUUCAUGGGUCUGGUUUGAUAAAAUGGUUUAAUCGUAUUCUGGUUAAUGGUGUUGGAUUACUGCAUGGCCUUCGGGUAUUUCUGAUCACUCCCCUCUUAUUUUAUCCCAACUUUUAGCAGAGACAGUGGGUAGUUUCUUUUUGUUUCUUCAACCAUUGGGUUGAGGAUUCUUUGUUUAUUGAUGUUGUCUCUUUGAUUUGGAGUCGCCAUGUAGGAGUUUCUCUGAUUGUGAGUUUCGUGAGAAAUUUACAUAACCACAAGCCUACCCUCCAUAGACAGUUUGGUAAGCACAUUCAGACCUAAGUGAGGAGGUUCGUAUUGCUAAAGAGUCCAUGGAUAAAGCUCAGAGAAAGGUUGGGCAAAAUCCUAUGUCUGAUGUUUUGAGUCGCCAAGCAGGUCUUGCCAUUGAGGCCUUUUGGACGGCUGUUAGAUUGGAGGAAGCCUUCAUGUGUUAGAAGUCCAAGAGGUUUGUGAGUUGCCUUAGAACUUGUGUUACCUCCUCGAUGUUCUCCAUUAUGAUUAAUGGCUCUUUCAAGGGUUUUUUAAUGGGAGGAAAGGUUUGGGUAGAGUGAUCCUUUAUCUCCUUUCCUUUUUAUCAUGGUGAUGGAGGUCCUCUCUCGUAUGUUGAAUCGGCCUCCUCCGAGCUAUCAGUUUCACAGGCAUUGUGAGAAGGUUAGCUUAACUCAUCUAACCUUUGCUAAUGAUCUUAUGAUUUUUUGUGCUGCUGAUGAUUCCUCUCUGAGUUUUAUUAACGAGACUAUUAGAAAGUUUGGUGAUCUCUCGGGGCUAUUUACUAAUCUUAGUAAAAUUUCUAUGUUUGUUGUAGGGGUUAAUAGUGAUGAUGUUUAUCGUUUGACUACCAGUUUGGGUUUUGUUCUCAGGCAUCUCCCUGUUCGUUAUCUUGGGCUUCCUUUACUUUCUGGGAGGUUACGACCUACUGAUUGUGCUCUCUUAUUCAACGUAUUACUAGUCAGAUUCAUUCUUGGUUUGCUAGAGUUUUAUCAUUUGCAGGUAGAUUGCAACUGGUUUGAUAUGUGCUUGAUAAUCUUCAGGUUUACUAGGCUAACGUGUUUGUGCUGCCUGUGAGUGUGCAUCAUGAGGUUGAUAAAAUCUUGAGGUCUUAUCUUUGGAGGGGUAAGGAGGAAGGUAGAGGAGGUGUUAAGGUGGCGUGGGCUGAGGUGUGUUCCUUUUGAGGAGGGUGGUCUUGCUAUUCUUGAUGGGUCUUCUUAGAAUGUUGUGAGUACUAUGAAGAAUCUUUGGUUGUUGCUGACUAGUUCGAGUUUUCUAUGGGUUGCUUGGGUGGAGGCAUAUGUUCAUAAAGGAAGGUCAUUGUGGGAGGUCGAUUCUUGUGUUGGUCGGUCUUGGUGUCUUUGCGCUAUCAUGUGUAAACGAGAUAGUCUAAAAGAGCAUGUUCAGAUGGAGGUUGGGGAUGGUAGGCAUUGUAAACUGUGCCUGGAUCCGUUGUUGCAGGGUGGUCCUAUCCUUCAACAAGUUGGUGAGAGAGCGCUUUAUAAUGUAACGAGUAGAUAGGAGGCUAGGCUCUCUAAGUUUAUUGGUUCGAAAGGGGAGUGGAGGUGGUCGAGGGUGUCUUUGGAUUUGAUUAAUUUAUGGGAUAGGGUUCAAGUUGUAAGUUCGUGUCCUAAUGUUGGUGAUAGGUGGGUUUGGGUUCUUGGUCGUCAUAGUGGUUUUUUGAUUGCUAGUGCAUGGGAUACUAUUCAUCCUCGUAGUGUUAAGGUUCGUUGGACAGGUUUCUUGUGGGGUGGGGAUUGAGAGUCUCGUUAUCAUUUGUUUUUUCAUGUCCUUUUGGUUGUGAUAUUUAGUCUCGGGUCCUUUAGGUUAUGGCUUCCUCUCACAGGAUUGGGUAUUGGGGGGUUGAGUUGUUUAGGGUUUGUCAUUAGAGUAUUGGUAAGGGUGUGAGAAGGAAGUUGUGGUAUGUUCUCUGGUGUGCUACGAUUUAUUUUAUGUGAAAGGAGCAUAAUCAUUGUCUCCAUGGUGGUCAAGCUCGUGAGCUCAUUGUUCUGUUUCAGCUUAUUCCAUCUUGUAUCAGUGCUCGUGUUGUUUAUUUGCGUGAGGAUGCUCAUGGUAUUAUUUAGCUUGUUUUCUUUUGAUUUUUGUUUUAUCUGCUUGUUCUCGGGCUGUGGGGUUGUUUGGACUUUUUAUGUUUUUGUUGCUCUUAAUUUUGUUGGGUUUAUUAUUGUUCUUUCUUUUGAUACUUUGGAUUCUUCCUGUUUUUGUGAGCAUUGUCCGCUCUUGUGAGGUCAUCCUUGUUGUAUUAUGAUAUUAACUUUUCAAGAAAAAAAAAAAGAUAAUGCAAUUCAACUUUAGAUAGAAACAUGAUUCGAAUUUUCAUUUCAAGAAAAUACAAGGGGACAGAACUCAAGGAUUAUGUGGAUCACAAAACUUGAAUUACUAGAAUCUAAAUUUCCAUAUGUUAGAUAUCAUUAGAAGCAGUUAGACCAAAAGUUAAUUAUCAAUAUGUUAGUUCACAGGAACUGCAUAAUCAAGCACAUAAACAUCCACAUUGUCAUUCAUUGUAGGCAGCUUUGAUACACAAAAAAUAUGGAUAUUUUCAGAAGUUCAAGCAUACACAAAAAACAUAUCCUUGUCAGAAAAUAGCCAACUAAGAAAGAGAAGUUCAAGAUUUAUAUACAAAGUGCAGCUGCAAAAGGACAAGCAAGAUGCCAGAAUCUAUAUAUUAUGCAGUCGGAUAUUAAUUGGCAAGUACUAACAGCAAAGGUACCAAAAUAAAACCGUAUCAAUUUAUCUUGUCUAAAACUAAACAGUAUAUGUAAAUCUUGCAAACAAACAAGUUUUUUGAAUCAAAACUGCCAAAAGAUUUUGAUUCAAGUGAUAUGUGGAUUGUGAUCUUUUGUGUCACCCAUCCAUUCCUCUGUUUUAACCAUUUAAAUCAAUAAAUAAUUUUAUGUUCAAACAUAAGUUGGACAACCUUUGUUAAAGAACUGCUUCCCAAAACAAAUAGCAUUAACCACCCUUUUUUAAUUCAACACAUGGGAAUAAAGAUCGAAUCUCUGAUUUUUUGGUCUAAGGUACCUUUCCUAAACUUGUCGAAUUCCAUUUUCUACACCAACUUUAGAACGAGUAUAUACAUCAAGUAAUUUCAUGUUCAACUCAAAAUUGGACAACCAUAGUAUUACUCCAAAGCAAACAAUACUAACUGUUCCAUUAAAUAUUUUUUUAUAGCUCUUGAUUGUCUCACUUUUUUGUAUUUUGAAUUUACAAGCCUCUUUUUUCUUUCUUUGGUAUGAAAGGUGGCAACUAGGCCUUGCUAGAACGAGUGGGGUAACCUUUCUAUGGUAGUACACUUAGUUUCGAAGUUCGAAGUUUUCCUCCUACAGUGGAUCAUCGAUAUUGAUUCUUCUACUGUUAAUUCGACCUCCCAUAAUUCUCUUCUUCUAAGGAUUCACUUUUCUCUAAGGCUCUGCACUUUACUAAAAAGCCUUGAUCUUCUUCCCCCCAAUGUUUUCAUAAACUUCUUAAGACAGACCCUGACCUUGGUUAGGCUCGGAUCUCCUUGGAUUAUCACCUUAUUCCUGAUAUGUAAAUGUUAACAUCAUAUUCUUCCAAUCCACUCCAGUCGUUCCCAAGGAAUACAAUCACUGCAUUCCAAGUAUGGCAACUACCCCUCCCAACUUCAAGGGUAAAAACUCAUUCACUACCUUCUAGUCUCCCAGCAUUAACUCAACAUCUUCACAAAUUACCUUCCCUUUGACUACAGUGCCCGAGCCCAAAAUGACUCCAUAAUUCGACGUUUCUCUUGUACUCAGUUGCAACUCUUUCACUAUUUUUUCCUGAAAUGAAAUUGCGUGUGACUUCACAAUCAAUUAGUACUAUAGCCACAUUCCCUUGUAUCAUCUCUUUUACCUUCAUUUUCCCUAGGUUGGAUAAUCCCACCACAUAAUUAAUGGAUAAUUCCACCACCACCUGACUCUCCUCUACGAUCUCAGGGGCAUUCAACUCUUUCUGAUCAAUUCCUCAUUCUUCGAUAAUUUCAUACUCCUCGCCUUCUUCCUUCACAACAAUUAUUCACAAUUCCCUUUGCUCUUUCAUCUUGCAUUUGUGGUCAUGAGAAUAUUUCUCAUUACAGCGAAAGCACAAUCACUUCUUUCUAGAUUGAAAUUCAGCAUCAAAUAAGCGCUUCGCCUGUCCCUCUUUCCGUACUUCCUCUUUUGUUGUUCCUCGUCGAGUAAUAGUUCUCAUCGGCCAAUUCAUUCCUCCUUUACUUUCUUCUGUAUUCGCAAUGGUAUUAGCCUUGGUGCUAUUAUUGGAGUUUAUCACAUUUUCUCCAGAAUAUCCAGAAAUAUUUGCUUCCUGAUGUAUAUCUUCCUUGUUCUCUACCUUUUGCGCGAUUCGUAUCGUUUGUGCUAAUCCCUUCGACUCACAUAAAUCCAUCUCCGCCUAGAUCCACAGUUUCAAUCACGACAUAAAUGUCUCUUUUACCACCUUCUCUAAUAGGUCCGACAAAGGAGCUACCCACUUAUCGAAUAAAUUUUGAUAUUCCUCUAUCGUUUUCUUUUGUUGAAUUUGCAAGAACCUUACAUACAACGAUUCCUCCCUCACGGAUCGAAAUCGCACAAAUAAUCUUUCCUUCAUAUUCACCCAAUCUACAAAGUUCUCUCGUUCUUCUUGAGAACGGUAAAAGUUCAAUGCUAGUCCCUCAAAACUAAUAGUGGAUACAGUCAUUUUCUCAAAUUUAGUAAGUUUAUGAAUGUGCAAAUACCUCUCUACGUGAAACAGCCAAGAAUCGGGAUCAUCUCCAUUGAAUAUCGACAUCUCCACCUUCUUAAACUUAUUGCAGUAACUAUUACUUUCAUCAUAUAUUUUCUUUCCUUCCUUCCUUGUUUCGUUCUCCCAUCUUGGUCACCCUUCACCUUCGUCCACAUUCUUCGUCGAUAAAUUGUGCAUUGUUGUCUAUUCCAUAAUUCGUAACAUCAUCUAAAUUCUACCUCUCCAUAUUUUUGGAUAUUUUGGCCAACGUCUUUUCGAUCAUCAGUAUCUUACUAAUGUCUUUCUUAAUGUCCUGUAUUUCCUGGUCAAACGUCUCCAUCUCUUCGAUCCGAGUCUGAACCAUUUGCAUUCUUCUUGCCCGAGAUCAAUGCUCCGAUACCAAUUUGAUGGAAACCAGUCUUGGAAUGAAAUUGCUACUAUAUUAUUAAUGAUAGAAUAGGAAUGAAAUCCUAAUUACAAUAUGAAAUCCCUCUCCUGUUAUCCUCUCUCUCAAGGAAGAAUAGAAAUUCACUUUCUCAAACAAAACCUAACUUUCCCGCCCACGAUUACUUUUUAUUUAUACUAACAAUAAGGUAACUAACCCUUCCCUUUACUAACCCUCACAUGCUAUUCAUGUGCACGUGAUAUAUUUUUUUUAAUUUCUUUGUUCCUCUUCCACUGUAUAGAUGUAAUAUAGGGGGUCUAUCAGAUUCCUCCUCUUUUCAAAGCCUCCAACCAAACUCAAUGCUAAGUUUGACUGCUCCCUUCAGAGUGAAGACCCUCAUUUUCCCCCUUCCGUGGUUUGGGGAGGAUUCCUUCUCUUUUUAAAGCCCUCAAUCAAACUUGAUGCUAUGUUUAGAACGCUAAGAAUAGGUGGUCUAGUUUUGGUUAGGCCAAAAGUGAAAAUUUCCCCCAAAAGCACUAAUAGUUAGGGAACUCAACACAUUCUACUUGACUUAAUCGACUUGGCUCUCUAAUUUUUAUGAGCUUUUUUCAAUGCAUAUUGCAUAUGUUUUUUUUAUAGUUGUUGAUUGUCUCACAUUUUUAUGGUUUGCAUUUACAAGCCUCUUUUUUCUUUCUUUGGUAUGAAAUAUGGUAAUAGGCCUUGCUAGAAUCGGUGGGGUAAUCUCUCUAUGGUUCUAAGGAGCUUGGACGGUGGUUGGAGAGGGUUUCUAUGAUGUCGUCUUACACUUCUUUGAGACCAAUUACUUCCCUCAAGGGGUGAAUACGAUUGCUAUUACACUUAUUCCUAAAAGGAAUGGUGCUGAUCGAUUGGAGGAUUUCAGCCCUAUAUCUUAUUGCAGGGUUAUUUAUAAGUGCAUUUCAAGAAUAUUGGCAGAUAGGCUUCGUGUGUGGCUUCCUUCUUUUGUUAGUGGAAAUCAGCCACCUUUCAUCCCUGGGAGGAGUAUUAUUGACAAUAUUCUUCUUUGUCAGGAGCUUGUAGGGGCAUACCAUUUGCACAGAGGUAAACCUCGGUGCACUAUGAAGGUUGACCUCCAAAAAGCUUAUGAUUCUGUUAAUUGGGAUUUCCUCUUUGGCCUGCUGAUUGCCAUAGGUAGGCCUUUAAGAUUUAUGAGUUGGGUUCGAGCGUGUGUGACCUCUCCGAUGUUCUCCAUUAUGAUUAAUGGAUCGUUGGAAGGUUUUUUCCAUGGGAGGAAAGGACUUAGACAAGGUGACCCUUUAUCCCAUUCUUAUUUGUGAUGGUCAUGGAGGUGCUUUCUCGCAUGUUGAACAGGCCACCUCAGAAUUUUCAAUUCCACCAGUUUUGUGAGAAGGUCAGAUUAACUCAUCUUACUUUUGUAGAUGACCUAAUGAUCUUUUGUACUGCUGAUAAUCAUUCUAUGAGUUUCAUAAAAGAGACUAUUAAGAGGUUUGGUGAGCUUUCGGGAUUGUUUGCUAAUCUUCCUAAAAGCUCAAUUUUUCUUGUGGGGGUUAAUAGUUCGAAAGAUUCUCGGCUUGCUGCUAACAUGGGUUUUUCCAUUGGUCAUCUCCCUAUUCGUUAUCUUGGGCUUCCUCUCCUCUCUGGAAGAUUGCGGAGCUCUGAUUGUGAUCCCCUUAUUCAGCGUAUUACCAUUCGUAUUCGGUCUUGGUCUGCUAAAGUGUUAUCUUUUGCAGGUAGACUUCAGCUUGUUCGCUCAGUCCUUAGGAGCCUUCAGGUUUAUUGGGCUAGUGUGUUCAUGCUUCCUAUGAAAGUCCACAGAGACGUUGAUAAGAUCUUGAGGGCUUAUCUGUGGAGAGGUAAGGAGGAGGGAAGAAGUGGUGCUAAAGUUGCCUGGGAUGAGGUUUGUCUUCCUUUUGAUGAAGGAGGUCUUGAUAUUCGCGAUGGAUCUUCUUGGAAUAUAGCAAGCACGUUGAAGAUAUUAUGGUUGCUACUUGUUAAAUCUGGUAGUUUGUGGUUUCUUGGGUGGAAUCUUAUAUCCUUAAAGGGAGAUCGCUGUGGGAGAUCGAUGCUGGGGUGGGUCGAUCUUGGUGCUUUAGGGAAAUCUUGCGUAAGCGGGAUAUCCUUAAAGCUCAUGUUUAGAUGGAGGUGGGCAAUGGAAGGAAGUGUAGAGUGUGGUUGGUUCCAUGGAUUCAGGGUGGGCCGAUUAUCCAGCAGUUUGGGGAGAGGGUGAUCUAUGAUGCGGGUAGUCGGUGGGAUGUGAGGCUGGUGGAUUUCAUGGGUCGGGAUGGUGAUUGGAGGUGGCCGCUUGUUUCUUUGGAUUUGAUGGACAUUUGGGAUAAGGGUUCAGGGAGUGAGGCCGAGUCCGAGUGUUGAGGAUAGGUGGGUCUGGGUGCGGGGAGUCGUGAUAGUUUUUCGAUCACUAGUGCGUGGGAGACUAUUCGUCCUCAUAAGUAGGGUUGGAUGGUCGGGUUUACUAUGGGGUGGGGGAAAUAUUCCUAAGCACUCCUUCUGUGCUUGGUUGGCCAUCAGGGAUAGGUUGAGUACUAGAGAUAGGUUAAGUCGGUGGAUAGGUCGAUUCCUUUAUCGUGUUUGCUUUGUGGAGGGAACUAUGAGUCUCGUGAUCAUUUGUUUUUUUCUUGUCAUUUUGGGUGGGAGAUUUGGUCGAGGAUCCUUUUGCUUAUGUCAUCUUCUCAUAGAAUCGGUUAUUGGGGGUUGAGUUAUCUUGGAUUUAUAAUCAGGGUAUUGGGAAGAGUGUGAGGAGAAAACUGUGGCGCCUUCUCUGGUGUGCUACAAUUUAUUUCAUUUGGCAGGAGCGAAAUCAUCGUCUUCAUGGAGGUGCUGUUCGGGAGCCUAUGGUUGUAUUCCAGCUCAUUCGGUCGUGUAUUAAAGCGUGUGCUGCUUCUUGGUCGGAUGGUGUUCAUGGUCUUAUUUAAUGUUCUUUUCGUUUGCUUGUCCUCGGGCUGUGGGGUUUCUCUUCUCUUUAUUAACUUUGUUGUCUUUCUCUCUUUUCUUGUCCUUUUAAUGUUUGGAACACUAGUUGGUUUCUUUUGGUUUUAGUUCUUGUUCCCGAGAUGUGGGGUUGUUUUGGGUACUUAUGGGUUGUUUUGUCUAACUACUUGUUUUGUGAGUGUUGUUCGCUCUUUUGUCUUGACCUCAGGCUGUGAGGUCCACCUUGUUGUUGUAUAAUAUUAUCAUUAUUACCUUUUCAAAAAAAAAUCAAACUCAAUGCUAAGUUUGACUGCUCCCUUCGAAGUGACAACAAGCCUCGUUUUCGCCCUACUGUGGAUCGAGGAGGAUUCCUCCUCUUUUCAAAGCCCUCAAUCAAACUUGACGUUAUGUUUAAAACACUAAAAAUAGAUGGUCUAGUUUUGGUUAGGCCAAAAGCGAUGUUUUCCCCCAAAAUCUCUAAUAGCUAGGGAACUCAACAUGUUCUACUUGACCUAAUUGACUUGACUCUGUAUUUUUUAUGAGCUUUUUUUAAUGCAUAUUGCAUAUGUUUUUUUUUUAUAAUUGUUGAUUGUCUCACUUUUUUAUGGUCUGCAUUUACGAGCCUCUUUUCUUUCUUUGUUAUGAACUGCGGUAACUAGGCAUUGCUAGAACCGAUGGGUAACAUUUCUAUGGUUCUACACUUAGUUUCUAAGUGUGAUUGCUCACCUCUAAUUUUCAAAACACUUAAUUUCUAAGCACAUACAAUGUUCACCUAGAAAAAAAUGAAAAUUGUUGUAGUUAAGAUCAAAACUAAAUAGUUAUGAAAUAAGACAUAAGAGAUUUGAUUUUAACAACCUUCCCGUUGUACUUGGGAUCCACUCUGGCUUUGUGCUGGAAAAUUGGUUUGGAGCUGAUCGUAAGCUUUCGGUUGCUCUUCUGUAACCUUUAGAUACUCUUCAAAGCUAUAAGCUUUGCUUCCUGACGAAUAAUCUUCUACUAUUACAAUACAUAAGAAAAUUCUAUUUCAUAAACCCUGUAUCAUAAUUGAGGCUGAUAGAAUGAUUAUUCUAUAACCCUACUAUAGUUUCAUUCUUAACAUUCAUAGACACGAUGCAUGGCAGCUAUCCAAUUCUAUUUCAUGUUCUCGAGAAUGGCUCGGUUUAACAAUAAUGUUAAUUUUUGUUUUCUAUUUUAAAAUAAUAACGCUGCUUACUAAUAACUAAAUGUUUUAAGCCAUUUACAAAUUAGAUUUCAAUAAAUCGAUAAUCAUAUUUUUUUACAAUAUAGGACUAAAAAAGAUAACUAAUUUAUAUAUAUAUAUAAUAUAUAUACAUAUACAACAGUAUUUAGUUAAAUUACAAAAAAAAAUUCUUUUGAAUUUUGUAGUUUGUGUAAAAAAAUAACCUUAAACUUUGAAAUGUUAAAAAAAAUUGUUUUGAACUUUUAAAAAUUAUUCAUAAAUACAUCUAUAUACGUAGGAUGAAGGUAUUGGCAUGCUUCUCUAAAAAAACUUUCCAAAAAGAUGUUGUGUGACUUUUGAAAAGAAAAAUUACAAAUGGGGUCGUUUUUAAACAAAUUAGAUAUAUCGAGUUAUAUUUAUUUAAUUUUUUUCCUUUUUUCACAUAUUAUCAAUCACAUCUUACUUUUUUCUUUUUUCUUUGGAACCCUGCAAAAAUAACAAAAACAUUUAUAAUCACAUGACUCAUGUCACUACAUUUUCUAAAUUUUAAAAGUAGUAAAUUUAAAAGUUGAUAACCCUAUGAUUAUCGUUUGAUAGUCAUCUAAUAUCACUAAUUUUGUCAUAUUCGUAAUAUCCAAAUAAGGUUUCUUGGUGAGUCUAGAGUCAAACGUGAGGACUUAUACUAAAAAUAUAUUUAUAUUUUGAAAUUAUCUUAAGGUGAUUAAUAACAUACGCCUAAGAACAAUAGCGGUAUCAUCCACUUGUAAGGGGGGAGGGGAGUCAUCCACUAUAGAUAAGGUCCACUUGUCUCCCUCACCCAACUUCAUAAGGCUGCCAAAAGAGUUAGGCAUAAUCACAUCCACACGUUUACCCUUCUCUCGAACAUAAACCAACUCUCUUUUCUUCCUAAUAACGAGUAAUUUCAUCUCGAUUACCUACCUCCUUUUCCUUAAUAUGCCUAAUGGGGGAGCUAUUAGUCUUACUUUCCUCCAACUAUUUAAAGUCUAACACCACAUCCACAAGACACAAUUGUCCAUUCCUCCUCUUUGUUUGAAACCACCUUGCUCACAUCCUUCUCUCGAUGAACUUUGUUUUCCACAAUCUUAGGACACUUACCACUAGAAUGCCCAAAAGACCGGCACAAAUUACACCUUCGAGGCUUCCACUCAUAAUUCACAGUCAUAACGAAAUCCUCUCCCCUAAGGUGAAUUGUAAAUUCAGCAAGCAUAGGAGAGUCCACAUUUGAUUCAACACAUCUCAAGCAUGUGACAACCUUCGUCUUUCCUUAGUAGCUAGAUCUAAAGAUAGAGGUUUUCCUAUAGCACUAGCCACAACAGUCAAUCUGACAUCUAUCCAUAACUCCAUUGGAAUCCUACCUAGUUUAAUCCAUAUAGGAACAUAAUAAAAAACAAAGGAUUUAGGGACAAUACCUGGAGUCCAUUUACAGAGGAGCAUACUUUUGCCAGCAAGAUGUCGCGAUCAACGAGGUAGGAUCCAUUCAACAAGUUUUGGGCAUCUGAAUUGGAAACAUAUGAGUCCGUUCUCAAGAAUUGUAAUCGUUGGCAUUUUAAUUUUAUCAACAAUAACAACGAGCUAAACAAAUCCUCUAUCCAGGACGCACUAAUGAAAACUAAAAUGUAAAAUAAGUACGAAGUAAUUAAUUAAAACAGAAGACAAAAGAAACCCAAAGUAAGUUGACAAAAUGCCCACAAUAAGCUUCAAGAUGAGUGAGAGGGAACACCAAGAGAAACAUGAAUAGCCUUGCUAACUUUUCACUACUAGCUAACUACAUAUAUUUUUACAAUACGUGUUAGGGAAAUCUUUCCCUUUGCAAAACAGACCAAUAUAUAAUCAAUCAUUGGCUCCUUAUGGGAAAAUACAGAAGCCCUAUACAUGUCUGUUUCAAGCUUGUGUUGAACAACUUUUAAUUCCCUAAGAUAAGGAGAUUUAUCUGAAGGUUCGAGAAUAAUGGCAUGUCCUAAACUAACCCACCAUUUCGCAACAGUGAACCAGUUUGAUCGUUAGGGGACAACUUUUGAUAAUAAGCGCACAACCAUGCCCCAAUUCCAAUGUUGCCCAAAAGUAAAGGCCUUUCUUCACAAUGCUCCAUAAAAAAAAAGUUUGACUUUCACAUAAAGAUCUUAUUUCUUUUUUAUUGCUCCAAGAGAUCUAAUAGAUCUAUUUUCACCACGCAAAUCCCUUUUGUUAUCAUGGAAAAUGUGUUGGUUGUGCUCAAACCAAAUCUCUGCUUGCAACACUUUUAUCAAAUUAACCCAUGUUUUUUUUUAAAAAAAAAGAGGAUAUGAGUCUCACUAUUAUUAAUAUUGAAAAAUGAAGAGACAAAGCUCAAUGUCAUGAGGAUUAUACAAAGAGCAAUAGGAUGGAGGAUCAAUAGACGCACCUGGACAUCUCAACUAGGUUGACACCCCCUUAGCACCCUCAUCACAUCCAAAAAGCGACAACACAAGAUCAAAACCAAAAGCCACAAAUAGAAGGCUUUUUUUGUGUUUGUUUUGCCUUUGGACAUUACUCCUUUGUUAUGGGUUUUAGCUUGGUUGGAUAUGAUGAGGGUGCUAUGGGGGUGUCAACCUAGUUGAGAUGCCAAGGUGCACCCCCUGAUCCAUGGUUACAUGUUCAUUGUAUAACUCUCUUGUACUAUGAGCUUUUGUCUAAUUAUUAUUAUUAUUUUAAUAUUAAUAAAGAGGUUGUCUCCUUUUCAAAAAAAAAAAAAAAACAAAAAACAAAACAAAACAAAAGCCACAAAUAUAAAACCAAGCAAAACGAUAAAAUAAUAUGUCCAAAACAAAAUCAUAAAUCAUAGGUAGCAGGUCGAGAACAAAGAAGAAUAAGCCUUGAUUGAGCAAAAAAUCCCAACAAAUAUUGAAUGUUUGGAGAAGACGGAACCAACAUUUCGAUACAAAGACAUAGUCAAUUCAAAGGUGCUAAAUAUUUUUCAUGUUAUCAACACAAAUGGGGCAGACAUGAGGUGAGAGGACAUGGGAGGGAAGUUUUCUUUGAAGUACUAAAGCACAGUUUAAUUUUCCAAACAACGUAAUCCAUAUGGGGAUAUUUAUCCAAAGAGUGAGCUAAAUAGCCCAAUGAGUGAUUGUUUUAUAAAACAUCGUUUUGAAAUAAUAAGUAUUUAACAAUUAACUCUUAACAUAAAUGAAAUCAAACUCAAACAACUUAUCUCAAACUUUCCCUUUCAGUUGCUAUACCUAGAAUCGUCGAGACGAAAAACAAUAAACUAGGCAUAGAAGCCCUAUCCCGUGAUACGAUACUUACGAGAUGAAACUCUAGGCAUCAAUUGUGCCCUAUCUCGUUAUAACUACAAUGAGAUGGAAAACUAGGCAUUCGUACAGGCUCUCAUCCCUUGAGAUGGGAAACUAAGCAUCUUUAGAAGUCUUCAUCUCUUAUCUAAUACCAAUGAUGGAAAGCUAGGUAUUUACUGAAUAUCCAAAUCAAAUGACCUCUAUGCACAAGAAAAUAUUUCCCGAAGGGUUGCUAUAUAUCUUAGAAUAUUUUAGGUAUAGACUAAAACAUGCUAAUAUUAUUUUCAAGCUUAAACAUUUUGAAAACUUAGCACAAUCAUGAUUGCUUAUAAUUUUCAUUAGUAAAUUCAUCAAUAAAAACAUGUUUACCAAAAUGUUUCUAAAUUCAUGCUUUGGAAAUACUUUAUAAGUCAGUAUUCUCAAAUAUUCAAACAUCAAAGCAUGCUUGAAACAUUUGAUAGUAAAUUCAUGUUUAGAAAUCAACUUUAAACUCAUUUUUGUCAUUUAUAGAGAGUAGCUUGGACCCUUGGCUUAUAAACUUGUUCGAUCUCCUUCAGAUCUAAAAUAAUGAAAAAUAAUGGGAAAUAAUUCCAUUUAAUUCCCGUUGAUCAUAAAAAUAUCAAAACUUUGCUUAAAAUUUCCAAAAACCACAAAAACAGCCCAAAGACAUUAGCUUGCGUACAAAAUAUUGUGGCAGAAGUUGGCAGGUGCGCGUAGGGCUUGCCUUGCCAUGUCUCGUUCUAACCUCAUGUGCAGCGUGUCACAAUCACAACUUUUCAAACACGGAACAGACUAUUGUGCGACACUUGUUGUAACUCGAUGAACACGUCAGUUGUAUGAAAUUCGAUACGAUGUAGCCUCCCUAUAGGUUUUAAGAGAAAUUGGUUUUAUUAAACAUGAGAGAGAAAGGAAAGCAUUGGAAACAUCGUUAAAAAAAACUUUGAAGACUGUCCAUUGCAAAGAGAGCUUAAAUUGCAAAGAGUACCAUUAGUGUCGUUUUUAAGAAAAUUGUUUUCUUCUAGAUAUUAUAACUCUCUUUCCUUCUAGGAAUAGAAAAUGAAGUAGAAGAGAAUCAUGAGAUUCUAUUAAUUUAUAAAUAAUUAAAUUAAUAUAUAUUUCAAAUCUACUGAUUAAUUAAACAUUAAUCAAUUAGUUAAUAAUUAAUGAAAUCGAAUUUAAUUAAAUAAUAUUAAACUAAACUAUUAAUUAAUUCUCCAAUUAACUAAUAACACUAAAUUAUUUAUCUUAUAUUUAACUUAAAUUAAAUUUGAAUCAUAUUCAAAUAUAAGUUUCUCUCAAUAAUUUUAAUAUGAAUCCAAUUCACAUUAAAUUAAUAUUUGAACUCAUUCAAAUAUUUUAUCUCUCAUAAAUUAAUUUUGAAUCAUCCCCAAAGUUAAAUUUAUAUAGUAAAGUUUGAUAAACUUUAUAUUAUAAUGUAUCACUAUACAUUAUACUAAUUCCCAAGUUAAAUUUAAACAUUUUAAAUUACAACCAAUACAAAUAAAUCUCAUUACCCUUUACGAGCUAGGAAAGGGACCUAAUGGACCUACAGAUCAGAAGCUACAACGAUCUAAGAUUAAUUGGCUAAACUCAUUAAUCAAUAUUUGUUAGCUUUGUGUACACUCCACUAAAGACUCACAACUGAACUCUUCUCACUAAAAAUAUAUUUAUGUGUCCAUGGAUAUAGACCAAUAAUAGUAAGUUAGUCCUUCACGAGUGUUUGUAACACCAGUUGGACCAAUUUACCGCUUUACCCCUAUGUUACCUCUAAUCCUUAAAAACCAGUGCUCCUCUAAUGAACAACUUGUUUAUGGUCCUACUAAUAAACAAAAACCCAUCUCAUGUCAUAGAGAGGGUACGAGCCCUUUGUUCAAGUUUUGGAGACACCAUUUAAGCUAACAUUCAUCUACUUACCCUAAAGUAGGAAAUGAGUGAAUUCCAUUUUGUGCAAUUAUAAUCCCAACUCCCCACUCAGUCUUGUCCCCAAAAUCACUACUACAAAAACAGGCUCUCUUGACGGUUGUAGUUUUCCUUUCUUGACGUUUUUUCCCAAAAACGUCAAGAAAGAUGUGAUUUCAAAUAAAAAAACGUCAAGAAUUUUUAUGAAAGGCCAAUUUUCAACUUUCUUGACGUUUAUUAAACGUCAAGUAAGAUGUACUUUUUCUUGACGUUUUUUAAACAUCAAGAAAUAUCUAAUAAUUUUUUGACGUUUUAAAAACGUCAAGAAAUUUAUAAAAAAAUUCUUGACGUUUUUAAAACGUCAAGAUAAUUCUAAAAAAUCAUUGAUGUUUUUAAAAACUUCAAGAAAUUUUAAUUUGUUUUUGAUGUUUUAAAAACGUCAAGAAAUUUCCAAAAAAAUUAUUGUGUUAAUUUUCUUUUACAAAACGCAACGUUUCAAUUAGAUCACUUCCCCUUUUCUUAAUUAAACCUAAUUCGCCGCGACUUUGUCCCUUCUCCACCCGAAAUCAAAAGCGUCGUUCACCUAACCUUCCCUUCGCGUUCAUCUGUGCAUUCAUCUGCGUUCAUCGCCGAAAAAGACUUCCCUUCGCGUUCAUCAGCGUUCACCUUCAUUCAUUUGCCUUCAUCGUCCGUCACCGUUCGUCUGCUUUGCGUUCCCUUCACCUUCGUUGAUUUGCGUCCGUCUGUUCACCGUUUGAAAUGUGUAAACACAUUCUCUAUUCGAAAACGAGUAAACACGUUCACCGUCCUUCUGUCGCAUUCCACUUUCGCUAAACCUCUAUUCGUUUCCAAAUCCUUCAUGGUUACUCAUUCAUUUUCUUCCCUUUCUAAAGGUAAUAAUUUUCCUUUUUUCCUUUGUGAUUAAAAUUUGUAAUUUGGAAUUUAAAAUUGGAAUGCAAAAUUAAAGAAGAGGAAAUAUGCCUUAGAGAAUGGAAGAAAGGUUUUGCAUUUUAGGCUUGAAAAGGGGGGAUACAAGUUAUUAUAAUUGUAAUAUAUAAUAUUUUGAACAAGGCUACCAAGCGUGCGAAUAUGAUUCAUUGGUUAGUUUAGGGAUUGGAAAGAGAAGGAUUGUGGAGUUUGUGAUAAUAUUUUGGUACACUGGAGCUGGAAACAGAGAAUAUUAAAAAACACAUACUGUUAUACACAAUAUUAUAAUAAUACGAAUCACUAGAUUUUCUUCUUCGUUUUCUUUUUCUUCUCCUUGAAUUUUUGUUAUGGGUAUUGUAUUGAGUUUUGUGUUUUAGAUUGUGAAGUAUGGGGUAGCUAAACUCUUAAUCCUAGGGAUAGAUGUAGACAAAGUUUAUGAAUUAUUCUUUGUAAUGCAUCUGAUUAUCUGCUCUUAAUCUUUUCAUGUUUUUAUGUGAAUAAUGUUCAUAAUAUCUUAAUCACAGAUUAAUUGUUGAUUGGCCAUGAACCUUAAUCUUUGCAUGACUAGAGUGGUUAUGAACUUGGAAAGAGCUAAUUAAGGAUCCUUGAGGAGGUUGUUGAAAGAAGUGGACCUAAAAACUUUUGUUUGUUAAUAAAAAGAAAAAUGAACAGAGAUUCAUCUUCGUGAGGGGUCUUGAUGUUUAAUUUAAUUUAAAUUGUGUAUGAAUUUUUAAUUACGAGCAUUUUAAUAUGUUGCGUUUUAAUCCUAGGGAUAGAUGUAGACAAAGAGCACUAUAGCCAAGGUAUAGAGUGAGGGAGAUAAGGUUUAUAUGUCUUAGAGAAUGGAAAGAUGGAAUUUGUGCUAAAAUCAUUAGUGUUCCAAAUACAAUUAUGAAUUGGGUAUAGUUGCAUUCCCCCUUCUGGAUUGCAUAGCACAUAAAUAUACUCUCAUGGAUUGCAUAGCACAUAAAUAUACUAUCAAAAACAAUAACAUAAAACACAAACUUGAUUUAGUUUCAUUCACACUUGUACACCAACAUGUUUCAAUUAAUGAUCAUAUAUUAAAAAUCAUUUUCAAAUUUGGUAAUAUAAAAUGGAAGAAGUGAGACCUUGAGGUUUUAACCACCAAUACUAUCUAACUGAUGAGUUUAUGAUUUUUGUUUCUAUUGUGUUUUUCCUUAAGCUUUAACUUGCUUUAGGGGCAAGAUGGUGAAGGUCUAGUCCACAACCUUUCCCAAGAAUUUAAUGAUGUUUGGGUUGACCCAAUUAUUGUUAUUGGACACCGUUUUAUGGUAAUUGGUUGUUAUGGUUUUUAAGUGUGUUUUGAUAUCUUGUGUUAAAAAGUAAUUGCAAAAAGUCAGAAAAGUUUGUUAAAGAUUAAGUGUUUUUAAGUUUGUCAUUCCACUUUAAUUCUCACCAGUACUUGCUGAAUGGAAGCCUCUUGUCUAAGACAAUUCGAGUGGAAUAACUCUCGUGACUACCACAACAUUUGGGAACUCACCAAAUGUAAGACUAUUCCUUUAUCCUAGCAUUUGAUCUCUCUCUAUAAUUUGGUUUGCUAUCGUAAGUUUGAUUAAAAUAAAUGCUGAUAAUUCAACUCCAAUGUUCUUAUUUUCUUAACUCUCAUUCAGUCAGUUAGAAUCAGAACUCAUUUAUUUAUCUUGUCUCCAUAAUUUGGAUUCAAAGAUUCAUCACAAUAAUCUUCUCAACAACAUUCUUGAAAAGGUAUUGAAUUUUCAACUGUGUGACCUUUAUACACAAAUUUCUUCAAAGAAAUUUACAUUCUUUAGAGUUUAGAGCUUUGAAUUCUAGUACAACUUAUGAAGCUUUUGAUACUUGUUAGACUUUUUUGCUUGGUGCGGAUAAAACCUUAUUUACAUUCUUUCUUUCCUGCAUGUUCUCUUUUGAUAUUUGUUAGACUUUUUUGCUUGGUUGUCCUUAGUGUUUUCCUCUUUAGCUGAAAUUUCUCUAUCUUGAAAAAAAUAGAGCUUUAAAAUUCAACUUCAACUUUAUUUGAUACUAUCUUAGUCCAUACUUAUUUUGGUAUUUCUUUCCUUUCUCACAAACACAUCUAAGAGGUUGCCUUCACAAUAUGGCCAAAUUAACAAUAUGGCAACCUUUUUCAUUGCAAAACAUAUUAGAGGUUGGUUACUUAGUUAGCCUUAUUGGGUAAAUAAUUGACAUUUAGGUACUUUUUAGUUUGUAUAUUUAUAGAUGCCAAAUCGAUAUGUGAAUUUUAAUUGUUGCUUAUUUGAAACAUUGCAACCAUUUGAUAAAAUGUUGCUAUGUGAAUCCAUCUUAACUUGAUAUAUUAUUUUAUUUUGGUUUAGGUUGUGGAAUCCAAGUUUGUAUUUGAAGUCAAAUUCAUCCAAGAUCAUUGAGUUUCAAAGCUUCUUUAAUUAAGAUUUUGUUUCUUGAACUAGAAUUGUAGUCUUGUGAUUUUUGGAAUAGCAUAGUUGGAUUGGUUUUGUAAUUUUGGGAUUAUCAUAUUAGGUUGGGGUUGACUGAAGUAGUGUUUUGUAUAUGACAAUAUCGAACAAACAUGUAAAGUUUUCGAAAUGUUCAUACAUAUAUGAUUAAAUGUUAAUAUAUGUUAAAGUUUUGGAAUUGUAUUCGUGCAUAUUUAUGAGAUUGUUGGGCCACACUACAAGAAUUAUAGAGACAAUACAGGAACAAAAAUAUAAAUAAAUUAUAAUUUAGAAAAAAAAUGAAACAAGCUUCAUGUUUUUUAAAUGUCAUAAACAAAUACAUUCUUGACGGUUUUUCAAUGUCAUUAACAAGUAAAUUCUUGACGUUUUUUAAACGUCAUAAACAAUUGUGUUCUUGACCGUUUUUAAAUGUCAUAAAUUACAUUCUUGAUAGUUUUUAAAUGUCAUGAAUACUCAUUCACUUGACGAUUUUUAACUGUCAUGAAUAUUUGUAUACUUGACGUUUAUAAACUGUUAAGAAUCGCUAUUCUUGACGUUUUAUUAACCGUCAAGAACUUUGACUUUCUUGACGCUGGCUUCAACGACGGUUUUAAAACCGUCAAGAAUAGUGAUUCUUGACAGUUUAAAAACGUCAAGAGAGUCUAUUUUUGUAGUAGUGAAUGAUAAGCUUAUUGAGUCGGCGAUCUAGCCACUCUCACUCGUACAAAUCAAAGGACAAUCUCUCGCGAACAAGAGUUCAUAAUACACUCAAGAUUAAGACUAAGUUAUCUAGGUCAUCCUAGUGAAAUAGAAACCUAACUAGUUAAUGUAGUAACACCAAGUGGUUACUAUUUCACGGUCUGGUCUAUUGCAAUCUCAUUGCAUAGGAUACCUUCACUCGCAUGUCAACUACAUGAACACAUUGGAUCAUUGUAUUUGUAUCAAAUACAAGGUGAGUCGUAUUCAUAAUGUUACCAGGAUAAAGGUACCCAGUCUUAUCCCUAUACUAUAGACCCUUUAAGCUGAUCUCGAACAUUGAUCCUUGUAUGUCUCUACAUAAUAUUCAAUACUUAUUAAACAGUUUAGGAUGUUAGUUUAUUGGAUUUGAGUUAUUAAGACAAAACUAAUAAUAUAAUCAAUAACAAUUAUUACAAUAAUAACACUUUAUUAACAAUGGUCAAUGGAUUAUAUUUACAAUCUACGAGUUUUAGGACAUAAAUUCCAACAAACUCCCACUUGGACUAAAACUCUAGUCUCUUUGGGAUGUUCAUAAUAAAGUAAUCCUCUAACAUUGAAAAUGGUAAAAUGUACAAGUGUAUUACAUAGAAUGUGUAUAUACAAAUACAAUAAACUAGGGCAUCCUCAUACCCAUUACACAUCUGCCACUUUUCCUAGAUUACCUAAUGUACAUAACUCGCAGAUCUAGACUUUCUAGAAGACCCUUGAACACUUUAGCCAUGAGAGUCUUUGUAAAUGGAUUAGUAAUAUGCCCCACUAUUAUCACAAUAUAGAGUGAUGGGGUAUGUUCAUGUUUGGAACAACUUCCAAAUUAUGCAAGAACUUCCUCAGCAAAACUGCUUCUUUUGCUGCUUCACAAGUAUCAAUAUACUCAACUUUCAUAAUAGAGUGUGUAAUGACGCGUGGCUCAGGCUGCUUGAUCAUGCUAGGACAUGCUUUCUGCAUGUCCGAAGCCUAAAUAACCUUCUUUCGCUCAAAACACACGCUCAUCUCACCUUGUCAUCCUGGCAAUCAACCACCCUUGGCCUUGCUAGAAAUAUGAUUUUUCUACCAGAAACUUAACUCGACUUUGAAGCUUAAAUCAAUAAGAUUCCUUCUACAAACUUACUUAGAAUGUCUUCACUAGCUUACCACAAAGUGUCACUAACAAAUUCCAAGUAUUGAGUUAUGUAGCUCCAAAAUACUCUAACAUUGUUUAGGUUUUUUUUUUUUUUUUUUUUUUUUUUUUCUGAAAAUGACCUUUGAGUCUUUCUUCACUUCAAUGCCUUUCUUCCUGGUAGCCUUUCUCCUGAUACUACACUCAAUUUAGGAGAUUUUCGAAGUAGAGUUACCCAAUUAACACAAGUUGAUUGUUAACAUAAUUCGUCCAAAGUUGUACAUAUAGUGAUCCUUGCAUGCUCUUUGGUUGACACUUUUAUUAUCACCUCUUACGCCUAUACUUGCCACUUUCCACCUCAUGCAAGACACUUAUUUGGCAAAACUUAGGUAUCUUGUAUGUUGUCCACUUGUACUCUACCGCACAUCUUACCUCAUAUUGCUUAAGUCAUCCUUGGACGCAUAUCCCUUUUUCUAUAAGGGUUCUUUAGUAAAUUCUUACUGCCAAGAAUGCCUAAGACUUUUUUUUUCUCGCCUAAUCUCCCAAACAUCCCUCAAUGCCUUCAACAAACCAUGCCAUCUUGACUAGCAUUUUGUUGAAUUGCCCCAUUGGCCGCAUGGCCUAUGUCCACAUAGCCCACCUCUUUGUUGCAUGACAUUCCUUAUCCACGUUCUAACUUCUUUAGAGUUUCUUGACAUUUCCUAGAUGCUUAGCUUCCUUGCCUUAGCGCAUACCCUUGGUCAUAUAGCCUUGUCUUAUAGAGGUUGUCUUGACACCUUUCGGCCCAUACCACAUCUCAACCUUUGGCCACCCAACAUGUCUCUUUAAAGGUUCGCUUGACACUUUUGGCCGCCUAGAGUAUGCAACAUGCCCUAGCUAACACUUAGCCAAUUUUCGAACACCCUUUAGGCCUUUCUUUGUUACGAUGACACUUUUCUUUUGUCAUCUUAAAAAUAUUAACACAUCUUCCAUAACACUUCAACUAAACUAUCCAAUCUUAAACCAUCUUUCUCCUAACAUCAACCCCUAAUGUCCUAUUGAGUUCUUUAGAUGAAUUAAGGAUUAUUGGGUAUCAGGGUUUACAUGCGAGAUGUAAGUCUUCCUCUUUGGAAUUACGUAUAGUAGUGUGCGGAGGGAGAGGAAUGUGAUGCAGUUCUUCCUCCUCAACCCUAAGGAAUUCGUCUUCGCUAACAAUGCCCUUUUUAUCGGGUAAGGGCUUGCUCGGUCAGGUCGUGAGGUGAAGGAUGUUGUUAUAAUGAUGAGGUAUUUGGUGGUGAGAGGAUAAUAUUAAAGGUUUUGAGGUGUCUUCUUCUUCUCUCGCCAUUCUUCAUCUUAUUAAGCUUCUUCUUCUCUUUAUUCUUUAUCUUUAUUAAAGGUUUUAAGGUGUCUCUGUUCUUCUUUAUUUUGAUGGAGUGUUAUGGUUUGGUUGAGAUUCGCCUGAGAACAUGCAUAAGGGGUGAUUGGAGAAAAGCUAAAAGCUUAGGAACCGUCAGAGGAAGGGCAGAUCAUUAAUUGUAUGUUACGCCUUCCUCUGACGUGGUGGCAGCAACGUUGAGAAUAGAUUUAGGGAUUCCCGACGUAUUAUUAAUCGCGUGGGAAUAUGUUUAGGGAUUUCUGACGUUUAACAAAUUAGGUCAAGAAUAGGGUGCUAUUCUCGACGUUUUCGUUGUGCGUCAGGAGUUCUCUGUCUUUUUUAACUCCAUUCUUUACAUAAAAAAAACAUAAAGAGAAAGAAAAUGAGAGAGAGAGAGGGAGACCGAGAGGAAGAUUGAGAAGAAGAGGGCAUUGUCAUCUCCAUUGCCGUCCUCUGUUGUCGUCCUGUCGUCGUCGCCAUCUGUAAGUGGUUUAGUUUAGAUAUUGUUUUGUUUUAGUUAAUUAGUUUUAGUAUUUAGAUUUCAAAUUUGUUUUAGGUGUUAGAUUUUAGAUUUCAAAUUAGUUUUAGUAUUUAGAUUUUGAAUUAGUUGUAAGUUUUAGUAUUGAAAUUUAAUUUCAAGUGUUGUUAGAAUUUUAAAUUAGUUGUAGGUUUUAGAAAUUUGAAUUUGAAGUGUUGAAGUUGAGAUUGAAGUGUUAAAGUUGAGGUUGAAGUGUUGAAGUUGAGUUUGAAUUUAAAAUUUUCAAUUUGAAUUUAGGAAUUAAUUGAAGUUAUUUUUUUUUAAAAAAAUAGAGGAUCUCCCGACGCAUGGUUCCUAGACAUCUCUCGAUGCUAUAUUGACAACAUCUUUGACGUUCAUACAACGUCGGAAGAUGUCUAGAAACUCUCGACGCACAACAUUGUGCAUCGGGAGAGGAACUCCCGAUACAUUUUUCCUGACUUGUGUUCCGACAUAUAUUAGUGCGUCAGAAAAGCCUUUUCUGACGCUUUUUAUAUAUCUCCCAAUGAUUUUAUGCAUCGAGAGAGCCCUCAUUUCUUGUAGUGUUAGACAAAGAGCUUCAAUGUGGUAGAGGGGAAAGGCAUGACACCUUUAGGUUUCAUCAAAGAGAGGAUUGAGGUUCUGAUUACGGCGCUAAGGUUAACUGCGCCAUCUUCUUCUUAAUGCAAUAAAUCAUCAUUGUGCACUCUAGUGGGAUGGUGUUGUUGUCAACCAGGCAGGCGGUUUCGUUUUCAAGUCUUAGUUCUUAAUUCUUAACAACCUUUGAGUAUUGAUGCUCUACCCCAACCCUCAUCCAAAACGAUAACUAACACAAUGGUUUGGAAGUUUUUGUGAAAUAUCAUCUAUACUUUUUCUUUAAUGGUCGAUGAAAAAAAAAGUCAGGAAAAUGGUAUUUCUAACCAUUUUAAGUGUUACCAAAAUAUCACAUUUGGUGUAGUAUGGUAUUGUUUUGAAUAUUUUUGUAAAAUAGUGGAUCAAGAAGUUUUACUAAGAUAAAGUUUCAUGUUGGACAAGAGGAUAGUGGAUGGGAAUUAAGUUGAAUGGUCCACUUUUUUUUUAAAUCCUUUAAGGUUUUAUGAAAACCUUUCACAAUACCUUUUCAUAAUCAUUUUGUAAAAAUAAUAUCAAAUCAUUUAAAUAUACCAAAAAAUUAUUUCAUUUCAAAUAAACCUUUCUAUGCUUAAAAAAUCAUUUCAUUUUGUCAAGGAUCCCGAAUCGUUCUCUACGCUUGGUCUCAUUACCUCGCGUUUAGACUACUGUAUCAACAGCAUCUGAGAACAUACAAAUUCGUCUUUGUUGCUCAUACCGCUAAGCUUUAUACGCUCAUUUCAAUGCAUAAGUCAGCUUCUUAUUACCAUGUAGUUCGUACACUCCAUAGUGGCCUUCACUCUUUAUGUGCACACAAAAGUUAGCAUCAUCUCAAAGAAACAUAAUAUUGAAAUCAUAGUCAUCAAAUCAAGCUUUAACAUUAUAAAUAAUGCUUGAAAACAUAACUUUUCAUAGAAAUCUUUCUGAAACAUUCUCAUCUGAAUUCUUCUUUCGAAUCAGUAAAGAGAAAUCGUAAUAAAGUUUCUUAACAUAAAUUCUUUUGACUGAAAAGCACUCACCAAACUUUACUAAAGAAGUCCUUCUCACAACCAUCUUUUCGUGUGGCUAAACCAACAACACUUUAGCAUUUCAACAAAACUCUCAUCAUCCCCUCCUUAGUUACCUAAAUUCUCCUAUUUUAUAGAUCCCUUAUACUAACUUAGUCAUGCAAAUCCUUAAUAUUUAACCUAGUCAUGCUCAAAUCCUUAAUCUUACAUGUUAACCCAUGUCAAAUAAGAUUUGACAUUUUCUUUACAAACCUUGCUCCCCACCUACCCAAACCGUGAAUAAAUUCAACCACUUAACAUUUCUCGUGAAUAACCUUAUCGCUUGAUUAUAUUUUUAUUAUAAGAAACGUUCCACAUGAACUAACCAACUUUUACUCGCAUAAAACUCUUAUCACGAACUUAAACUCCAAGGCUUCCUUGUAGACUUCUUCUCCACGAAAUGCUUGAUUCUUCUCGGGAAGACCACCCAAAACUCCUAGUCUAACACUCAAAACUUUCAUUUCUUAACUUACGCAAAGACUUUUUCGCUUCUUAUCGCACAACUUCUUUCGCGAACUACACACUUAUCGCAAAAAAGUAUACUUAACCGUAAAAGAUCUUAUCACUUAAUCUUUCCAUGGAUUUAUUUGAACACCAACUUAUUAAUUCUUAGCCGAAUUUUACUUCCUUACUCAAAUUAGAAAUGGGUCGCACAACUUCCUUCGCAAACUACCCACUGAAUCGCAAUAACGUAUACUUAACCAUAAAUUUUUUUAUCGCUUAAUCCUUUUCGUGGAUUUAUUCAAACGCCAAAUUCUUAAUACCUAGCCAAAUUUACUUCAUUACUUAAAUUAGAAAUGGGUCUCACAUUUAGAGCCUAUCGCUUCUUUAAGAUACAUGAUCUUACUGAUUCAGAGAAAUUAACCACAGGCGUUAUUAGUUUUGAUGAUCUGGCAUUGGAUUGGUACCAAGCACAAGAAGAGUUGGAAGUUUUUAAGAAUUGGGCUGACCUGAAAGAACGAAUGCUUGUACAGUUUCGAUCAAUUCGAGAACGAACUUUGGUUGGAAGAUUUUUCUCAAUCAAACAGAAAAUGAAUGUAGAAGACUACCGCAACCGAUUUGAUCGAUAUUUAGCUCUAGUAGCAUUUCUUCAAACGGUAGUGUUAGAGGAGACUUUGAUGAUUGGGCUUAGCCCAUGAAUAAAAAUGGAAGUGGAAAUUGUGGGUUGAGCAGUGCAUUUCAUUGGGUUGGCCCAGAUGAUGAAAUUUGCGUUGAAGAUUGAGAAUAAGGAACUAGUGAGAAAAGAGUGUGGGUUGAGCAGUGCAUUUCAUGUAAAACUGUAACUCACCCUAUCUAUUGUGGAAAACAACAAUACAAUGAUGACUAAGGAAGAAACCAACAAUGGAAAGUCUACUGAUGAGAGCUAUCACCCUGAAGGGAGUUACUGAUAGAACUAAGACAUGCACAACAGAAAAAGAAUCGAAAUUCUACCCUAAUUGGGCUUAAUUAACGAGACUAAACCAAAAAAAUAAGGUUUUUAGAAUACUUACAUUUGAAGCUGCGUUUUAUUCGAACAACCACUAAGUUUGACUUAGUAUCCUCUAGACUCAUAAUCGAGUUGUGGGACCCGUUGGAUGAAAGAAUCGGACGAGAGAAAUAGAUGAAAAAAAUGGGCGUGGUAAAUUUUCUUUUUUUUUUUUAAGUAAAUAAGAAAAAGAAAUUCCAUUUGGUGUGAAAGCCCAAAUUUAAUAGGAAAAUGAAAGGGAAUUCCUUGGAAAGUUGGUUUGUGUGUCAUUAAAAGUCAAGGUGGAAAACAAAGUACAACAUAUGGCUAAAUGUGAGAGUAGGCGUGCAAGUAUAAUAAAUACCUACCAAGAUGUUUAUUAAUAACAUGUGUUUGAUACAUAAUUACAACACUUUGACCAAACAACCAAUGCUUAACUAUUUUCAAAACGUCUGGUCAUCUCGCUGCAAAUCCUUCAACCUUCUUCUCUACUUGGCCUAAACACCUCAUCUUGGAAGAUGAAUUUUUGAAAGAAUGUCUAAAAGACUAAGGUUUUAUGAAAUCCUUUUCGCAAUACCUUUUCAUAAACAUCAUUUCGCAUAAACAACAUCAAAUAAUUUUAUCUCGCAUAAACCUUUCUUUAUCCUUAACAUACUCAUAACAUAACAAUUUCACAUAAACACACAUUAGUUAACAUUCAUUCCUUUCACCAAUGAUUUUGAAUCGUUCUCUACACUUUGAUGUAGAACAUCUCCCUUCUUGAUGUUUCUUGAGUUUUAUCCUAGAGGAGUGGUUUGAAUUACCAUUUUUAUAGUUUAGGAUUAGUUAUUUGAAUUACCAAUUUUGUAUCUUGAGUUAGUUAUAACUAACUCAACUCCAAGUUAAACUAACUCAACCCCAAGUUAGUUUAACAACUCUCGUAAUCUCCAGCCUAUAAAAAAGCUUCUCAUUUUCAUUAAUAAGACAUAAAAAAAAAAAGAGGCAUUAUACAUAAAGAUUUCUAGCUUUGCAAUUACUGCAUCAAUUGGUAUCAGAGUGUGAUCCUAGCUCACUCUUCCCUAAAAAAACUUGGAUCCUACCACUCUUAUCCAUGGACGCAUAAGCCUCAUUCAACCAAGGCUUGCAGUUGGUAGAACAAGCUAUUGAAGAACUUCGAAAAGGGCAGUCGGAUAUACAGCAAUCGUUAGUAGAAUUAACAAACCUUUUUACCCGAUUUCAUGUCCAACCUUUAGAAGAAGCAAUUCAUCCCCCAAGAAACCUAAUUGCAGCAAACCAAGAAAGACAAGAAAGACCAAGAAACCCAAUUGCAGCAAACCAAGAAAGACAAGAAAGACCAAUAAACCCUGUUGUAAACCAAGAACUACUAAGAAAUCAACCUAUUCACAUCCACAAUAAUCGAUUGUAUGGAAACAACGUACUUGGAAAUUUCUUAAACGAUUCUGACUCUUUCGAUGAAGACAACUUGCUGAACAUUCAUCAAGAACCUCAACAAAGGUUUGGACUUCGACCAUACUUUCAAGAAGAUCAAGAAAUACGUAUGAAAGUGGAUCUCCCUACCUUCAAUGGUCGAAUGGACGUGGAGAAGUUUCUUGAUUGGAUCAAGAACGUAGAAAUUUUUUUCGACUAUGCCAAUACACCCGAACACAAGAAGGUUCGAUUAGUUGCUCUCAAACUUCAAGGUGGCGCAAGCGCUUGGUGGGAUCAAUUACAAAACAAUAGACGAUUAUUCGGUAAACAAUCUAAAGAUUAGCUGAAUAUCUUAUAAAAAGAUGUUGCCGUAGGCUUAGUGGUGACAGGUGAGAAAGUAAGCUGUAUCUUUUAUGACUCUUAAACGUUGAAGUCAAUCAAUGAGUUCCAAAUGCAAUAUUGGAAGUUUUCUUAAAUAUUUUGAUGCUUUUGCAUGUUGUGAAAGAACUUGGUUAGAUGUGAGAAAGGGGUUUAUGAGAUUAGUUACUUACUAUUCCCUUUUUCACUGUCAUUGCUACUCCGUAGACAUGCUAUGGGCUCGUGUUUCUGUAGAAUAUAAUUCAGAUGCUCUUUCUCUAGAAUAUAAUUUAUGUGCUUUCUCUACAAAUUUGAAGUAAUUUCUACUGCUUUUGCUAAUAUUCUCUAAAGCUUAUUCAAAAUGUAGUUGUUUAAUGACUGUUCAGAUUUAAAAUAUAUUAUAGAGUUAAAUUUAACACAGUUAAUCAGCUUAAGCAUUUGACUCUGGUGUUCUUAAGAUAUAAAUUCAAAUCCCUAUAAUUUUAUCAUGUUGAUCUUUUCAAUCUUCUCACAUACCGUCUUCAUUUCAUAAUCUUGCCUACUAGCUGUGUAUCAUCAAUGAAAUUACCAUAGGAGUCCACAUGUGGUAAUUAUGGAUCUAGCACGAUAUACUGCGUAUCAUGUUGUUGGAGAUCAGUUUAAAUGAUUAACCAGUCUAUUGGUGGUUUGAGUCUUUUCUUUUGAAUCUAUAGGUUGUUCAAUGGUCUAAUAUUAACUGUGUUUAGAUUUAUGGUAAUUUUCAUUCUUUUACAGCCUUAAUAACCAAGAAAAGGUGUGCUUUGAUAAUCUUUUCUUUCUCUUCAGCAUGUUGGUAAUGUAGAAAGAUUACAUGUAUACUAUGCCCAUGGACUAGAUAGCCCAACCUUUGUUCGCCGGUGUUAUUGGCUCCUAGAUAAGUAUGUUAUGGUUGAAAGAAAAUUGUUAAAUUGCUUGCUACCAGUUGUUUCAGUGGGGUCUAUCCCCAUCAUGCCACAAGCAAAGAAAAAUGAAAUUAGACAGUGGCAGUAUAUCGUGUUCUACUUAUAUAAUUUAUGACUUUCUUCUGCUUUUUGUUCAGGACCUUUGAACACAUUGUCCUUGUUCAUUACCGUGAAACACAAGAGGUUAGGUUCAACACAAUGCAUCUGCAGUUACUAAAAUAUUAUCUUGAGACAAACUUUUAUCAUUUGGACUACUACAUCUAUUUAAGAUUUGCUGAUUUUUCCUCCAUGGUUGCAAUAUUAGAACUUCAUCCAAAAUAAUGUUGUCAUGUGUGUCUUUAAAUUUUUACUGGCAGUCUGGCACCAUAUAGAUCUAGUAGUUGUGCAUGCAUGUCUUCCUCUCUAUCCUCCAUUGAAAAACUCGAUAAUUAUCUAUUUGUGUUUUAUUUUGAUGAUUUAAUCCAACAUUUAUUAUGGAUAAAGUCAGCCAUAAAAUACAUAUGUUUACUACUGCUCUUUGUACAUUUUAAAUACUAGAUUUCUUGAUGAUUGUUGUCUUUAAGUUGCUCUUAAUGUUGUUGCAUAUCGAGAAAUGCACUGUAAUUUCUGUACCAAUUUUAUCACUGCUUUUAACUAAAUCUUCAAAAAUCAAGGCACCACCUGGAUGUAGAGUGCUAUAUGGUGAUUCAAGUGUUGAGAGUUCUCUUUCUUCUGCUAUCCAUAAAUUUAUGGAAUGGAAAGGCAAUGAUCAUGACACUAUUUUUUGUCAGAUAAACACAGGUUUCAUAUGCUUCAACUCUGUGGUGCUUCACAGCACACGGAUAAAACUUCCAAACAUUCUGCACCCAAUAUUACCAUAAUGCAUUUGGACACUUCAUUAACAACUUCUUACAAUUAGCCUUUCUAUAUUGAAAAUAAUUCGUUGUCUUAACUUCAUGUUGCUGCUAGUUUCAAAAUUUUGCAUCCACAUCGUUGAACUCAAAUUCUGGUUCUGUCUCUAACCCAUCAACUCCGUGGCUUUUAUCGGAGGAACUUGAUUCCAAGGCUACUCAUGUUUAUUCUCUUGGUGAAAAUGAAUUGUUAGGUGAUACUGGCCGAACCUGUCAAAAAUAAAUGAGUCAUAGUUUGUUUGAUCAUUCAUUUUCUAAUCUUUCUUCUUUAUAUUUAAUUAGUUGUUUAAUUUCUUAAAAAAGAAUUCUGGUUUAUUUAUAGUAUAUUUGGUAGUAUGCAUGCCUCAGCUCCUUUAAUGCAUGUCUCUUACAGUAUAUUUGGUAGUCUUUUAUAAUGUUACACCCUUUUUUUUAAUUCCUAAAACCUUUUAACUUUCCAAAUUUUCAUUCAUUCUUUUAGAAAAUUAUUUUCAUUAUUUUUUUAUGGUUACAAAACCAUCCAUUAACUACAUUAAUUAGACAAUUCACUCCAAUAAUAAAUAAAUAACUUUUUUGGAUCUAAGGUCUUUUCUCAUUCUACAAAUUUAAUUUACUAUAUAAAGGUUAUUAUGCUAAUUGAAAAAUAUAUUUCUCUCAAGUAUGCAAUGACAGAAAAUUAGGUUAUAAAUAUAAAAAAAUAAUAUUUUUAGGUAUUAUAAUUUUUUUAAAAAAAUUAUAUUUUAAAUUUUUAAUAAAACCUUGCAUUUGGGGAUUCACAUGUUGUUACUUGUCGAACCAAAAAAGAUAAAUUCGUGGUGAAAACUCUUUAAAAGCCCAAUUCGUGGAAGGAAAAAUUGAAGUGUGGCGUUGAGUUAUUUUGUUGUUGAAGAAGAUCAGUAAAAAACCCACAGCAUUAAAACUUCUUUUUUGUUUCUUUAAGUAUAUUUUAGAUUGCAACGUAUUUUCUAUUUGGGUUUAGUUAGGGUUUCUCUUGUUUAUUCCAAGAUAUGCAUGGAUAGUUCAUGUUCGACUAUUUGGAAAGAGGGAUUUAUGUAGCACGGGUAUUAUAUUCUGGUUUUGGAAGUGUCGAGAUAAAUUAAGGACUUUUUUAAUCUUCUUCAAACAAACCUAUACGAAGGCGAAGAAUAAUUUGUGCUUGUAUUUUAGUCGGAAUAAGAAGAAACAUGAAGAGAAUGCCCACGAGGAAAAUGACCAUGAGAAAAAGUUGUGUAUUCCUCCAUCCAUAACUGAGCUCUCUAAUGUGUAUUUCUCCCUCCAUAACUGGCUUACUUUGGACUGUUUGGAUAGAAAGAAGAAUCCUUCGAAGCCCUAGACUUGUCUCUACCGCAUUCGGAAAUGCCAAGUUCUCUCUGAGGAUCUCUAACUUCUGCCGUGUUCACCGUCCGUCAGUCCGCAUUCCUACGUCUGCGUUCACCGCGUUCACCACGUCCGAGUUUAUCUAAUAUAUUUUUCCAAAUCUUAAAGAAGAACUUUUGAUUUCAUUGGAGUUUAUCAUUAGAGGCAUUACUAUAUUUGCUGCCUCUCAGUGGGCGAUAGGUUUUCCAAUGGUCAUUUGAGACUGGUUGAUAAUAGCAAAAGUUAGAGCUUGAGAAGAAGGAGAGAAGAAAGUAGUGAAGACAAAAGAAGAAAGAAAGCUGAGUGAAAAACGAAAAUUGACAAGGUAGAGAUGUGACAUGAAAAUGAUGAUGAGAAGUGAAGGAGGCACGACACAAUACUGGUACACAAUAACAAAGCCUUGAUAAUUAAAAAAAGGAUGGUGCCAAGAAAAUUUAAAUACAAAAAAAAUGAAGGUUCUUGCAAGUGUAUUGAGUGAAUGGGAGAAAGAAAGGAUAAAAAAGGUAGAAAGAGAGAAAGAGAAGUCAAGGGUAGAGAUACAUAGCUUUGUAUAUAGAAACUUUAUGUUUAUACUCCAUUAUACGUUGUGGAGAAUAUAACAUCCUGAUAUGUUUGAUUCAAUUUGAAUGAUGCAAUUAUUUAUUUUUCUGCAAUAAUUCUACUUCUAGAACCUAAAUUUUGAAAGCCUACUAAUUUUUCAGAAUUAAUUCGAGACCCCACUUUUGCUCCCCUUCCUACCUACGGUUACUUUUUGCUUAAACUUUAAAAGUUGUUUGAAAAUUUUUGCUGAAACUUGUAAAAUUUGUUUGAAGUUCGUAUAUCUCUCACAUAUUGCAAGGUUUCUUAAUUAUUUUAUUGAAUUUCCUACAUAAAUGCAUUCAAACAUGAGUUGACAUAAAUGCAUUUUGCUAUCAAGAGAGUAUACCAUACAUGCAUGUGUAGGACUUUUAUCCCUUAUAUUUUAUAAUUUGUCUUACUACUGUUAUUGACUGAUAUACCAAUAUACAUGUGUAAAGUAUUGAUCAUAUAUAAUUAAUAUUAAAUUUAUUACAUUCACUCAUCAAUUUAAGUUUUUUAGUCAAUGUAUGUUCAUGAUGUACCAUGGUCAUAUCAUAAUAGAAUAGAUCCAAGAUUAUAUAUGUUCAAACCAACUGGUGAUUUAAUUAUCAAAGAUAUUAUGAUUUUGUCCAGUUUUUUUUUUCAGUCACUACUAGAAAAAUGGAUUUUAAUCAAGACAUUGUGUCGUUGAAAAUAAAAGAAAAAAAGAGGUGGGAUGAGGUACAUUGUGUUGUUUGAAAAUAAAAAUAUGGAUUAUUUCUUAAAACAAUCAUAUUGACACAAUUUAAUUUAUUUCAAAACAAUUUUUGCGUCAUUAAUUAACGACAAUUUUUUUGUCAUUAAAAAAAUUUUCAAAUGAAAAAACCUCAAAUUUCAAAAAAGUUCGAAGUGGGCUACCGAGUCGUUAUGAAGAACCCUUGCCCUCCAAUUUUUUGCCACUUGCCGUCGUCGAUUCCACACUCCAACCACUGUUGUCGUUGCUCCCACAACAAGCCUUCGCCGUCAAACCCACCAAUCUAGCCACUUUCGUCGAAUAAAUUUAUUUAGAAAUAUAAGUUUUAAUGACACUUGAAAUCAAGAAAAAGGGAUAUGAGGGAAUAAAAUGUGUGUCGUUAAAAAUAAAAAUACAAAAUUUUUUGUGACACAAAUUGAGUUUUCUUGACAAAAUUUUCGCAUUGUAAAUAAUGGCAUAAAUUAUGUGUCAUUAAAAAUUACCCUAAUAAAAAAUCAAUGUUUUCCUUCAAUCAUAUGCUUUUUGAUUUAAAACAAAUAAUUCGAAGCUUUCAUCCCACUUGUGAACAAAUGACCGAAAAAAACCUUACUUCAUCCCACAUCGUCACUGUCUUUAGCUCUCUCGCAAAUGCUCUCUGGCGACGUUCCCCCCUCUCUCGCAAAUACUCUUCACGACUUUUUCUCUCUCUCAAAAUUAAGCUCUUCGCCCACCGUUUGAAGGAACUCACCAAAUUUGCAAGUAAUUGAAGAAUUUGUGGUCCAUGAGAUCGAUUAAGUCCAUUUAUGAGUUAGUUUGAUUAGAUUAUGUCACAUAUACAUGUAUUACAAUUAAGGGACACUUGCGAAAAUGGCAAAAUAAGUUAUAAUAAUUAAGUCCAUAGAACACAUACUUUAUUAUUUGAGAAAGUGACAAAAACAAAGACCAACUGUAACGACCCAACUUUUCUAGGUAAGUCGAGAGUCGUUAAUUUUUGACAAAAGACUUUGGUUGAUACAAAAUGAAAUGUAAGCCAAUUGAAAAACAACUUUAAGUCAGGCCUGAUUUUCAAAUAUUCCAAAAACUUAAAAAAAGUACUAUUUACAAAUAAAAGUUUGUAAGUUAUGUUUCAAUACAACGUCUUAAACCUAAAACAAAACAAUAAGCGGAAGCAAACUAACACAUUUCCUAUGGCAAUCACACUUCCUUGCUGCCCCUCGCCGGUUUGCCGCCUUUAUUACCUUUGCCUGAAAAUUAAACAUAAGAAGGGUGAGUAUAAAAAUACCCAGUAAGAGACCCUCUACUGGUCCCGUCAGGGGAAAAAUAAAUUGUUAACAUUCUAUUGGGACACCCUGUACAGUCGCGCAGUCUUGUGAUCCCGUAGGAUGCACAUUUCAGUCUAACGCCUCGAGGGACGUACAUUUCAGUGUAGUGUUCUGCAGAAACACAUAUCAGUCUAAUGCUCCCGAAGGUACAGAAUAAUUGGUGAUCCCGUGGGACACCUACAAGGCACACAUCCCAAUAAAAGCUAACAAUUUUUCCCCUCAAUCCAUUCGUACCAUCUUUCAGUUACUUCAAAAUAUAAAGUUCUUUCACUCAACGUUCUAACAGUCAACUUAUCUCACUUUAGCCCAAUGUCUGUCAGUAACAUACUAAUACGUCAGUCAAUCAAACUAUAUAGUCAUAACGCCUCUCAGUUCACCAGCACACAGUCAUACUUUAGUAUAACGUACACCCAGUCUAAACGACAAUCACAAAGUUCACAUCCGCAUCUCAAUACAAACACAAUCUACAAUUGUCGUCCUGUCUACAUCCACACACAUAUAUAUAUAUUCCAAGACAAUCACAAUAUGCAUUCAACAUCAAGUCUACUUCAAUUCAUGUGUAUAUAUAUAUUUUCAGUCAUCCACAGUAUACAUUCAACACCGAACCUACAUCCAUACGUAUAUAUAUAUUGUCUCAACACAUUUACUCAAUCAGAGGUGACUAACAUUACAAUUCAAAAGCAUAGGUGAGUCCAGUAGAAAAUAAAAUCCCUUACCUCACUUUUAUGCAAGUUCUUCAAUCUACUAAAUCCAAUGAAUCAAAUCCUAAACAUAAUCAAUCAUAAAAUCAACAUCUUUCUAAAUAGUUUCAACCAUUCAAAUUACCCCAUAUGUAAAUUCCACAACUUACCCAAGAAGUGGAAAAUCAAGUCCACUUCAACCUUUUGGAAAAUCAAGGAUUCGCUCACUGAAUCAAGAUGUACCUUCAAGAAUUAAGCAUUUCGCCAACAAUUAAAUCCAAUGGCAGCAUUCAACAAAAACCAAGAAACCAACAAAAACCAUAACUUGUUCUUACCCAAAUAUGAGCCCAAUGGUUCACGGCGAGGCAAAAAUGACAAUCAAGAACGAAUCAAGCGGCUGUAAAUAGAGCAACACUGAAUGCGACUCAACUGGAAAAGAAAAUCGGCUUCAAAUCGUAACUCCGUCUUACAACGAGCAGAAGAACGUCGACUUGAUAGGGGACACGUAAUUUAGGAAGAGAUCGACUUGGAUCCGUGUAUGACUUCACGAGAUGUAUGCGUCGACGGCUUCACGGAGGUGAAGACAGACGCGGUCGGAGAGUCACGCGGCAGUGCAGAAAACGGAGGAGAAAGGAACGGGCGGCGGCUGGGCUUGGCUUCGACGGAGACAGAGAUUGCGCAGCAGGGCUUCACGAACGGAGAGGAAAGGAAUGGGCACGGCGAUGCAGAUCUGGACGACUGCUGCAAGGUGACGCGUACGGCACUUCACGAACCGGCGACGGUUGCAGCGACGGAUCUGGGUUAUGGCGAACUGCAAGGGUGAAGCACAAGCGACGGCGAGGACCUGGACGGCUCGGCGAUGCAGAUCUGGAUGACGAUUUGCUUUGACGCGGGAGGCACGACGGUUGUGAGCGGAGAGGCACGGUGGUUGUGAGCGGAUGGGCGCGGCGGUUUCGAUCCGAAGGAGAAAAGGAAGACGACCGGAAAGAAGAAGAAGAAACGACCGGCAGCUUGUGUGGCCGACUGGGUGAACGGAGAAGAGAGGGAUGUGCGGCUGCUAGGGUACGGGAAGGAGAAAGGGAUGGAGGACGCACGGGAGGAAGAAGGAAGGAAAAAUUUCUUUUUUCUUUUCUUUUAUUUAAAUAAUAAAAAUAAAACUAAAAUAUAAAUAAAUAUAUAUAUAAUAAAAUUUCUUUUUCUUUUCUUUUAUUUAAACUAAAUAAUAAAACUAAAAAUAUAAAUAAAUAUAUAUAUAAUUAUAUUAUCACAUUUUCAAAUCUUCUUUCCCCCCUUCAACAUAUUUUCUUCAAAACAAUAAAUCUUGUACAAAUCGAAAAAAUCUCUUAAAAUAAAAUACCUUCGAGUUUGGGGCGUUACAUUCUUCCCUCCUUAAGGCGAAAGUUCUAAUCCUGAAAUAACUCUUGAUAACGAGUCCUCAUCUCUUCUUCUCGCUCCCAUGUCGCCUCUUCAAUUCGAUGAUUCCGCCACAAAACCUGUACUAAUGGAAUGCUUCUAUUACGAAGCAUCUUUACCUCUCUAGCCAGAAUCUCCACAGGUUGUUCUACAUAGCUCAAAUGCUCAUCAAUCUCCAAGGGUUCAUAGUCCACGACAUGAGAUGUAUCGGCCACAUACUUCCUCAACAUCGAAACAUGGAAAACAUUAUGGACUGCAGAGAGUGAUGGUGGUAAUGCCAAGCGAUACGCCACAACACCAACCCUCUCUAAGAUCUCAAAUGGUCCAACAAAACGAGGACUUAACUUCCCUUUCUUCUCAAAACGCAUAACACCCUUCAUAGGUGCUACCUUCAAGAAUACCUUUUCUCCCACAUCAAACUUAAGGUCUUUUCGCCGUACAUCUGCAUAACUCUUUUGUCUACUCUGCGCUGUUUGCAUACGUGCUCUAAUCUUUUGAAUAGCCUCAUUAGUAGACCGAACUAAUUUAGGUCCCAUCAACCUCUGUUCACCAACCUCACUCCAACAAAUAGGGGUUCUACAACAUUUACCAUACAAAGCCUCAAAUGGUGCCAUACCGAUGGUAGCCUGGAAACUGUUGUUAUAAGCAAACUCCAUCAAAUGUAGAUGAGAGUCCCAACUACCUGGAAACUCUAGAACACAAGCUCGUAGCAUAUCCUCUAAAACUUGGUUCAAACGUUCAGUUUGACCAUCAGUUUGUGGAUGAAAGGCUGUACUGAAAUCUAAUCUCGUACCCAUAGCAGUCUGAAGUCCCUUCCAAAACUUGGAAGUAAACCGUGCAUCCCUGUCAGAAACAAUCGAUACAGGCACUCCAUGCAGUCUCACAACCUCAGUUAAAUACAACUGUGCCCACUUACUAGCAGUAUAAGUGGAUUUCCCUGGUACAAAAUGUGCCGAUUUCGUAAGCCUGUCUACAACAACCAAAAUCACUGUGAAACCCUUCAGGGUCUUAGGCAGCCCUGAAAUAAAAUCCAUCGACACAUUCUCCCACUUCCACUCUGGCACACUUAAAGGUUGUAACAAACCUGCUGGUUUCUGUCUAGGUGCCUUAACCUGCUGACAUACUAGACACUUACUAACGAAUUCCGCCACUUCCCUUUUCAUAUUCCGCCACCAAUAAAAUCGUUUUAGAUCCUGAUACAUUUUCGUACUACCAGGAUGCAUGGAAAAUGAAGAAUUAUGGGCUUCAUCUAGUAAGUCAAUCUUAGCUGCACUGUUCGCUGGCACACACAAACGUCUCUCAAACAUCAAUCCACCAUCAGAGGAUAUGGAGAACUCAUCAGUCUGCUCUGUUCCAACAAGGCGACGUCUCUCCGGAGUCAAAUAAGGAUCAUUACUCUGAGCAUCAACAAUCUUCUGCCUCAGAGUCAGUUGCACCGUUAAUUGAGCUAACUGUGAGGUGACUCUCCCCACAGAUACUACAAUCUCAGCUCUCUCCAAGUCUCGAUGUAAUGGUACCUGUCUAGUAAUGAGUGCUGCCGAAUGUGAUACUUUUCUACUAAGAGCAUCAGCCACCACAUUCGCCUUACCAGGAUGGUACAAUAUCUCACAGUCAUAAUCCUUUACCAACUCGAGCCACCUUCGCUGUCUCAUAUUCAACUCCUUCUGAGUGAAGAAGUACUUCAGGCUCUUAUGGUCAGUAAAGAUUUGUAUCUUUUCACCGUACAAAUAAUGUCUCCAUAUCUUCAAUGCAAAAACCACUGCUGCCAACUCCAAAUCAUGUGUGGGGUAGUUCUGCUCGUGACUCUUCAACUGACGAGAGGCAUAAGCAACCACCUUACCUUUCUGCAUCAAAACACAACCCAGUCCUUUCUUGGAAGCAUCACUGUAAAUCACAAAACUUCCGGAUCCAUCUGGUACUGUAAGGACCGGUGCAGUAACUAACCUUUGCUUAAGGUUCUGAAAACUAUCCUCGCAAGCUGGACUCCAAACAAACGGAGUUCCCUUCCUUGUCAACUGAGUCAAGGGAGUAGCCAAACGUGAAAAAUCCUCCACAAACCUCCGGUAGUACCCUGCUAAACCCAGAAAACUACGAACCUCACUAACUGUAGAGGGUCGAGACCAACUGGUAACCGCUUCUAUCUUUGCAGGGUCUACAGAAACUCCCUCACUGGAAACCACAUGACCAAGAAAAGCCACCUGCUUCAACCAAAAUUCGCACUUAGAGAAUUUAGCAUAAAGUUUAUUGACUCGAAGAGUCUCUAACACUUUAUGUAAGUGUUCCUCAUGUUCGGCCUCAGUCUUGGAAUAAACCAAAAUAUCAUCAAUGAAGACUAUCACAAAAGUGUCUAAGAAAUCCUUAAACACCCUGUUCAUCAAAUCCAUAAAUACUGCAGGUGCAUUAGUCAAACCAAAAGACAUUACCAUGAAUUCAUAAUGUCCGUACCUCGAACGAAAAGCAGUCUUAGGAAUAUCACGGUCUCUAAUCCUCAACUGGUGAUAACCUGACCGUAAGUCAAUCUUAGAGAACACCGUGGCUCCCUGUAACUGAUCGAACAAAUCAUCGAUUCUAGGUAAAGGAUAUCUGUUCUUGAUUGUUACUUUAUUCAACUCUCUAUAGUCAAUGCAAAGACGCAUCGACCCAUCCUUCUUCUUCACAAACAAUACUGGUGCACCCCAAGGCGACACACUAGGUCGAAUAAAGCCUUUGUCAAGCAACUCCUGUAACUGUACCUUCAGUUAUUUCAACUCGACAGGAGCCAUCCUAUAAGGGGCUCUAGAAAUGGGAGUAGUGUCUGGCUCCAACUCAAUGGCAAAAUCAAUCUCUCUAUGUGGCGGUAGUCCUGGAAGAUCUUCUGGAAACACAUCUGGGUAUUCUCUUACCACAGGUUCUGAAGUUAAGGAAGUCUCAUCUUCCCUAGUAUCCACCACACUUGCCAAAAUACUCCAGGUACCCUGGUUGAGCAGUUUACUAGCUUUCAUAGCUGAGAUUACUUUAGGCAGUACUACUGUUCCUACCCCUUGAAUUUAAAGCUAGAUUCGGUAGGGGGACUGAACACAACCUCUUUACGAGAGCAAUCAAUACUAGCAUGAUUAGUAGCUAGCCAAUCCAUACCUAAAAUUACAUCAAAGUCACGCAUAUCUAAUACCAACAAGGUUACGUCCAGCACACGACCAGCUAUCUCAAUUUCACAUGCUUUAAUCUUUUCCUUAGACAACAUAAUUUCUCCAGACGGUGUAGACACUGACAAAACAUAAUCUAAGGGUUCCACCUCUAAGCAUGCAUGCGUCACAAAAAGCGAUGAAAUAAAUGAAUGAGAAGACCCCGAGUCAAACAAGGUCAAGGCAAAAUGCCCUAACACUGGUAAUGUACCUGUCACCACUGUGCAGGCCUUCUCUGCUUAUGAUCUAUUAGUGGCAAAGAUUGUACCCCGCUGUGGAGGUUUCGCUCCCUGACUGCUCUGUCCAGCCCCAGUAGAUCUCAAGGGACAUCGAUCAGCCAUGUGUCCCUCUUGCUUGCACUUAUAACAGACUCUCGUUCCCAUCAAACAACGACCCAGGUGGUGUUUCCCACACGUAUUGCAUAGUGGCUUCUCUCGAGUAGUGUCUCCUGCCCCGCCAGAACUCUGCUGGAAACUGCAAAAAGGAUCGCCUAAUCUCAAGUUCCUCUGAGGAAUUCCCACAGUUCUCUGCUCUGCUUUCCUCUUUUGACCAGACGACGAUCCCUUAUCAAAACUCCUUGCCCGAAUUUCAUCCUUCCCAAUGCUCAUAUCCACUGCCAGGCGCAGCGCUUCAGCCUGGGUAGUGGGCUUUAGUGCUCGCACAAAGCCUCUAAUCUCAUCUCUCAAUCCUUUGACGAACCUAUCAGCUCUAGCCUGCUCAUUACCAACAAGUUCAGGGGCAAAACGCGACAGCAUAUCAAACUCCUGGUCGUACUCCUCGACUGUCAUAUGUCCUUGCUUCAAUUCCAAGAAUUCCUGGCUUUUGGCGUCUCUAAGGUUAGCCGAGAAAAACUUGGUAUAGAAGCAGUCUUUAAACUGAUCCCAGGUAAUCUGUCUCACAUCUCCACCUAGCAUACGCAUCGUAGUUCUCCACCAGAUAAUACCUCUGUCCCUCAGAAGAAAAGCAGCACACUGAACUCUAUGCUCCUCUGGACAUCUCAUGUAAUUAAAUAUGGUUUCCACAGAGGACAACCACAACUCAGCUUUAGUAGGAUCCUCUAGUGACCCAUCAAACGUCUGAGGGUCAUAUUUCCUAAAGUCCCUCAAAUGUUUCGCCUCAGCAGAAAGUUGGUUCGGUAAUGUCUGCGGCUGUUGUGCAGCCAAUCCUUGCGCAGGAGGGGCUGCUGGUGCAGGUGGAGCUGCUGGUACAGGGGGAACCACAGGUGCAGGUGGAACUGCAGGUGCCUGCUGGUUCUGAGCUAUAGCCGUCAUAAGCUCCGUGAACCUCUGCUCCAUGUGAGCAGACAGUGCAGCAAACUCAACAUGAGUCACGGGUGCAGUAGGAAUUCGCUAUUCAGCUUGACCCUCAGUAGGUUGAUUACGACCUGCUCCUCUACCCGGCCUCUACGACCUCCUCUACGUACACCUCUCUUUGGCGGCAUAAUUCCUAUUAUCCACCAACAACACUCUUUAAAAAGUCUUAAUCAUAAGCAUAAGAAGUCUUUAUCGUCAUGCAAUCUAGUUUAAUUUAGGCAAAGUCAUGCAAAUAAACCAUACAUAUAAGCAUAAAGCAUACCUGACGAGAGACGAAGGGUCGCGUUAGGCAUAGGGACAUAAAACAUAGACUUACAUCGUAAGUCAGUCUACAGAACCUAAAACUUAGGCUCUGAUACCAACUGUAACGACCCAACUUUUCUAGGUAAGUCGAGGUCGUUAAUUUUUGACAAAAGACUUUGGUUGAUACAAAAUGAAAUGUAAGCCAAUUGAAAAACAACUUUAAGUCAGGCCUGAUUUUCAAAUAUUCCAAAAACUUAAAAAAAGUACUAUUUACAAAUAAAAGUUUGUAAGCUAAGUUUCAAUACAACGUCUUAAACCUAAAAAAAACAAUAAGCGGAAGCAAAAUAACACAUUUCCUAUGGCAAUCACGCUUCCUUCCUGCCCUCGCCGGUUUGCCGCCUUUAUUACCUUUGCCUGAAAAUUAAACAUAAGAAGGGUGAGUAUAAAAAUACCCAGUAAGAGACCAACUGGUGAUUUAAUUAUCAAAGAUAUUAUGAUUUUGUCCAGUUUUUUUUCAGUCAUACUAGAAAAAUGGAUUUUAAUCAAGACAUUGUGUCGUUGAAAAUAAAGAAAAAAGAGGUGGGAUGAGGUACAUUGUGUUGUUGAAAAUAAAAAUAUGGAUUAUUUCUUAAAACAAUCAUAUUGACACAAUUUAAUUUAUUUCAAAACAAUUUUUUCGUCAUUAAUUAACAAUUCUUUUGUCAUUAAAAAAAAUUUCAAAUGAAAAAACCUCAAAUUUCAAAAAAGUUCGAAGUGGGCUACCGAGUCGUUAUGAAGAACCCUUGCCCUCCAAUUUUUUGCCACUUGUCGUCGUCGAUUCCACACUCCAACCACUGUUGUCGUUGCUCCCACAACAAGCCUUCGCCGUCAAACCCACCAAUCUAGCCACUUUCGUCGAAUAAAUAGAAAUAUAAGUUUUAAUGACACUUGAAAUCAAGAAAAAAAGAUAUGAGGGAAUAAAAUGUGUCGUUAAAAAUAAAAAUACAAAUUUUUUUGUGACACAAAUUGAGUUUUCUUGACAAAAUUUUCGCAUUGUAAAUAAUGGCAUAAAUUAUGUGUCAUUAAAAAUUACCCUAAUAAAAAAUCAAUGUUUUCCUUCAAUCAUACGCUUUUUGAUUUAAAACAAAUAAUUCGAAGCUUUCAUCCCACUUGUGAACAAUGACCGAAAAAAACCUUACUUCAUCCCACAUCGUCACUGUCUUUAGCUCUCUCGCAAAUGCUCUCUGGCGACGUUCCCCCUCUCUCGCAAAUACUCUUCACGACUUUUCCUCUCUCUCAAAAUUAAGCUCUUCGCCCACCGUUUGAAGGAACUCACCAAAUUUGCAAGUAAUUGAAGAAUUUGUGGUCCAUGAGAUCGAUUAAGUCCAUUUAUGAGUUAGUUUGAUUAUUAGAUUAGAUUAUGUCACAUAUACAUGUAUUACAAUUAAGGGACUUGCGAAAAUGGCAAAAUAAGUUAUAAUAAUUAAGUCCAUAGAACACAUACUUUAUUAUUUGAGUGACAAAAACAAAGACCAACUGUAACGACCCAACUUUUCUAGGUAAGUCGAGGUCGUUAAUUUUUGACAAAAGACUUUGGUUGAUACAAAAUGAAAUGUAAGCCAAUUGAAAAACAACUUUAAGUCAAACCUGAUUUUCAAAUAUUCCAAAAACUUAAAAAAAGUACUAUUUACAAAUAAAAGUUUGUAAGCUAAGUUUCAAUACAACGUCUUAAACCUAAAAAAAACAAUAAGCGGAAGCAAAAUAACACAUUUCCUAUGGCAAUCACACUUCCUUCCUGCCCCUCGCCGGUUUGCCGCCUUUAUUACCUUUGCCUGAAAAUUAAACAUAAGAAGGGUGAGUAUAAAAAUACCCAGUAAGAGACCCUCUACUGGUCCCGUCAGGGGAAAAAUAAAUUGUUAACAUUCUAUUGGGACACCCUGUACAGUCGCAGUCUUGUGAUCCCGUAGGAUGCACAUUUCAGUCUAACGCCCGAGGGACGUACAUUUCAGUGUAGUGUUCUGCAGAAACACAUAUCAGUCUAAUGCUCCCGAAGGUGCAGAAUAAUUGGUGAUCCCGUGGGACACCUACAAGGCACACAUCCCAAUAAAAGCUAACAAUUUUUCCCCUCAAUCCAUUCGUACCAUCUUUCAGUUACUUCAAAAUAUAAAGUUCUUUCACUCAACGUUCUAACAGUCAACUUAUCUCACUUUAGCCCAAUGUCUGUCAGUAACAUACUAAUACGUCAGUCAAUCAAACUAUAUAGUCAUAACGCCUCUCAGUUCACCAGCACACAGUCAUACUUUAGUAUAACGUACACCCAGUCUAAACGACAAUCACAAGUUCACAUCCGCAUCUCAUACAAACACAAUCUACAAUUGUCGUCCUGUCUACAUCCACACACAUAUAUAUAUAUUCCAAGACAAUCACAAUAUGCAUUCAACAUCAAGUCUACUUCAAUCCAUGUGUAUAUAUAUAUUUUCAGUCAUCCACAGUAUACAUUCAACACCGAACCUACAUCCAUACGUAUAUAUAUAUGUCUCAACACAUUUACUCAAUCAGAGGUGACUAACAUUACAAUUCAAAAGCAUAGGUGAGUCCAGUAGAAAAUAAAAUCCCUUACCUCACUUUUAUGCAAGUUCUUCAAUCUACUAAAUCCAAUGAAUCAAAUCCUAAACAUAAUCAAUCAUAAAAUCAACAUCUUUCUAAAUAGUUUCAACCAUUCAAAUUACCCCAUAUGUAAAUUCCACAACUUACCCAAGAAGUGGAAAAUCAAGUCCACUUCAACCUUUUGGAAAAUCAAGGAUUCGCUCACUGAAUCAAGAUGUACCUUCAAGAAUUAAGCAUUUCGCCAACAAUUAAAUCCAAUGGCAGCAUUCAACAAAAACCAAGAAACCAACAAAAACCAUAACUUGUUCUUACCCAAAUAUGAGCCCAAUGGUUCACGGCGAGGCAAAAAUGACAAUCAAGAACGAAUCAAGCGGCUGUAAAUAGAGCAACACUGAAUGCGACUCAACUGGAAAAGAAAAUCGGCUUCAAAUCGUAACUCCGUCUUACAACGAGCAGAAGAACGUCGACUUGAUAGGGGACACGUAAUUUAGGAAGAGAUCGACUUGGAUCCGUGUAUGACUUCACGAGAUGUAUGCGUCGACGGCUUCACGGAGGUGAAGACAGACGCGGUCGGAGAGUCGCGCGCAGUGCAGAAAACGGAGGAGAAAGGAACGGGCGGCGGCUGGGCUUGGCUUCGACGGAGACAGAGAUUGCGCAGCAGGUCUUCACGAACGGAGAGGAAAGGAAUGGGCACGGCGACGCAGAUCUGGACGACUGCUGCAAGGUGACGCGUACGGCUUGCUUCACGAACCGACCGACGAUUGCAGCGACGGAUCUGGGUUACGGCGAACUGCAAGGGUGAAGCACAUGCGGCGGCGAGGACCUAGACGGCUCGGCGAUGCAGAUCUGGACGACGAUUUGCUUUCCGAGGGAGCACGACGGUUGUGAGCGGAGAGGCACGGCGGUUGUGAGCGAAUGGGCGCGGCGGUUUCGAUCCGAAGGAGAAAAGGAAGACGACCGGAAAGAAGAAGAAGAAACGACCGGCAGCUUGUGUGGCCGACUGGGUGAACGGAGAAGAGAGGGAUGUGCGGCUGCUAGGGUACGGGAAGGAGAAAGGGAUGGAGGACGCACGGGAGGAAGAAGGAAGGAAAAUUUCUUUUUUCUUUUCUUUUAUUUAAAUAAUAAAAAUAAAACUAAAAUAUAAAUAAAUAUAUAUAUAAUAAAAUUUCUUUUUCUUUUCUUUUAUUUAAACUAAAUAAUAAAACUAAAAAUAUAAAUAAAUAUAUAUAUAUAUAUUAUAUUAUCACAUUUUCAAAUCUUCUUUCCCCCCUUCAACAUAUUUUCUUCAAAACAAUAAAUCUUGUACAAAUCGAAAAAAUCUCUUAAAAUAAAAUACCUUCGAGUUUGGGGCGUUACACCAACUCACACAUCAAGAGGUAAAAUGUCACAAAUGCCCUCGUUAUUGAUGUACAUUUGAUACACCUUAUACACGUCUGAUACACCUAAUACCUCUUGAUACAUUAAGUCCAUUUAUGAGUUAGUUUGAUUAGAUUAUGUCACAUAUACAUGUAUUACAAUUAAGGGACACUUGCGAAAAUGGCAAAAUAAGUUAUAAUAAUUAAGUCCAUAGAACACAUACUUUAUUAUUUGAGAAAAUGACAAAAACAAAGACCAACUCACACAUCAAGAGGUAAAAUGUCACAAAUGCCCUCGUUAUUGAUGUACAUUUGAUACACCUUAUACACGUCUGAUACACCUAAUACCCCUUGAUACACUUGAUACUUCUUACUGAUACACUUGAUACAUUUGAUAGAUACAAUUCAUGCACUCGGUACUCAUUGAUACACUCGAUACUUUUUGAUACACACCUGAAACAUCUUCAUACACAUAAUACUUCUCGUUCCACAUAAUACUUCUCGUUACACUUGAUUCUUCUUGAUACACUUGAUACCCCUGAGACCUUGAUACACUUGAUUAGUUUGAUACACUUAAAGACUUCACUUAUAAGUUUGAUACACUUGAUACACCACUAAUAAACUUGUUAUACUUCAUUGGUACACUUAACAAAUUCGAUAUGUUUGACGUACAUGCACUACAAGAAAUUUACCCUUUGUCGAUGACAAAUAUCGUCAGUAAAUCUUCAAAAACUAAUCAACUUUUCUUUUGCCAACGAAAUUAAGCUGUCAACACACACCGUCAGGUAGGUCUGUCGGAAGAUCCUCUAUCGAUGGCAAAAAAUAAACUGUCAGCAAAAAUAGGAACUAUCGAUGAAAUUGAACCAUCAGUGGGCGUGUGUGUGUGCGCUCGUGUGUGCGCAUGUCCACGUGUGCUUGGGUGUGUGUAUGCGCACAUACAUGUGUACGUGAGUAGGUGUGUGCGUGUUUGCGUGUGCAUUUGUGUGCGUGCGGUUUGGUGUGCGUGUGCAUGUGUGUGUUUGUGUGUGUGUGCCUAUGUUCGUGUGUGUGUGCGUGUAUGGGUGCACGCGCGUGCAAGUGUAUGUAUGUGUGUGCGCGUGUGAUUGUGUGUGAAUAAGUUGAUAUUUUUUAAUGUUGAGUUUCUCCCAAUUUUAAAACAAUAAUUUAAUUAUCUUGAUAUUCAAGCCAUUAAUAUUAUUGUGAGAUAAAGAUAGUGAAUAAGUUGAUAUUUUUUAAUUUUGAAAUUCAGUUAAAGUUAUUUUGAUACAAAAUCUAUUGCUGAGAUUAUCAUAUUCUGAAAAAUAAUAAUUUUGUUAUUUUGAAAUUCAAUUUGGUUAUUUUGAAAUUCAAAUUCAAUUAGGUUAUUUUGAAAUUAGUAAGAUUAAAUAAAGUUGAAGUCUUGAAUCCAUUAGUUGAGUCCCGAGAUAUUAAGAAAAAAGUAUGAUAUGAGUUUAUGUAUCUUUUUCAGGUAAAAAAUAAUUAAAAGCUGAUAAAUGCAUAAUAUAAAUUAAUUACAAUAUAGAAACAAGAUAAUUUUAGUUGGAGAAUGUGAAUAUUUUGGUAUUUUAUAAAAUAUUAUGCACGUGCAAAAAAUGUUAUUUGCUAAAAUUAACAAAAAAAGUUUUGCCAUUUUUCAAAAUGACCCAUAAAAAUGUUGCUAUAUCUCUUAUGACAGAGUGUAUAUCUACUGGUUCAUAUUCGACAUGUUUGUUGCUAAUAGAAUUGGAUAAAAUCGCAUUAUAUUGAAAUAAUUACACGAAUGACACUUUUAAGCCAAUAUUGGUAGAAAUUAUAGUUUAAUUAAUGUUAUUAAGUCAAUGAACAUGGUUUAAAAGUCCUUCUAAACACAAUUAAUGUAGUUGUUUUUUAAUUUUAACUCAUUUAUACAUCUUUAUGCAUAUGUGCUGUGUACGUGUGCGCGUGUAGGUAGGUGUGCGUAUGUGUAUGUGCGUGUGUUCGUGCGAGUGUCCGUGUGCAUGUGUGUGUGGGUGUGUGCAUGUUUGUAUGUGUUUGUGCGUGCGUGUGUGUGCACGGGCUAUUGCGUGUGUGCUUGGGUGUGCUCGCGCGUGCGUGUUUGUGCGCGUGUGCGUAUGUGUUUACGUGUGUGCGUUUGUGCGUACGCGUGUGUGCGUUUGUGCAUGUGUGUGUGCUUGUGCGCGUGUGGAUAGGUGUGUGUGUGUGCAUGCGUGCGCGUGUGCAUGUGUGUGUGCGUGCGUUCGUGCGUCUGUGGGUGUCUAUGUGUAGGUGUGCGUGUGCACGCGUGUGUGUAAGUGUGCAUGUGUACGUGUGUGCGCAGUGCUUCUAUGCUUGUGUGCGAACAAGUUAAUAUUUUUUAAUGUUGAGUUUCUUCCAAUUUUAAAAUAAUAAUUUAAUUAUCAUGAUAUUCAAGGCAUUAAUGUUAUUUUGAGAUAAAGAUAGUGAACAGGUUGAUAUUUUUUAAUUUUGAAAUUCAAUUAAGGUUAUUUUAAUACAAAAUCUAUCGUUGAGACUCUCAAAUUUCGAAAAAUAAUAAUUUUGUUAUUUUGAAAUUCAAAUUCAAUUAGGUUAUUUUGAAAUUAGUAUGAUUGAAUAAAGUUAUUAAUAUGUUGAAUUAAUUAGUUGAGUCUCGAGAUAUUAAGAAAAAUAUUAUGAUAUGAGUUAAUAUAUCUAUUUCAAGUAAAAGAUAAUUAAAAGCUGAUAAAUGCAUAACAUAAAUUAAUUACAAUGUAGAAACGAAAUAAUUACAGUUGAAGAAUGUUGAUAUUUUGGUAUUUUAUAAAAUACCAUGCACGUGCAAAAAAUGCUAGUUGCUAAAAUUCAAAGGAAAAAGUAGUUUUGUCAUUUUUCAAAAUGACCCCUAAAAACGUUGUUAUGUCUCUUAUGACAAAGAGUGUAGAUCUACUGAUCCAUAUUCGAUUUGUUUUUGUUGGUAAAAUUGGAUAAGACCGCAUUAUAUUGAUAAUAACGAAUGACAGUUUUAAGCCAAUAUUGAUAGAAAUUAUAAUUAAUCAAUGUUAUUAAGUCAAAUGAACAUGGUUUAAAACUCUUUCUAAACAUAAUUAAUGUAUUUGUUUUUUAACUUUAAUUAAUUUACACAUCCUUGUGUGUGUGCAUAUGUGCGCGUGCGUGUGCGUGUGUGGAUGGGUGUGUGUUGCGUGCGUGUGUUGUGCACGUGUGCGCGUGUGCUUGUGUGCGAACAAGUUGAUAUUUGUUAAUGUAAAUUUCUCCCAAUUUAAAAUAAUAAUUCAAUUAUCUUGAUAUUCAAGUCAUUAAUGUUAUUUUGAGAUAAAAAUAGUGUACAAGUUGAUAUUUUUUAAUUUUGAAAUUCAAUUAAAGUUAUUUUGAUACAAAAUCUAUCGUUGAGAUUCUCAAAUUUCAAAAAAUAAUAAUUUUGUUAUUUGAAAUUGAAAUUUAAUUAGGUUUUGAAAUUUUGUAAAUGAAUAAAAUUAAAAUCUUGAAUCAAUUAGUUGAGUCCCGAGAUAUUAAGAAAAAGGAUGUAUCUUUUCAGGUAAAAAUAAUUAAAAGCUAAUAAAUGCAUAACAUAAAUUAUAAUUACAACGUUAGAACGAAAUAAUUACUGUUUGAGAAGGUGAAUAUUUUGGUAUUUUAUAUAAUAAUAUCAUGCACACGUGCAAAAAUUCUAUUUGCUAAAAUUAAAAGAAAAAGUAGUUUUGCCAUUUUUCAAAAUGACCCAUAAAAACGUUGCUAUAUCUCUUAUGACAAAGAGUGUUGCAUCUCUGGUACAUAUUCGACUUGUUUUUUGUUCGUAAAAUUGGAGAAAUUGAGGACACAACUCCAAUUCCUAGCAUGUUUCUCUCCUAAGACUAUGCUGGUCCUAGUCGGGGAGUGGCAUUUACAUCCCAGAAAGACACACAUGUAUCACCUCGUGUUGGCACUUCCAUUGCAAUGCCACAACUCUGACAUAUAUAGUGCCGACAUUUCCUUCCUUAAGCUUGAAAAAAGGUGAUUUGAUGUCCAUAAAAAAUUAACUGAGCAGUUAGAUAUUUUCUAAUAUGUAUCUCACGUAAUUUGAUGCUCAUUGAUACUGCAGUACUGUGUCAGGAACGUGUUUGAUGUAAAAUCUUUCAGUUUUGAUGGAUCUUAUUACAAGCUUUCAACUCUUCUUAGCACGACUUCUGACAGAACAAAGGUUUGAUAUAUCUUUACACGAUCGCAUAUCACAUAUGAACGAUCGCAUAUCCCAUCUGAAAUAUCGAUCACCCUUGGUAAAACAACCGUUUAGAUAUUCUACACGAUUGUUUGCUUAAGGAUACACGAUCAUUUUGUAACUAUUUUUUUUUUAUCCUUUUUUCUUUCUAUACUAGAACCAGAAUCAAUUGUUUGAUGAUAUUAACAACAUGUAUGAUGAUCUUCGUGAUGAUUCUAGUCAUCACAAUCUGGAAGAAUGAUGACCAUCAAAAUAACAAACAUGUGAUCAUCCAUGAGAAUCCAUUUGUUCAAGAGUCACAUCUUCAAGAAUCUACUGUAGAAACUCAACAGUUAGUGUUUAAUUCAUUAGUUACCGCUUUAUAUUGUUUAAAAUUGCUUAGAUUAUAAAUAAACAACAAUAAUUUUUUUUCUUUUCUGUGUAGGGAACAAAAAUGAACAACGCCUCAACAUCAAGAGUAGUCAGGCAGUGAUAUUAGCAUAUAUGGCAGAGAUGCACAUUUGAUAUUAACUAUAAGUAAUAUAGCAGAAAAUAUGGAAGGUCAUACUCAAACAGAAAAGGGAUUGCUAGAAAUGAUUGAAAAUCUUCCGUUGGUAAGCCAACCACUUCCACUUUGUGAGAUGCUACCAUUAACUACUGUCAAAGGUCUUGCAUUAGUUUAAUUGGUAUGUGUGCCCUAAAGGGAUAAAAGCUCUUGGCAGUGAAAGAUUUUACAAAACCAUUCAUCAAUUUUAAUUUGAAAAUUCCAAAAUACCAGUACAUUGACAAUAUUUAGAAUCAAAGUUCUAAAUAAAGAACUAAAUAUGCUUUUAAAUUAAAAGAUACAUAGAACUGACUCUUGUUGACGUCUUUGAAUCUAUAAUCCACCGAAUUGGGGACACCACCCGUUGGAGACCUUCCUAUCUUCGAAGAUGAGAUUGGUUUGUGGAAAACAAUUGGAAUGAAAAAAAAAUUUAGAGAGAAACUAUGUAACACCCCCAAUAUCAAGGUAUUUCUCUCAAGCUAAAUUUUUAAAAUUUUAUUAAGAUUUUAAGGAAUUUGGUUGUGGUGUGGAUUUAGCAGGAAGUGAAGGGGGCUUUUAUGAAAAAAUAUACUAAUACUAAAGGUUAAAUAAUAAUAAUAGAAUUAAUGUUAUUAUUAAUUUAAAAUAUCAAUUCUUUAUUGAUUCACGUGCAACCCCAUCUCUUUCUCCUUCACUCUUCCUCUUCCCGUGCCCACCGCCACCUGCCUCCCUUAGCCAUUUUAUAUUACUCUUGGACGUCAGCCGGCCACGCCGUCACCGAUCCCUUCGUCUCCGUUGAAGCCGAAGCACCGUUCGUCGUGAGUUCGAACUCUCGGCAUCGCGUCUCACCUCUGUUUUCCAGCCAAGCUGUGAUUCAUUCGCGCGUAGCUCCUUCGACGUUGCGCCACCACAUUCUGCUCCAGGUGACGAGGAGCGUCACCGAUUGACCUAUCAUCUCACCGCGUUGUUACUUAGUUGAAGCAGCCGUCGACAGACCUGAGCCCGUCACGUCUGUUGAAGUGCCGUCGCGCGGCUCUUCACCUUCAGCCAUGGGUUGUAAGCUGAAGUUUGUUUUUCGUUUGUUGAUUAGAUCUGAUCUAUUACACGCGUCGAUUCCAGUUAUUCGAAGUUGUUGCCCCCAUUUUACUCUAAUUUUUGGGAUUUUUGUGGUAAGUUGUAUUGGUGAGUGUGGUGGUUUUACAUUGUAAUUAUCCUUGGGUUGUAGUUUUGGAUAAUUAGUUAAAUUGUUAAUUGAUUCUUGAAGUUAGCGUUUGAGUUCUUUGGAUUCACAACUAAGUUGUAGAUUUGUUGGAGUUCGGUUCGCCAAUAAAGCUAGAAUUUACAUUGAGGAAAUUAAAUGAACGAAAGUAUUGUGAAAGUAAUUGAGUUCCAUAUUCUUAGUAUUAGGUUUCCUUCGUUCGAGAAAUUUAAGUAACAUUAAAGUAAGGGGUUUCUAUUACUGGACUCUUUGAAAGUUUUGAAAUGUGUUGACUGUUUGGAUCUCUGGACUUAGUAUGGUUUACCAAAUAUGUAGAAGUAGAUAUGAUGACAAAUGUAUAUUAUGCCAGACUAGUAUAGAAGUAGAUACGAUGGAUAAUGUAUUUGUAAACUAAGAAAGGUGUUAUGUAUAUAUAUAUAUCUUGACUGUCUGGUGUGUUGUUAUAGUAUCAACUGAUUUUAUGAUAGAUUGAAUAGAUUGAACGUAAGUGUGUUAAGUUGGAUUGAUGAUAUGAUGAAGUAGUUUGACUAUACUAGGAAUGGAUUGAUUAAAUGUUUAUAAUGGACUAAGGGAAAAUUGUUAGCUUUGUCGAUUGGGUAGUGUGCCUUGCAGGUGCCUACAGGAUCACCACCUGUUGUGCAUUCUUCGAGAGCACUAGAAUGACAUGUGCAUUCUUCGAGAGCAAUAGACUGACAUGUGCAUUCUUCGAAAGCACUAGACUUACAUGUGCUUUCUGAAGAGCACUACUAAUAUUUGUGUCCUUUAGGGCAUUGGACUGAAUUAUGUGUAAUUUCUACAUGAUCACAAGACUUAUCUAAAGGUGCGAGGGCACCUCCAAGUAGGAAGUUAACAAUUUUAUUUUUCUUCAGUGAACCAGUUUGAUCAGUAGUGGGUCUCUUACUGGGUAUAAGUUUAUAACCAUCACCCUUUUCCAAUGUUUCCCAAAAGUCUUGGCCUUUCUGCGAAACUGCUCCAUAAGGAAAAUGUCCUUCAAAUUGACUUAUACAUCUUAUAUUUUUUUUAUUGCUGCAAGUUUUCUUAUAGAUCUAAUUUGAGCACUGUUUUGGGUUUCAUGAUCAUGAACGAUGUGUUAGUUGUUCUUGAACCUUAUCUUUAUUAUCGAUACUUUUAUCAACUUUACCAAAAUUUUAUUGGAAAUAGAGCCCGAUAUAAAACUCACUCUUAUUAAUGUUGUAAAAUGAAGAGACAUAGCUCAAUUUUUUUAAGAUUAUACAAAGUGCUAUAGGAUGGAGGUUAAAGAGACGAAUCUAGUCAUCUAAAGUAAGUUAACUUCAGCUUAGCAUUCGAAACACAUUCAGGUCGUUACAAUACUAUUUUGCAAUCAAAAGCCACAAAUCGAAUGCGAUUUUUAUGUUUGUUUUGCCUUAAGAAAAGACUGCUUUGUUAUCGGUUCUAGCAUAGUUGGAUAUGAUGACGGUGCUCUGGGGGUGUCUUUCUAGUUGAGAUGCCAAGGUGCACCCCCUGAUCCGGGGUUACAGGUUCAUUGAAUAACUCUCUUGUACUAGGAGCUUCUAUCUAACUAUUAAAAAUAUAUUAAUAUUAAUAAAGAAGUUGUCUCCUUUUCAAAAAAAUCAACUAAACUAAUUACACCAUUAAUCAAUUAGUUAAUAAUAUAAAUUAAAUCAAUAUUAUAAAUUAAUAUUUCCAAAUUUAAAUCUUAUUGAAUGAAUAUCUCUCCAAUACCUUAUAAGUUUUAUACUUAAUUUAGCAUUAAAUCCCAACAAAUAUUGAAUGUUUAAAUAAUAUUAAACUAACACUUCGAUUCAAUUAAUUAAUCAACUCAAAGGUGCUAAAUAUUUUUCAUAUUAUCAACUUAAAUGGGUUAAAUUUGAAGUCAUAUUACAUAAUAUGGAACUUUUAUCUCAAUAACUAAAUUAAAGUUUAAUUAUACAUACAACGUUAUCCAUAUAACGAUAUUAAACUUUAUAUUGAGCUAAAUGUAUCACUGUAUGAUUAUACUAAUUAUACAUAAUUUUCCAAUAAUAAAUAUUGAAUAUUUCAAAUUAGAACCAAUAUGAAAUCAAACUCAAACAACUUAUCUCAAAUUUUGCCUAUCAGUUCCAUUACUUUGUAUUGUCGAGUCGAAAUACAAUAAAUUAGGCAUCGAAGCCCUAAUACAUAAAACGAAAUAUACGAGAUGAAACUCUAAAAAAAAAAAAUGCCCUAUCUCGCUAUAACUACAAUGAGAUGGACAAAUAGACAUUCGUAUAGGCUAUCUAUCUCUAUCUAUCUGAAACUAAGCACACAUAGAAUUGUUCAUAUCUUCUCUAAUACCGAUGAGACAAAAAUAGCAAUCUAUUUAAUAUCUACCUGAGAUGACAAACAUUAAAAAAAAAAACCUUACCGAAGGGUUAAUAUAUAUCUUAGAAUACUUUAGGUAUAGACUAAAACAUGCUAACACGAUUCUCAAGCCCAAAGAAGUUCAAAACUUAGCACAAUCUUCAUUGCUUAAAAGUAGCUUUACUUCUUUCAUCAAUAACCACAUGUUUGCCAAUACAUCUCUAAAUUGAAGCUAAGCAUGGUAGCUACAGGUCAGUUCUCUAAGAUCUUUAAAAACUAAAUUUACACUGUCUACACAAUUUGAUAGUCAAUUCAUGUCUAGAUAUCAACUUGAAACUCAUUUUUGUCAUACCUAGAGAGUAGAUUCAACCAAUGGCUUAUCAAAUUGUUCGAACUCCUUGGAAUCUAACAUGUAUGAUUUAUACUGUCUCACCUUUUAAUAUCUUUACUAUGUGUUCUUUUGCCCAUCCAAGCUUUCUGCUUAAUAUUAACUCCAAGCAUUUGUACAUGCCUUAUGCACAAUUGCUUUCGGAAUGAAUACGAUGGCAGAAGUAGACAUGAACUUGAACUGCAUGCUAUCAAGCAACUGUCAAUCUAACCUGUUGAAGAAGCUUGUCAUAAUGACAACUAAUCAUUCAAUGAACGGUCUAUUGUUCGAUAAUUCUACUUACUCCAUCCAAUUGAAUCUGUUCUACGAUAUUAAAUACAAUGUAGAGAAUCUAAAGGUGAUUCGAGACAUUCGUACCAUUAAAUUUCAGCAACUAAGUAAUUCAUUCAUAACAUAGUUAACAUCCACUUCCAUUGACCGUCCAUUAAAAAGACAACUUAAAUCGGAAAGAGUACCAUUAUAAUCGUUUGUAAAAAAAAAAAAAUCUUCUAGAUAUUAUAAGUCUAUUUAAUUCUGGGAAUAGAAAAUGAAAUAGAAUAGAAUCAUGAGAUUCUAUACAUUUAUUACUGAAUAAAAGAAUAAAUAUGUACAAACUACUGAUAAUACUAAACACUAAUGCAUUAGUUAAUAAGUAAACGAAAUCGAAUGCAAUGAAAUAAUAUUACAUUAAACGAUCCUAUUAACCGUGAUAAACGACCAUUUACACAACGGUAAAUGACUAAUAUUUGACUUAAAAUAAAUUUGAAUCGUGUUGAAACAUGGGUUUAUCACGAUCAUUAUGAUAUUGGUGCAAUUCGUAUUGAAUUAAGAUGUAAACUCAAUCGUCUAUGUUAUCGGUCACACGAUCGUGUUGAAUCAUUUGUAAAGUUGAAUUUCUAUUGUAUAGUUUGGUAAACUGAUCGUGUAAUGUCUCACUGUAAAUUAUCGUAAAAAACUAGUUAAACUUAUCGAUCUUUAAUUACAUGAAGUACAAAUAAAUCUCAUUACCCAUUAAUACUUAAGAAUUUGUUGUAACGAUCCAACUUUUCUGAAGCUAAGUUGAAGUCAGAUUAAUUUGGACAAAGAGACCUUGAUUGACACAAAUUAGCUUUAUGUAAAAUUCACUUGAAACUCAUAACUGAACUCAAAGAAAACAAACUAUAUGUUCGGGCCCUAUUUCAAAUAGACCAAAACUUUAAAAGUACUAUUUACAAAACAACAGUUCGUAAACUCCAGUUCCAUCAACAAAAUUCUUUAAACCAACCUUACAUGUACAAAGGAAAAACCAAUGAAACACUAAAGAAGAACCCGUUUAUUGGUCCCAUUAGGGGAAAAAGAAACUGUCUAACUUCCUAUUGAGGGUACCCUACCACAGUUCACAGUCUUGGUGAUACCAUGUAGGAUACACAUUAAUCAGUCUAACACCUCAAAGGACGCAAUAAAUCAAGUCUACUGUUCUGCAAGUAUAAUCACAACUAUCCAGUCAGUAAUGCUCUCGAAAGGACUGCUACAAUAUCAGGCUCUAGUGACUAUCAAAGGAUGCACAUAUUCAGGUGGUGAUCCCGUAGGACACCCAGCAAGAUGUAACUACCGAAUAGAAAUCGUCAACAAUUUUCCCCUCAAUCCAAUUCUAAACAUUCUUAACACUCAUUCAUAGUACAGUCCGAGCUACUUCAACAUAUAAUCCUUUCACUUAACACCCUGAAAUAGCUCAUACCUAUCUCACUUUAGCCCAAUGUCCAGCCAGUAACAUAUCAAUACAUAACGUCAAUCAAACGUCAAUAUAAGUCUAUAACACCCCUCAAUUCACCAGUACACAGCCCUAAACUUUAGUAUAACCUACACCCAAUCUAAACGACAAGAAAUUUCCAAACAAGUAUCACAUCCACAUUCCAUUACAAAACACAAUCUUACAAUUGUCGUCCUGUCUACAUUCCAUACAUAUAUAUAUAUAUCCCAGACAAUCACCAAUAUGCAUUCAACAUCAAAAGCGUCGUACAUCAAUCCAUGUAUAUAUAUAUAUUUUUCAGUGCAUUCACAGUAUACAUUCAACACCGAAGUCUACAUCCAUAUGUAUAUAUCAUCGUUUUGAUUCAUUCAUUUACCUUCAACGUCAGUCAGGUAACUAUACAGACAGCACAAUUCAAAAUCUAUGAGGUGAGUCCGUCAGUUCACCGUUAGAAAUGUGUAAUCCCUUACUCUAUUCGAUAACCUGUAAACACGUUAAGCUUCCUUUUGUCAAACUAAAGUUGCAACGAACCUCGACUCGUAAACAUAAUUGAAGAGAAAUCAAUCACUUUCUUCACAAACUAAAUUUAAUCCAUUUCCAAUUUUCACUCUAUGAUGUAAAUUUCCAAUAACUUACCCAAAUUGUGGAGAAUGCAAAUUCUAACGGAGACGGAUCGAUGCAACAAAUAACCGAACAAAGGUUCAGCAUUCUAAACAUGAACAUGGGGAUACAAGUGACUAGAACUGUAAGAUGUACUCGGGCUAACAAGGUUACCAUGCGAGCGAAUAGGAAAAAAUGGUUGCUUGACGGAUUCUAAAGUGUAGGAUUGUGAAGACGGUGGUGAUAGUUUGGUACAUUGGAGAAGGAAACAGAGAAGGAAGAAAAGAGAGAUUAUGCUAUACACAAUGUGAGAAGCACACAAAAAAAUUGAAAAUAAACUUCGAAAAGAAGAGAGAGACCUUGAAGUUCUGUUAGGGAGAAAGUAUUCAGUUUCCUGUUUCAAAUUGUGAAGUAUGGCAAAGCUAAAUUCUUCAUCCAAGGGAUUGAAAUAGACAAAGGUUAUGAAAUAUACAAAGUCAGCCAUCCGCUUCUUCUCCUCUUCAGCUUUGCAUGUUUUCGUCUCCCUCAUCUUCAUAAUAUAUUAAACAUAAAUUAAAUGUAAAAUAUCCACGAACCCGAAUCUUUACACGACAAGACUAUUUACUCCAACUUUUUAAGAGCUAACAAACUAUUCUACUCCAACUUUUUAAACUACAAAUUUAAUUUCUCAACUUUUAAACUAUUUAUAAACUUACAAAUCUACUUUGAUUCAUCUUCUUCAGGAUCUUGAUAUCUAACAUAAUUUAAAAAAAAUAUCAAAAUUUAAUUACGAGCACUUUAAAAUGUUGCAUUAAAAUCCUAGGGAAAGACCUAGAUUAAGAGCAAUAUAGACAAGGUUUAAGAGGUAACUAGACACACUUUAAAAGUUCUAAGGGAAAGAAUCUUUUGUUUAACUAUUACAGUAAUUAAUUUUGAAAAUAUGUUAUUUUAGAAAAACUAAAGUUGUUUGACAACUUCUGGAUUGAAUAGCUAUUGAAUAUACUCUCAAGGAUUGUAUUUUAAGCAAUUUUAAUAAAAAGAAAGUCUAACAUAAAACACAGAUUACCCUUUGUUAAAGGAACAUUUUUUCUCUAAUCACGUUCCAAUGGAACAUCAAACACGUAACUUCAAGUUCAAUUCUGGUAAUAUCCAAUGGAAUCAGUCUCAUCCAGACAUUUAAACAAGAACACUAUCUAACUUGAUGAGAACUUCAUUUUUACCUCAUAUUUACAAUUCCCAAAGCUUUAACUUAAAUGAAGGACCAUAUCCUGAAAACAUACUUACAUCCAACUUUCUCCAUGAAUAAACUUAUCGUUCUUUUGAUGUACUGAUGAAUAUUAGAGAUGGAGCGAUCAGAGUUUGUUUAUGUACCAAAUUAGAGUGAGUUGAGAAAAGAGUGGAUUUAACACUAAGGACGAAAUGGCUGGCUGCUGCUUGUUCAAAACUGAAAGUUUUUAAGGGUGACCUUGUACUUUCAUAGGGACUCAGCAAAUGCUGAAGGGAAGCCUCCAGGUCUAAGACAAUUCGAGUGGAAUAACUCUCAUUACUACCAUGCCAUUUAGGAACUCAUUCAACGUUAGAAUAGUCCAUUAUCCUAGCUUUUGAUCUACGGCCACCAAUUGGCUUCCUAUCCUACGUCUUCCUCACAAGCCACAAAGAUCGUUCUACUCCAAUACGCUUGUUUACUUUACUCUCAGUCAGUCAGUUAGAAUCAGAACUCAUAAAUUUAUCAAGCAUAAUGAAUUUGGCUUCAAAGAUUGAGCAGAAAAAACUUCUCAUGUAUAUACUUGACAAGGUAUUGAAUUUGCAAGAAUGUCACCCUUAUACAAAAAAUUAUUCAAACAAAUUUACAUUGUUCUAGUCCCUAAAAUUUUCCAUUCUUUUCCCAACUUAUCAAAAUUUUGAUUCCUAUGAGACUAUAUUCCAAGGUGCACAUAUAGCAGAAAUGACCGAUGAGUAUUGGAUAAAUGAAUAUUAGUUGAUAAAUGUUAGACUUUACAAAAUACUAAAAUCGUUAGUUGGCUACGUCUUUAGCUGAAAGUUCUCGAUCUUGAUUAAAAUGGAUGUUUUGAAAGUUAACUAAGGCUAAAAUGGAUACUAUCUAAAUCCAUACAUAAUUUAGUAAGUCUUUCCAAGAUCAAAGUCACAGCUAAGAGGUUGCCAUAACAAUGUUGCCAAAGUAAGAAAAUGGCAAUCUUAAUCAUAAUUAGAAACAUGAGAUGUAUGUUAUUUAGUAAACCAAAUUCACAAAAUAAUUAACAUCCAAGUACUUUUUAGUUCGUAUAUUUCUAGAUGACAAUUAAAAACUUGAACAUUAAUUGUUGAUUAAUUGAAACAUUGAAACCACGUGAUAAGAUGUUGCCAUAUGAACCCAUCUUGACUUGCUAUAGUACUUUAUUUUACAUUACAUGCUCAAUUCCUAGUUUGUAUUUCAAAACAAAUUCAUACAAUAUUAAAGACUUUAAGAAGCACAUACACUCUAGAUUUUGGCUAGUGUACUCGAAUUGUAAACAAGUGAUGUAUGGAACAGCAUCGGAGAACACGUGUUGUAACACUAGGAUUAGUACAGUAGGAUGGUGUUGACUGAAACAAUGUACUGUAUAUGACUAUAUGAAAUUUCUAUAUAAAGUUAUCGAAAUGAUCAUACAUAUAUGAUUAAAUGUUAAUAUAUAUUAAAACUGUAGAAUUCUAGUCAUGCAUAUUCCUGAUAUUUUUUAGCCACACUACAAGAAUGACACAGUCAACACAUGUACUAUGAUUUAAUUGACCCAUGAUCUAGAAAUUCGUGAUACGUGCUUCAUGUUUGUUGAAGAACUUCAACGUCUUCAUUAGAUGACGGAUUAGCCAUGUCAUUAAUAAGUGGAUUCUAUAUGUAAUAUAGAGAACCUAAACCAUAGUAAUCGAGACCGUUUGUACAAUAACAGAGAACUUACAUUCUCCACCGGUUUUAAAUGACUUGACUACUCAAGGACUUGACGAGUUUUAAGUGUCAUGGAUGGUUGUAGACGUGACGCUGAUAAACUGCAAACAAUCGCUAUACCUGACGUUCAAAUAAAGUUCAAGAACAUUGACUUUCUUGCCGCUGGAGUCAACUGCAGCUUUUAGGCUGGCUCGAAUACUGAUUCUUGAUAGUGUAAAAACGUCAAGAGAGUCUAUCAUUGUAGUAGUGAAUGAUAGGCAUACUCAGUCUGCAGAUCAAUACAGGAUCAUUAAUACAAAUCACAAGACAAUCUCUAGCGUACAAGAGAUGAAAAUACACUCAAGUGGAAGACUAAAUUACAUAGGUCACGCUUGUGAUACUAGCAAGCCAAUUCGAUACUGUACCAACAACAUCUGCCUUCCCGUUCACGGUUUCGUCUAUUGCAACCACACUGGAUAGGAGAAAAUCACAAGCAUCUGAAGUACAUUUGCACAUUAGAUCAUUGCAAUUUUAGUAAAUACAAGAUGAGUAGUAAUCAUAAUGUUACCAGGAUGAAGGCACCCAGUCUUAGCCGUAUACUGUACACACUUGAAGCCGACAUGGUACAUUGAUCCAGUAUGUCUCGAUAAUCUAUUGAGAACUUAUUAAACAGGAGAAAAUAAUAGUUUAAUGAACAGUAGCUAUGAAGAACAAAAAACAUUCUACAAUCAAUAACAAUCUUCACAAUAACAACACUUGCUUAACAAUGGUCAAUGGAUUAUACUUACAAUAUAAAAGGUUUAAGAUAUUACGUUCAACACUCUCCACACUUGGACUGAAAGUCUCAACACUUUCACAUGAAAGAAAUGAAAUACUACUCUCAAAUUAUAACUGGAAAAAAGCAUAAAUGGGUUACAUAGAAAAAGCAUAGAGAAAUGCAAAAGAAUCCUUGGCUUUGAUAUAUUGAAAGGUAAAGAAUAUCAACCAUAGAUGCCCGGGAGAAGAACUCCUACAAAUACACACUUAACGCAGAUUAUCAUUCGCUAACAUGAGACCUUCUAGAGGAAUUCUGUUAGGAUACUUCCAAACAAGAACAAGAUCUUAAUUUAUUAUAAUGAACUAUAAGAAAAUACAAGAUAAAACCAAGUAUAAGGCACUUGGAACCUCCCUCUUGAGUACUCUCACCCAAGCCCUAGAUCACUCCCCAAUUCUCCCCUCACUUACCCUCCCUCCAUUUAUAAUAAGAUGUAACCACACUUACAUAAUAACUACUAGUAACUUUCUAAAUAUCUAAUUACCCUUAUACCCCUAACCUUAUAAUAAUCUAAGUAUCUAACAUUACCCGAUCCUUCAAAACACCUUGUCCUCAAGGUGUGCUUACAAACAUGAUCAAGGCCCCUUUCUCUUUUUUUCUCUUUUUAAUUGCAAACAAUCCCCAGCAUUCUGCUCUUCAAUGUUGAAAAGAAAUCCUCCCUUCGGCUUUGAAAAACUCUUGAUUCCAAUAAGGUCCAUUGACUUCAGCCCACAAAGCAGCCCAAUGUACUUGAAUUUUCCUUUUCCAAAACACAUUGUCUUAGUUAACCCUUUGCAUAUCACCAACAAGUGUUUAAUUUUCAAACUCUUCAUCUCUAGUGGGCUCGGCCAUAAUCAAAGUGUUGCGUCAAGACCAAAAUCAUAUUGCCGCCGGUUUCAUUCCUAGGACCCACCUACAUACACGUUUUUCUUCCCUCCUAUUUUUGGAACUCUCCACCCACUUCAUCUACAAAAUGAUGUGCCCCCAAUGUUUUAUUUAGAAUAAGUUGAAGCUCAUUUAGAGUAAGUUGAAGCCCACUUGAAAUAGUAAAACCCAAGAUUGUUACUUUUGUCCUAAUCCUCUUUCCUACCAAUUUCUACCACGUCAUUGUCACCAUCAUGUGUGCAGCAACUUCUUCCUCGUCACGUGAUUCACCCCUAUUCCAGACCACCUUCUCGAGCCUCUGUAGACCGGUAACUGUCGGCUUCUUCUUUCUCCAUUGCAACCAGCCAUUUUGUUUUCUUUGAGCAACAAAUUUUUCUCCACUCGAGUCUUCAUUUCGAGCCUCACAGGUAAUCCUCGUCGACCUUCCUCUAUAGUUUCUUCUUGGUCACUCUUUGCCAUCCUCUUCACCUUCGUUGUAUAACCGUUGCAAUCGCGUUUUCCUCGAUUCUUCUAUGGAUUUAGCAACUUCUUGGAAUCCAUCGAUUUAUGGACCUGAAGAUUCCAAUCCGUUCUAAAUAAACACAAUCCAGAUCAGUGCCACUGAACACAGGCAUUUCAACCUUCUUGAAUUUGCUAUGAUCGUUCGAGUUUUCAUCCCUUUUAAAGUUGUUUGUUUUACCUUCUACCUUGAUUUCCUUCAAUGUCUUACCUCCACCUUCGAUGAUACUCUCAAUCGUUGGUCCUUUGCUCGACGAUCCUUCCAUUCUUUCGGAGAUUUUCGAAUUAUCCUUCUGCUAUUCCUUCGAUGCAUUUAGCAACCGUUCUUGUUUUUCCAACUAGAUGACCAGUCUUUCGAUGCUUUCUGGCAAGGAUAACAAGUUUUAUUCAAUUGCCAGCAACUUGUGUAACUCCACUUGUAUCCCCGAGAUUUCCUUAUCAGAGGUCUCCAACUUCUCUUCGAUCCGUUUUUGUGCUGCUCUAUCGUUCUCCCAAGUUAAAACGCUGUACCAAUUUGUUAAGAUACUGUAAAUAUACGGCAAGUGUAUCUUACUUUAUUGAAUUACCUCAACGAAUUACAGUAUAGAGAAUAAAAAAUCACUCACAUCUACUUCCUAAAGGCACACUCCAGUGAGGAUCACAACAAAGAACAAGAAAAACUAAGAACAAACCGCAACCAUGAAAAUGACCAAAACAAACAAUAAAAAGAACUUGACUUGGACCCUCUACUUCUCCCAAGCACGAAAGACGGCAGCCUCUACUUCUUUGGAAUAUUUUGUCCCCUUUCUCCCUCCUCUUUCCUCCCUUUUAUUUUGCUUUACUAACAAACUAAUGGGAAAGAUCUCCUCCGAUAUUUCUCCUCCUAUAAUCUCUCCUAUAUUCUCGUGUGGGUCAAUAUUACCCUUUUUAAUUCUUCUACUGUAUUUAAAUAAUAUUGGAGACAUAUACUUCCUAACAAGAACAAGAUCUGAAUUUAUUAUAAUGUAACUAUAAGAAAAUACAAGAUAAAACCAAGUAUAAAGCAUUGGAACCCUCCCUCUUGAGUACUCUCACCCAAGCCUUAUAUCACUCCCCAGAAUUCUCCCAACUUACCCUCCCUCCAUUUAUAAUAACAUGUAACCACCCUAGUUACCACACUUACAUAAUAACUACUAGUAACCACACUUACACAAUAACUACUAGUAACUUCCUAAAUAUCUAAUUACCCUUAUACCCCAACCCUAUACUAAUCUAGGUAUCUAACAAAUUCCAUAACAUAAUGUAUUAGGGGAAGAAGGAAAUCGAGGAUAAAAACACUAGCUAGCCAACAAAUAUCUUUCAUUAGUGAGCUUGAGCCAUUUUACACGUAAAAUGGGAAAAGUAAGCCUGAAACCCAAAUUAGCCUAAUGGUUGUCUUAACAACCACUACCCACCAUCACGAUAGAAACAACUGAGAAGGAAGAGCAUGAUACAAUCCAACUCAAACAUAAGAAUUGAUUUUUGUUUAAUUAAAAGUAAACAGGCAGUAGAAUAAGAAACUAUGCCCUUUUAGAUCUAGAAGGUUCACAACAAUUUCCAGCCUAAGCACAACUACGAGCAAUGGAAGAAUAACGCAAAGGCCUUGUGUGCAUGGAAUCGCUAACUUUGUGCAAAUGAGAUGAUUAUCGGUAUUCAAAGGCCAAAAGGACACAUAGAAGAGUGUUCGUCUAAGGUUGCAAGACUAACCCUGAAAAGAGAGCAAUACAAAAAUUUAGAGUUUUCCGCAUUUCCUGUAAUGACAUGAGUGCUUGUACUCCCAUCAGCAGUGAGAGAACCACCAAGCUCCUCAAUCAUCUAAAUCAGAAAACAACUGCACAUUAGAGCAGUCACAAUUUGGAAUAAAUAGAACUUUUUAUUGUUAGAAUCUUAGAAUAUUUAUGAAAAGUUUAUGGGAAUAUUUUUCUUAAUUCCUAAAUAUUUUCCUUUUUUAUUCCUCUGUAUAUUCUAUUUAUUCUCCCUUGUACCUAUUGUAUUUUUCAUCAAAAAUAAUAAGAAGAAAAAUAUAGUGGUUUUUCUCCUGGUACACAGGUUUCCACGUAAAGUUGUGUGUUUUUGUCUCCCUUUCAAUAUGGUAUCGAGCAGGUGGUCCAAGAAGGUCUUGUGUUCAAGCCUCGCAUUGUCGUUUCCUCCCCAAUUAAAAUCCAUUUCCAGUUGUUGGGCCUUUCAAAUAUUUCAAGCCCACAAGUGAGGAGAGUGUUGGUGAUAUAUAAUUGAAUUUUCUUUCUUUUUUUAAAAAAGGAUACGAGUCUCACUAUUAUUAAUAUAAAGAAAGAGACAAAGCUCAAUGUACAUGAGGAUUAUACAAAGAGCAAAAGGGGAGAGGGAAGAUCAACAGGCGCAUCCGGGCAUCUCAAACUAGGUUGACACCCCCUUAGUGCCCUCAAAACAUCCAAAAAGCGACAACACAAGAUCAAAACAAAAAGCCACAAAAACAAAGACAAACAAAAUGAUAAAAAGAAUCUUUCCAAAGCAAAAUCAUAAUCCAAGGCAGCAUGCUGAGAACAAAGAAGAAUAAGCCUUGAUUGGUUGAGCAAAAACUGUUUGAAGCAGAGGGUUGAUCCGAAAGUUCUGAUCAUCACAAUAUCCUACGUCGAAGAUCUUCUUUUGCAUUACAUUUUCUAAAAUUUCCAAUCCACUCUGUUAAAGGCCUUUUCAAGGUCUAAUUUAAUGAUCCAUCUUUUCUUUUUUCGGAUACUAUAGACCUCCACAGUUUCUUUUGCUAUUAAAAUAGGAUCCAAUAUUUGGCACUCUUCCAGAAAGCCACAUUGUAAUGGAGAAGUAUGUUAGGAUUCUAACAAUAAAACACAAAAUAUCCUAACCAAAUGGCUAAACAGAGGCAGCACUCUGUAAUUCUUUAUUUAUGUAAAAGCCAAAACACAUUCAACUGUAGUAGAUAUGAAAAAUAAAGGAUGAACAACAUAGAAAACUUACCCAGCUCCUUUAUACGGGGCUGGAUACCCUCAGGCUACAACAGCCUUUACUCUCCUUGAAAUAACCAAAAAAGACCUAGCCUCCCCUACCCCAACAUUACAUAUUUAUACCUCUCUCUCUCAUCCCUCCUGGCGGCCCCACCUGCACGAUCCUCUCCCAUUAUUCUCUCAUCAUUGGUUGCUAAGGAAUUUCCCUUUCUACCGUUCCUUUUAUAGGUAUAGAUAAUAGGAGGUCUUACAAAGUAAUACUGGCCUGACUUUCUUUAAUCUUUCUGCGAGAACCUUUCCAAACAACUUAUAAAUUAAUGUUGAAACAACUUAUAAGCCACACUGUAAUGACAUUCCUUCUCUUGACCGAACUUCAAUAAUCGACAACUUAUAUUUAUCCACAUAAUCAGCAAAACUCUUAAUCUGCCACUAGCUUCAAACAAAGACCCAGCCAAUUCCUUUUAAACUCCAUAGUGCCUUUAUAAUACAACUGGCAAUCUCUUCUCUUUUGGUCUCCGGAAUCAAUGCUCUAUCUGGAUUAGCUUUCUUCAAAAGAUUUUUAAUAGCCAAUUGUUUCGAAUGGCCCAUGAAUCCUCUAGUGUUCCAUGAUAUAAUCUCCAUCUUUGCUACCUCUGCCUUAUAUCAAUUCAAUUUCACAUGCUGCCAAGAAAGGAACCAACUCUUGAGGGGGAAGGAUACUUGUUGACCUGCACAAAAUUUCUUUUUAUGGGGAGGAAAACAGUUUAAUAAAAUCUGGACCAAGAGAGUCAAUGUCCUCUUGUUUCUCUGUCUCUGAUUGAAUUAUUUCUUCCUCAACUGGUUCAAAUUCUGCACUACUUAAACUGGUGACUGAUUCAACUUCCAUGAAUUCAUCUUCUAGGUUCUCAACUUUUUUGAGACAAGAAGUAUCUUGCACAAAAUUAAAGAAUGAACCAAAAAGUUUAGAGGAGGAUUGAGAAAAUGUAUUACUUAAGGAGGAAGGCAGUACUGACCUUUUGCCAAGUGAAUUUGGAAUUUGUAUCUUCACACAACUUUCCUCUAAUAAAUCAGAAUUAGCCAAGCUCAUCCAAAUGUUGCGAAAAGAAGUUCUCCCUUUGGUAUAGGUCUUGAGGUGCUUAGAAAAAUUUCUGGCAUGAAUUGGAAUAACUUUCAUUGCAGAGGAUAUUUUAGUCUUGGGAGAGGUUGAUAAUUUUGGUUGAGAAAUGAAAACAGGAGAUGGCCCGCAAGUGAAGUUCCUUGAUGGAGGAGAGGACUCUGAUUCUUCCUCCAAUUCGUCAGAAUACCAAAAGCCAUUGGAAUUCUGAUUAAUAAAAUUCUUGGGGCCUACCAUCUGUGUGUCAGCUUUUAAAAUAUCUGCAGAUACAUUAAGUUUGAAAAAAUCUGGUUGGGGAGGGCAAGGUGAGCUAUUUUUUUAGAUAAUAAAAUGCUGGGUGCCUGUCUUUUCUUCUUUCGAGAUCUGUUUUUCUCUCUUUGCCUUUUGAAAAUUAUUUUUUCCGGUCGAACAAGGUUUUCUUCUUCCUCACCCAACUUCCUAAGUGCUUCGAAAGGAUUUCUUGAGAUGGAUGGGGCAUUCUGUUUGAGAAAAUUCAGGUAUCUGAGAGACCAUCACUUUGGAGCCCUUCAUCUAAAAUCACUGAAUUUAUUCUACAUAAAUCAAUAGGAUUGGAAAAAUCACUUUGAAAUAGAUCAAAUUGGAUUAUUACAGGAGCUUCUAAGGGUUCAAAAUCCCCAAAAUUAAGGGAAAAAUUUCCUCAGUUCUCACUCUUUAAUUCUAUAGUUGCUGGUAAGAAUCCGCAAAGAUUUUUCCGAACUUUAAUUCUUGCUUCAGAGAACUUGAUCAGAUUGAGUGUUUCUAAGAUUAUACUUUCUAGUCCACCAAAGUAGCUUAAGCUUAAGGCGAUAAUUGAAUUUUCUUUCAACCACCAGCUUAAACAUUUUGGUGAAUCGGUGGUUUAAUAUUUAUAUUCAUAUUUUAUAAAAAAAAGUAUACAACUAAUGCCAUAUAAAAUAAAUAAAGAAAUACUAUAAAAUCUACAUCCAUAAAAUAUGCAUGUGAACACAUAUCAGAAGAUGGAUAUUCGUAAGUUAGAAAGACCGAUCAAAAAAUGUCAUAAUUAAACAACAACAUUAAUAUUAUGGGUAGUUUCAAGCUUCAUUUGUCUAUUUUAGGUAGGGAUAUUGAAUAACUCUUAAAAAUAAUAUAAAGAUUGAAUCCCUAAACUUCAUGUGCUUGCUAGUAUACAACCUAAAAGUUCAACAGUUAAAGAAACUGAUUAAUCAUUUUUGGCAGGAUGUCAGAUUCGCCUUUUGAAAUCCUACAUGAGUAGAGCCAACCAAAUAAGCCAAGCAAGAUAUGCCUCUUAAGGAAUAUGGAGAAGUUCAAUGACUAGGUAUGUAUAUGAUAAGCCUUAACCUCAAUUUUAUUUAUCAAUAAUGGAGGGAAGGAAUCAGAAGCUUCUCUAGCUCUCCCAAUUAUUCUAAGAAAUCUGAUACAAGCUAUGCCAAAACAUACCCUCCCCAAACAAUCAUAAUAGCAUUUAUAUGAAAGCAUAAAAGACUCAUGGCUCCCUUAACUAGCAACAUUCAGACCAACAAAUACAGCUUCCCAUCCUCCUCUCCUGAAUCCUUUCUUGUGCCUACGGGUGUACACCUUCACUACCAUGGGCCUAUCAGUAUUUAGAGAUCGUAGAGGCUGUAUGAGCCAAGGAGCUGGAAGAGUAGGAUUAGGGAAGUGUGGAGUUUUCCGCUCUUUGUUUGGCCAAAAGUGUUUGUCCGAAAUCCUACAGCUUCAACUAACUUUGGAAAGUCAGUCGAACACAUUGAAAUUCCCUGAAUGUGUGAAAUCCAUGGAUUUUAUUACACAUCCCAAAGGUGAACGACUUUGAGGCAUCUUGGUUAUAAUCAAUUGGUUCCUGAAGUACGCCACCUUCAUCCCCACUACAAAACUAUGUUCUGUCGAGCUGAUAGCACACUUGUUCUUUAAGAACGUCUUGAAGUUAUGAGGAGUUCCAUCAAGCACUGUGAGUGACAGGGAUGGUAGAUUCAUUGGUACUCUCUGGACCGAACUAUUCGCCUUCUUGGGGACACGCUUAAAUAUAUCCUUAAGCUGCCAUCCUCAAACGAAUGGCCAAAUAUUGGCCAUGUGCCCUAGUUUCAUAUAUAUUCUCUCACACCACAUCUCUCAUACCACUAGGAAUUUUAGUCCAAGUGGGAGUUUGUUGGAAUUUUUUGUCCUAAAACUCGUAGUUUGUAAAUCAUAUUCUAUUCAAUAAAGUUGUUAUUGAGAAAUUAAAAUAUUAUAAUCUUAAAUCCAAUAAAUCAAAGUUCCAAGGCUAUUUUUUGAAUAAACUUGAACUUUAUGUGUAAACAUAAACGUGGAUCAAGUUCGAGUAUAUAGCCUAAAUAGUCUAUAGUAUAUGAAAUAAAGGUGGGGCGCCUUAUUUUGAGAGACUAUGGAUGCGGCCCACUUUGUAGUACAAACGAUGUGAUCCUAAUCGUUCAUGUAGAGACAUGAAAGUGGGGGCAUCCUAUGUAAAAUGUUUACAUAAGACUGAACCAUGAAUUAGUCAUUUUUACGUUAUAACACCGUUUACUGUUUAAAACUGACUAUCUCAAUUAUUGAUGACCUAGGUAACUUAGUUCUUAAUCCCUGAGUUAACUAUGAACUCCUGUUCAUACGAGAUUAUCCUUAGAUCUGCUAUAGGUGAGGGCAGCUCAUCUAGCGUUGGCCCAAUAAGCUCUCCACAUUUCAGGGGUAAGAUCGGGUGGAUAGCUGGGAACAUAGAGUACAAGAUGGAAUUCACUCCGUAACCCGCUUUAGGGUUAGUAGAUAGGUUGUUCUCUUAAGCACUGAAUCCAAGUCUUGAACAAGGGGCCCCACCCUCUCAUUGGCCCGAGAGGGACUUAAGUUUAUAAGGUUGAACCUUAAACCAAUUGUUCAAUAGUGGAUUAGUGGGACUUACAGGAGCAAGUAUGUAAUCUUGGGGGUAAAACGCGUAUAUUUGACCCAGCCAAGGUUACGAGCAACCUGUGAAGGAUUAACUUUACUUGAUUAUGGUUUUAUCAAAUGGACACAAAUAUAUCUAUAGUGAGGGGAGUGCAACUACGGGACUUUAGUGGAAUGACCCGUUAGUUAACGAAUGUUGAUUAACUCGGUUUAGAAAGAUAGUUUAGCUAGUCUAGAUCUUGAAUCGUUGGAGCCCAUGAUCUAUAGGUCCAUAUAGGUUCCUCUGCUGAGCUCAUAUGGAUUAAACUUAGAACAGUGUGAUGAAAUAAGUCGAAUUGUUCGAAUCAGGGCAGAAGAAAGGAAAACCGACAUAUACAGUGAUAUAAUCGUCGGUCUUCUAAUUAGAAAUAUGAGCUUUAUGUUUUACAUACUAUAAGUAUGAAUACAGAUUCAUACUAAGAAGCUCGAAAAUUGGUCAAAAAUAGUAAAAAGUCAAAAUGUAUGACUUUUGACUUUGACAAAGUCAAACUUUGACCAGCCUUAUAUUCAAAUGUGAUUUGAAUUUUGGAAACAAUGAAUGCGGAUUCAUGCUCGGGAGGUUGGAAUUAGUCAAGACGGACAAAAUGGUAAAAAGUCAAAAUAUCUGUAUCUUUUGACUUAGAGAAAGUCAAAGUUCUGAACUUUUGACUAGAAAAAUCUAAUGACCAUUUUCACCCUAUGGACUCAAGUUAGUGGGAAAAUUCCAACAUUUUGUUGGAUAAUCCCACUAACUCUUAGUGGGAUAUGUGGCUAUAUGAGAUAUAGACACCUAGCCCACUAAGUUCCACUAAUUGUUAGUGGAAUAUUAGGUGUUGAGAUUUGGCAAUUGAAUUGCAUGCAUUUUGCAUGUAAUUAGGCUAUAAAUACGAGAUGUUUUCGAGAAUGUUGAAGGUACCUUUUGCUCUCUUUGUGAUCAUUUUCAGUAAUCUCAACAAAAGAAAAAAAAAAGCUUCCAAUCUCAUUUUAUCUCCACUAACUUUCUACACCAAAAUUGGGUCCCACAACCCGGUUCUUUGUCUAGAAGGAUAGCUAGUUGAGUACUAGUGGUGGUCUGCGGGCUCAGAAUUGGUAAGAAUGACAUCAAACCUUUUGAAAGUCUUCAAAGGUAAUACUUCUUAAAACCCUAAUUUGAUUAGUUUAUGGUUACAUGUUAAUUGUGGCAAUUAGGGUAGAAAUUCGAUUCUUUUUCCGCUGUGCAUGACCUUAGUUCUAUCAUGUGGUAUCAGAGCAUGCUAUCAUUUUUACCCAACUUGCAUGGUGGUGGGUUCAUAUUUCAUUAGAUAAAUUUUGGUUUGAACUAAAAUGGAUAUAUUAUGAUUUUGGCUCUAGAUCUCUAAGUGUUUUUGUUCUAAUUAUUGUAAUAUAGCCUUGUUAAUGGCUUAUUUUUAUUGUUGCAAAAGUGUAUUGUAAUUUUUUAAAAAAUAAAAAAAAGUCAUUAGAGUUGAAGCUAGGCUGUCAAUUGGUUCAACUCGGGUGAAGAGAAUUGAAAAACCAAGUGAAGAAAAGAAGGUCACAGACCCGAAUACCCGGUUGUUGACCCGCUUCGCGACCCGCACGCGCCCGCAAUGCCCGCAUGUGUCCGCGCGCCCGCCUUCGCCGCAGCCUGUCUUCGCACGACCCGUAGUGCGCCUGGGCCGGUUCAAGCCAAUAAAUUUGGUUUUUGGGCCGGUUCAAGCGGUUCGGUUGGUUUUUUAGCACGGUUCGAAAUUUUUGGGAGUGGUUCUGUACUACACCAAAUUAAGGAUUAUGUAAUAAUUUAGCACUUAGCUUAAUUUAGGAGCCAAAAAUCAGUCCUGAUUUUAGGGUGUUUUUUUUAUUUAUGCAUGUGAUGUCCAUGAUUAAAUUACUUUAAAUUUGUAUGUGCAUUUUGAAUGUCAUAACUGAGAUCUUAAAGAUCCCACCAUAGGUUAACAUGUUCAUGCAUUAAAAUGUAUGAUAUAAAGGUUAUAUUGUAUUGUAUGCAUGUUAAUUGAUUAAUAUGGAAAUUAAUUAAUAUGAUUAAUUAAUUAUUGUAAUUAAUUAAGUUAUUCUUGAUUAAAUAUGAAUUUAAUCAAAUUAAUUAAUUAGUUGUUUCGAUUUAAUUUAACUUAAAUAUGAAUUUAAUUAAAGUUAAGAUAAAUUAAAAUCCAUUAUUAAUUGAUUGUUCGUUUAUUAUAUAUUGAUAAAAGUGAUUGAUUAAGUUUGAAAAGUUUUUAUAAGUGUUAUAAAAUAAAUUAGACUUUUAAAAUCAAUAACAAAGAUUAAAUGCAUGCUCACUUAGGUUAAACAUAUCUUCCAUUUUUCAUAGAAAGUAAAGGUACGAUAUCAUUGUAAAACAUGGUUACAAAAGGCUCACCUGGUUCAAUCUUGUCAACAAGUCAGAUAAGAUGACUAAGGUUGGAGGUUUCUUAAGUUGACGGUUUACGGAACACCUCCUACCUGGAGAGUCCGUAAUCAAGUUCUUGAGCCUAGUUAACCUAGUUUUAUGAGCAUUCGUGAGAGGUGUUGAGGUCAAUAAAAAUGGUUUUUCACCUAGGACAUCAUAGGUUAGAAAUCCUGUAUAAUGGUUACGUACUUGGAUGUUUUAUUCUAGACUUAAGAUUUGUUUAAGUUAGCCUAAAUAUAAAUACUUGAAGUUUGGAUUACCCUAUUUUUUUCUUUUAGAACACUUCAACUAGAGAAAAAUAAUGUAUUUUAGCUCUAGUGUCCCUAAGAGUUCACACCGUGAGGUCCAUGCAGGGCUUUGUGCCGUGCAUAGGAGCGGCCUCCCUUACGGAGAGUGUUUGUCAAUGGAUCAAAAUCAAGGUGAAUAGGGGAAGUAGUUCAUAGUAAGUGGGUUGAGGGAUUUGUGGCCAGCACAUCCCACGGUCUCUUCCAUUAGGUCGCACCGUGAGGAUUUCUAUAAUAUGCCUGCUUGUCUGCCCUGGAGUCGACGUUCACCCUUCGGAGGGUUGUAUUAUAGGAUUCGGAACACCGCGAACUCCAAAACUGGAUAGGAUUUCUUAGAUUAGUUUUCAUAAAUGAUUCUAAUCUAUAAAAUCUGAAAAUGGUGGGUAACACUUACAAGAAUUACUAAUGUUGUAUAGUAUAUUCUUGACUAAAGUAGCGAUAAACUAAGUGCUGAUAAAGAAUAAAGAGUUAUUCUUGAGAUAGCAUCUAGUCAAGAUUGUCUUGGUAUCAAAGGAGGAAUAAGUCAACUACCCUUCGGAGAAGGUUGUUCUAAACCUUUGAAAUAUUGUUGCAAAAUACAAAUAAUGAAAGGGUACCAUUAUUAGUAAUUGCUAAAUUAGAUUGGAUAUUUUUUAGUGAUUGAUAGUUUUUUCUUAAAAAGAAUAUGUUUGUUUUUCAGCAUGAAUAGCUCAAUAGUUCAACUUUUAGCUUUCCGAAAAACUUAAUGGCGAUACAUUAUGCGGCUUGGAAAUCAAAUCUUAACACAAUACUAGUGGUUGAACGAUUUAAGUAUUUGUCUUAACUGCAGGAAUGUCCUCAAAACCCUGCCUCUAAUGCUAACCGAACUAGUCGGGAUGCAUAUGAUCGAUGGAUAAAAGCUAAUGAAUAAAGCCCGUGUUUACAUUCUUGCCAGCAUGUCUGAUGUAUUGGCAAAAGAAACAUGAAUCCUUAGCCACGGCUAAAGUGAGAUUAUGGAUUCAUUAAGGGGAAUGUCUUGGGCUAACCAUGAAUGGUCCUUAAGACACGAGGCAGUCAAAUACAUUUACACUAAGCGUAUGAACGGAAGCGGAACCUCUGUUAGAGAACAUUGUUCUGGACAUCGAUGAUGCACUUCAACAUCGCUGAAGUGAAUGGUGGUCCCAUCGAAGAGGUUAAUCAAGUUAGUUUUGAUCUUAUUGAGUCUCUUCCGAAGAGCUUCAUUCCAAUUCCAAACGAAUGCGUCUUUGAACAAUGAUAGAACUUUAACUUUGACAACCCUUCUGAAUGAACUCCAGCAGAUUCGCAAAACCUAACUUAUGGGUAAAGGAAAUACAAUGUGGAAGCAAAUGUUGCUACCACAACAAAGAAAAUUUAUAAGAGGAUCGUCCUCUAAAACCAAAGCUGGACCCUCAAAACCUAAUGCUCAAAUAAAAAAGAAGGGAAAGGGAAAGACUCCCAAACAGAACAAGGGUAAGAAAGUGCAGAAAAAGGUAAGUGUUACCAUUGUGGCCAAAACGGGCACUGGUUAAGAAACUGCCCAAAAUACCUUGCAGAAAAAAAGGCAGAGAAGGAAACACAAGGUAAAUAUGAUUUACUAGUUGUAGAAACAUGUUUAGUGGAAUAUGGAAAUAUUCUACCUGGAUACUAGAUUCAGGAGCCACUAACCAUAUUUGCUUCUCAUUUCAGGAAAAUAGUUCUUGAAAAAGCUUUCAGAAGGCGAGAUCACUCUCAAGGUUGGAACAGGAGAGAUGGUCUCAGCUUCAGCAGUGGGAGAUUUAAAGUUGUUUUUUAGAGAUAGAUAUGUCAUACUUAAGAAUGUCUUAUAUGUACCUCAAAUGAAAAGAAAUUUAAUAUCUAUCUCUUGUAUUUUGGAACAAAUGUAUAGAAUAUCUUUUGAAAUUAAUGAAGCGUUCGUUUUCUAUAAAGGUAUUCUAGUUUGUUACUGCUAUACUUGAAGACAACUUAUAUAAGUUAAGACCAACUAGAGCAAAUUUUGUCUUAAAUACUGAAAUAUUCAGAACAGCCUGAAACUCAGAAUAAAAGACAAAAAGUUUCUUCUAAUGCCUAUUUAUGGCACUUAAGACUUGGUCACAUAAAUCUCAAUAGGAUUGGGAGAUUGGUUAAAAGUGGGCUUCUAAGUCCGUUAGAAGAUAACUCUUUACCUUCCUUGUGAAUCUUGUCUUGAAGGAAAAAUGACCAAGAGAUCUUUUACUGGAAAAGGUCUAAGAGCCAAAGGACCCUUAGAGCUCGUACAUUCGGACCUUUGUGGACCAAUGAAUGUCAAAACUCGAGGUGGAUAUGAAUAUUUCAUUAGCUUCAUUGAUGAUUAUUCAAGGUAUGGUCAUAUUUACCUAAUACAUCAUAAGUCUAAUAGUCUUGAAAAGUUCAAAGAAUAUAAGGCUGAAGUAGAAAACGAAUUAGGUAAAACAAUAAAAAUACUUCGAUCAGAUCGAGGUGGAGAGUAUAUGGACUUACGAUUCCGAGACUAUUUAAUAGAAAAUGGAAUCCAGUCACAACUCUCUGCACCUAGUACACCUCAACAGAACGGUGUAUCAGAAAGAAGAAACUGGACCUUGUUAGACAUGGUUCGCUCUAUGAUGAGUUUUUCUCAGAUGUCAGAUUCUUUUUGGGGAUAUGCUUUAGAAACAGCUGCUUAUAUUUUGAAUAAUGUUCCCUCUAAAAGUGUUUCAGAAACACCUUAUGAGCUAUGGAAAGGGCGUAAAGGCAGUUUACGUCAUUUUAAAAUUUGGGGUUGUCCAGCACAUGUGUUGGUACAAAAUCCAAAGAAAUUGGAACAUCGUUCAAAAUUAUGCUUUUUUAUAGGUUAUCCAAAAGAAUCAAGAGGUUGGUAUUGAAUUUUAUGAUCCUCAAGAAACAUAAAAUACCACAUCAGGGAUCAUCAACCUCGUAGUAAACUAGUAUUUAAAGAAAUUUCCAAAAGUGCUAUAGAUAAAACCUAGUUCAUCCACUAAAGUAGUUGAUAAGACUAGGAAAUCUGGUCAAUCACAUCCUUCUCAACAGUUGAGAGAGCCUCGACGUAGUGGGAGGGUUGUUCAUCAGCCUGAUCGCUAUUUGGGUUUAAUUGAAACUCAAGUCGUCAUACCUGACGAUGGCAUAGAGGAUCCAUUAACCUAUAAACAGGCAAUGAAAGAUGUAGAUCGUGACCAAUGGAUCAAAGCCAUGGACCUCGAAAUGGAGUCUAUGUACUUUAAUUCUUUCUAGGACUCUAGUAGAUCAACCAAAUGACGUAAAACCUAUUGGUUGUAAAUGGAUCUACAAGAGAAAACGAGACCAUGCCGGUAAAGUACAGACUUUUAAGGCUCGACUUGUGGCAAAGGGUUAUACCUAGAGAGAGGGAGUAGACUAGAGGAAACUUUCUCUCCCGUUGCCAUGUUAAAGUCAAUUAGAAUACUCUUAUCCAUCGCCACUUUUUAUGAUUAUGAAAUUUGGCAGAUGGAUGUCAAGACAGCUUUUUUGAACGGUAAUCUUGAAGAGAGCAUCUAUAUGUCUCAACCAGAGGGGUUUAUAAAACAAGAUCAAGAACAAAAGGUUUGUAAGCUUAAAAAAUCCAUUUAUGGAUUAAAACAAGCUUCUAGAUCCUGGAAUAUAAGAUUUGAUAUUGCGAUCAAAAUCUUAUGGCUUUGAACAAAAUGUUGACGAGCCUUGUGUUUACAAAAGGUCGUCAAUUCCAUUAUAGCAUUUUUUAGUCUUAUAUGUAGAUGAUAUUCUACUUAUUGGAAAUGACUAGGAUAUCUUCCUGAUAUCAAGAAAUUGGCUAGCUAUGCAAUUUCAAAUGAAAGAUCUGGGAGAUGCACAAUACGUUCUCGGAAUCCAAAUUGUUCGAAACCGUAAGAACAAAACACUAGCCAUGUCUCAAGCAUCUUACAUAGACAAAAUGUUGUCUAGAUAUAAAAUGCAGAAUUCCAAAAAGGGUCUGCUGCCGUACAGAUAUGGAAUUCAUUUGUCAAAGGAACAAUGUCCUAAGACACCUCAAGAAGUUGAGGAUAUGAGAAAUAUUCCCUAUGCUUCCGCUGUUGGAAGUUUAAUGUAUGCAAUGUUAUGUACUAGAACCUGACAUUUGCUACUCAGUAGGGAUGGUCAGUAGGUAUCAAUCCAAUCAUGGACGUGAUCACUGGACAGCCGUUAAAAACAUUCUACAUGCUCAUGUAUGCGUACAAAGGAUAUGAUCCUUACUGGAUACACUGAUUCAGAUUUCCAAACUAAUAAAGAUGUUAGAAAGUCUACAUCAGAAUCAGUAUUUACUCUAAAUGGAGGUAGCAGUAGUUUGGAGAAGCAUAAAGCAAACUUGUAUAGCUGAUUCCACAAUGGAAGCUGAUCAUUUUACAAAAGCCCUCACGGCUAAAGUGUUUGAGGGUCACCUACACAGUUUAGGUGUACGAUGUUUGUAAACUAGGACAAGUGGGAGACUUAUUGGCCAAUGUGCCCUAGUUUCAUAUAUAUUCUCUCACACCACAUCUCUCAUACCACUAGGAAUUUUAGUCCAAGUGGGAGUUUGUUGGAAUUUUUUGUCCUAAAACUCGUAGUUUGUAAAUCAUAUUCUAUUCAAUAAAGUUGUUAUUGAGAAAUUAAAUAUUAUAAUCUUAAAUCCAAUAAAUCAAAGUUUCCAAGGCUAUUUUUUGAAUAAACUUGAACUUUAUGUGUAAACAUAAACGUGGAUCAAGUUCGAGUAUAUAGCCUAAAUAGUCUAUAGUAUAUGAAAUAAAGGUUGGGCGCCUUAUUUUGAGAGACUAUGGAUGCGGCCCACUUUGUAGUACAAACGAUGUGAUCCUAAUCGUUCAUGUAGAGACAUGAAAGUGGGGGCAUCCUAUGUAAAAUGUUUACAUAAGACUGAACCAUGAAUUAGUCAUUUUUACGUUAUAACACCGUUUACUGUUUAAAACUGACUAUCUCAAUUAUUGAUGACCUAGGUAACUUAGUCUUAAUCCUGAGUUAACUAUGAACUCCUUGUUCAUACGAGAUUAUCCUUAGAUUCUGCAUAGGUGAGGGCAGCUCAUCAGCGUUGGCCCAAUAAGCCUCCCAUUUCAGGGGUAAGAUCGGGUGGAUAGCUGGGAACAUAGGGUACAAGAUGGAAUUCACUCCUACCCGCUUUAGGGUUAGUAGAUAGGUUGCUCUCUUAAGCACUGAAUCCAAGUCUUGAACAAGGGGCCCCACCCUCUCAUUGGCCCGAGAGGGAUUAAGUUUAUAGGUUGAACCUUAAACCAAUUGUUCAAUAGUGGAUUAGUGGGAUCUUAAGGAGCAAGAUGUAAUCUUUGGGGUAAAACGGUAUUUUGACCCAGCCAAGGUUACGAGCAACCUGUGAAGGAUUAACUUACUGAUUAUGGUUUUAUCAAAUGGACACAAAUAUAUCUAUAGUGAGGGGAGUGCAACUACGGGACUUUAGUGGAAUGACCCGUUAGUUAACGAAUGUUGAUUAACUCGGUUUAAAAGAGUUUAGCUAGUUAAUCUUGAAUCGUUGGAGCCCAUGAUCUAUAGGUCCAUUAGGUUCCUCUGCUAGCUCAUAUGGAUUAAACUUAGAACAGUGUGAUGAAAUAAGUCGAAUUGUUCGAAUAGGGAGAAGAAAGGAAAACCGACAUAUACAGUGAUAUAAUCGUCGAGUCUUCUAAUUAGAAAUAGAGCUUUAUGUUUUACAUACUAUAAGUAUGAAUGCGGAUUCAUACUAAGAAGCUCGGAAUUGGUCAAAAAUAGUAAAAAGUCAAAAUGUUGACUUAUUGACUUUGAAAAGUCAAACUUUGACCCGGCCUUAUAUUCAAAUGUGAUUUGAAUUUUGGAAAAAUGAAUGCGGAUUCAUGCUCGGGAGGUUGGAAUUAGUCAAGACGGACUACAAAUUGGUUAACAAAGUCAAAAUAUUGACUUUUGACUUAGAAAAGUCAAAGUUUGACUUUUGACUAGCAAAAAUCUAAUGACCAUUUUACCCAUUGGACUAAGUUAAGUGGGAAAAUCUCAACCAAUUACUAUGUUGGAUAAUCACCACUAACUCCUUAGUGGGAUAUGUGGCUAUAUGAGAUAUAGACACCUAGCCCACUAAGUAUCCACUAAUUGUUAAGUGGAAUAUUAGCGUGUUGAGAAUUUGGCAAUUGAAUUGCAUGCCAUUAUUUGCAUGUAAUUAGGCUAUACCAAUAGAAGAAUGUUUUCAAACUGUUGAAGCGCACUUUGUGCCUCUUUUAUCAUUUUCAUAAUCUCAAGCAAAAGGAAAAAAGAAAGCUUCCUAAUCUCAAUUUUAUCUCCAUUACUUUCUACACCAAAAUUGGGUCCCACAACCCGGUUCUUUGUCUAGAGGCAUAGCAGUUGAGUACUAGUGGUGGUCAUCGGGUAGAAUUGGUAAGAAGACAUCAAGACCUUUUGAAAGCUUCAAAGGUAAUACUUCUUAAAACCCUAUAUUUAGAUUAGUUUAUGGUAUACAUGUUAAUUGUGGCAAUUUAGGGUAGAAAUUCGAUUCUUUUUCCGCUGUGCAUGACUUAGUUCUAUCACCAAUACUAGAAGAAGGAUUCAAUUGUAUGCUUAUGGCAAUAUCUACGUAUAUUUUGUUGAUUCUGGACAAAAGAAUUGGGACCUAGUUGAUGGUAUGUGGCUCAAUUUUGUGUUUAAUGCACAAACUAGUCUAUCCACAAGAACGAGUCCUUUCGAAAUCUUGAGUGGAAGACAACCUAUACUGCCGUCAUAUUGUUGAUCAUCCUUAUGCAGGAAAAAAUCCUACAAGCUCAUAACUUUACGAAAACGUGGGAGAAGACUACGAACAUCGCUCGAGCAUACUAAGAGAAAGACUCGAAGCGUAUGAUAUAGAAGCAUCCAUCCUCUCAAGUUUUGAGCGGAAGACCAACUUUCGUAGAGUUUAAAGCGAAAGCAAAUUUGAUUUAGAGGACAUCAACAUCAACAUCUCACCAGAAAAUACGAAGGGCCUGUUGAAGUUUUGAAGAAAUUCUGAGAAAUGCAUUAUAUAGGGUAUCGUUGCUUGCAUGGAUAAAAAAUCAUCUAGUAGCUCAUGUGAGCAACUUGAAACCUUACCAUCAAGAUCCAGAUGACCAGUAGUGCAACAAUGGUGUAUGGUCAUCUAGUGACCUAAAGCAGAAAGACGAUAAAGAAAUGGAAGAAAUCGUUCCUAAGAGAGUGAGGAAGGGUAUACCCAUGAAGAGGAUACAUGAAUUCCUACUGAAGUGAAAGAACCUCCAUGCGGAAGAAACACGUUAGGAAUGUGCUGAAGGGUAUACCCAGUCGACAGGGACGCCAAUUGUUUAAGAGCGGGAGAAUGUAACAAGCAUGCUUGUCCAGGGCGCUGUUUGCUUAUGGCCGCAUGCCAAACACCCAAAAUUUACAUUGUUUUUUAUGUUUGUAUUUAGUUUUACUUUUUGCUUUCCUUUUAAUGUCAUAAACCUUGGGUGUGACUUGGCUUUUUCUUAUGCAAGCCUACCAGAACUAAAAAAGUCUAAAAUGUACUAUAGAUGGGACAUAGUAGUUGAAUCCCUGCCCAAGCCUUGUUGCACUCUUCGCAAUCAAAGUUUUUUCUUUGGCAAUUGACAAUCUUCAAUGCUUGCUUUAACGAUAUUUUCAUUGAAUUUCUUUCUCCUCACGUUUUAUAAAACAUUUUCUCAAGAACGUGAAGAGAGGCUACAUCGUAUCAUGUGUUUGUCCGUGGUUUUUGGAUUUUGAUCAGCUAACUUGUUGUCUAUGUAAAACAAGUGCAACAUAAUCGCUCCUCUCGUGUUUGAAAAGCUCGCGAUUGUGACACAAGAAUGCACUAGCCAAGAAUGCACACGAGGAGGGCUACACGAAAUGCCAAGCACGCAACCAAGUGAGGUUCACAAUGUGCUUGUGUGUGAGGUUAGCACGCAGGCAUGCCCAACGCGCGUGAAAAGCCUCUUGUGAGAUUUACACACACUAGCCAGCGCCCAACCAAGGCCCUACCGCCCACCCAUUCGUGUCAGGCAGUGUCAUAUUGCGUGUUGAGCUAUUUUUGGUAAUUUUUUGAGUUUUUUAAGUAUAAUUUUGAUAUUUUCUUGGCAAAAGAUAAUUAAUUGUACUAUUUUACCAUUAUUUCAAGACAUGAGAAGAUCACAAAAUUUAUAAACCAAGGAUUUGAGCUUGUAUCUUUGAGUGGAAAUGUUUUAUUUAAAAGUGAUUUCAAGCAUGUUCUUAAGUCAUGAUUUAUGACGGAUUUAUGCUAAAAUGUUUAAGUUAUGUUAUGAAAAGUCUUUCAAGCGUGUUAUUGUUAAAGGUAUUUAUUCAAGCAUAUUUUUUACUCUUCAAAAUGCAUAAUAUUCAAAAUGUUUUCCCACUUUCUAGUAGAGAUCGUGUCCUCUAAGCCUAACUUGAACCUGUCUACUAAAGGAUUUCAUUUUGUUAUUGUAUGUGUCCUGUAUUUUGUACUAAUGGUAAAUUAGUCUUUUGUGCUAUCAGACUUAUGCUUUUGGAAAGGUUUAUAUAAGGUUUUGUUCUAGAUAAAUAAGAUUACGUUUUUUCUAUGUUAAACUUGUCUAAGGUUGUUAAUGAAAAAGGUUUAGCCCAAUUGGUUUCAGUAAAACUUAUGUGUUAUGUUUCCACUGUUGUUUAGAGUUUAAAGUUCAGGCUAAGGGUCAGAUAGUGUCGUUCUUGACGUGGGUGCUAUCGAUUGGCUUCACGCCAUAUCUCGAGCCACGCAAGUAGGUGCUCGUGGUGGGGUGUGAUAGCCUAAGUUGGCUUAUUAACGGUUAAAAUGUAAACAUGUCCAUAACAAAAUAGUUGGGCAAGGCCCAUGUGGACCGACUGGUAAAGGUUGAAGAGCAAAUGCUCUACCUAAUGAAAGUUCCUAACUCAAUUCGCUUCUUGGAAACCCGCCUUGAAGAAAUUUUUUAGAAAGCUGAUGCUAUUAAUUAAACCACCACCCAAAAUCUUAAGCUAGUGAUUAAAAGUAAAUUUAAUUAUAUAUCACUAACAAUCCCCCACUUAUGGGUUCGAAAUAUCUAAAAGGUCCAACAAGUGAAAAUCAAUUUUAAUUGGGAAGGAAACACCAAUACAGGGACUUGAACAUAAGACCUUUUGGACCACCUGCUCUAAUACCAUAUUAAACCCCAAAUUCACCCAAAAGCUUAAGCUAGUGGUUGAAGGUAAAUUUAAUUAUAUAUUACCAAAGUAUGAGGUUUCAUCACAAUACCAAUUGGCAAUGAGAGGAGUAGCUCAUCUAUUUUAUAAGGAGUCUAAGUUUCCUUGGUUUUUCAAUUGUGGGAACAUGCCCCUUCAAGAUGGUGCCUCUUUGGUUUCACCUAUCUUGAACCAAAUAUCCGUUUAGGCUUAAUGAGCUCUAAUACCAUAUUGAAAGCAAUAUAUACGAAACCAAAGCUUACGUGAAAACGUAAGAAUCGAAAGAAAAGCAUUGUGUUUGUAGUUUUAUUAUUUUUAUGAUAAUUACAGACGUACAAUUGGUGGUUUAAUAUAUAUCACUAACACUAUUGCUGCAAUGAUCGAUCAUCUCGAUGGAUUACCCAUUUAAGAGUUGUUGACAAGAGUUGACACUCUAGAAUCAAAAGUUGUAAGAACUAGAUGUUGUAAUAAAUGUCCUAAAACUCGUUGUAAUCAUAAUCUAUUCAUUAAAGUCGUUAUUGAUACUAUAAUCUUAAAGCCAAUAAACUAAGGACCCGAAGUUAUUAUUAAGUAAACUUGAACUUUAUGUAGAGACAUAAAAGUUGAUCAAGUUUAAGUAUAGAGCCUAAAUAGUAUAGAUUGUACGAAUACAGUUAGGCACCUUAUUCCAGGACACAAUGAAUGCAGUCUGCUUUGUAUUUAGUAUAAACGAUGUGAUCCUAAAUCCUAGAGACAUGAAAGUGUGGACAUCCUAUGUAAAGAGUUUACAAAAGACUAGAACCAUGAAAUAGUCACUUUUAAGUUAUAACACCGUUAACUUUGAAAAACUUACUAUUUCAUUGAUAGAUAUCAAAUAUAACUUAAUCUUAAUACUGAGCUAACUAUAAGCUUCUGUUCUCACCAGCAUGCUUGUUUAAGGCGUUGUUUAUCUAUGGCCACAUGCCCAAAUACCCCCAAAUCACCUUUUCUUUAUGUCUUGUAUUUAGUUUAGUCUAUUGCUUUCCUUUUUAUGUCAUAGACCUAGGGUGUGAGGUGUCACACAUUUUCAUUUGCAAACCUGUCAAAGCUCAAAAAGUCUAAAUGUACUAUAGAAGAGACCCAAUAGUUGAAUCCCCAACCAUGUCUUAUCGUAUUCUUUAUAAUCAAAUUUUUAUUUGCAAUUGAAAGUCUUCAACGCUUUCUUUAAUGAUGUUUUUAAUGAUAUUCUCUCUCACAUUUUAUAAUAAUUUUUUCAAGAACGGGAAGGGAGGUUAUAUCAUAUCGUGAGUUUGUUCGUGAUUUUCGGAUUUUACAUGACUGACUUAUUGACUGAGCAAAACAAGUGUUCUACAAUUGUCCGUUCCAUGUUUGAAAGAUUGCGAUUGUGGCACGCAGAGUGUCACAAGUGUGCUUGUCCAAGGCAUUAUUUGCCUAUGGUCGUAUGCUCGUAUAUCCUCAAACCACUUUAUCUUUAUGCUUUGUACUUAGUUUAGUCAACUGCUUUCCUUUUGUUGUCACCGACCUAAGGUGCGUCGUUUCGCAAUUUUCAUAUGCAAUGUUGUCAAUGCUAAAAAAGUUUAAGAUGUAUUGUAGGGGAGGCAUGGUAGAAAAUUGAAUCCAUCUCAACUAAGGCCCCUAUUGUGAUUUUUGCAAAUCUAAGCUUUCUUUGCAAUUGACAAUAUUCAAUUUUUUCUUUAAGGAUGUUAUCAAUGUUUUUCUUUAUCUCUCACGUUUUAUACAACCAAUUUCUCUCAAAAGAUGAAGCGAGGCUACAUCGUACCAUGAGUUUAUCCGCAACUUUCAAAUUUCACAAGGUUGCCUUGUUCAUCAAUUUAGAACAAGUGUUGCACAAUCGCCCGUCCCGUAUUUGAAAAGUUGCAUUUUGUGACAAGUGGUAUUAAAGCUUUCUUAGCUCCUUGGCUAAGCGAGAUGCAAUUAUGUCGACAAUGAAACAACUAUCAAAGUUGCAAUCUGAGCGACUGACUGAGAUUGAAGAGGAAUUCUUGGAUAUGAAAGAAUUGCCAAAGGAAGUAAGAUUUCUCCAGACCUAACUUGAGAUGUUUAAAGAAAAAGUCAGAGAAAUAGACGCAUUGAAUGCCUAAAUAGACAAACUACCCAUAAAUGAAUUGGCGUUGAGGGUUGAUUCGUUAGAACAUAAAACCACCAAAGUAGGUAGUUUUGAACGUGGAAGUAGCUCUUCAAGUUCUAUCGCACAAAUGGAAGAGCGUGUCAAGAGUUUGACUUUUGACAAGCUCCAACAUAAUCAGUUAUAUUUCAAGAAAGAGAAAAGUGUUUUUGCUAAAUAGCGUAUCAAUUUUCUGGGUCACAUCAUCGAAUGUAGAAAGAUUUGAAUGGAUGAACAUAAGUUGUGAGCUAUUAAGGAGUGGAGAGCCCCCACUUCCGUGAAAGAGUUACGUUUCAUCCUUCAAUAUAUUCUAAAAUAGGGUUCACCUACUAUCCUCUAGACUCAGUACCGAGAGAAAGAAAUAGAUGGAAAAAGAAAUGGGCUUGGUAAUUUUUUUUUCUAUGUAAAUAAGAAAAAGAAAUCCAAUUUGGUAUAAGAGCCCAAAUUCAUUAGCCAGUCCAUCAAAUGAGGUCAACGACCCUAUUUAUAAGGAUUUUCCAUGCAAAAUUGCAUGUCCAUGGAAUACUAAAGCCCAACAACUCAAAGCUCUAUUUCUAAUAUGAAAUUCGAUGGCUAUAACACAUAUACUUGUCAGUUUCUCUCUCUUCUCCCAAUUCGAACAAUUCGACUUAUUCCAUCACACUAUUUUAAGUUUAUUCCAUAUGAGCUAGCAAGGGAACCUAAUGGACCUAUAUAUCAUGGACUCCAAUGAUUCAAGAUUAAUUGACUAAAUUCUUAUAGACUGAGUUAAUCAACAUUCGUUAACUAACGGGUCAUUCAUGUAUGUACUGGAACGAUUCAGAAUCACCUCGUUUGUACUAACUACAAAGCGGGCGGCAUCCACAGUUUCUCUGAAAAAAUCUGGGUUACUACAACGUCACCACGAUGUACAAUUUUCCUGAUAAGAUGGUACUUACGUUCGAUAUGUAUUCCCCGUUUACGGCUUUUAGGUUCUCUUGAAUUUGCAACUGCACCACUGUUGUGACAGUAUAAAGUGAUUGAUAGAUGCAUAUUUGGAACGACUUUCAGAUCUGUCAAGAAUUUUCUUAGCCAUAAUGCUUCUGUUGUUGCUUCAAAAGUUGCUACGUAUUCUACCUCCAUUGUGGAAUCAACUAUACAAGUUUGUUUUAUGCUUCUCCAAACUACUACUCUUCUAUUUAGAGUGAAUACUAAUCCUGAUGUAGACUUUCUAGCAUCUUUAUCAGUUUGAAAAUCAUAAUGAGUGUAUCCAGUAAGGAUCAAAUCUUUUGUACCAUACACGAAAAUGUAGUGUUUUGUUCUUCAAAUAUAUUUUAGAACAUUCUUAACGGUUGUCCAGUGAUCACAUCCAAGAUUGGACUGAUACCUACUGACCAUCCCUACUAAGUAACAAAUGUCAGAUCUAGUACACAACAUUGCAUAUAUCAAACUUCCAACAGCGGAAGCAUAGGAAAAUUUUCUCAUAUCCUCAAUUUCUUGAGGUGUCUUAGGACAUUGUUCCUUUGACAAAUGAAUUCCGUAGAUGUAUAAUAGCAUACCCUUUUUGGAAUUCUACAUUUUAUAUCUAGACAACAUUUUGUCUAUAUAAGAUGCUUGAGACAUGGCUAGUGUUUUGUUCUUGCAGUUCUGUACAAUUUGGAUCUUAAGAACGUAUUGUGCAUUUCCCAGAACUUUCAUUUGAAAUUGCAUAGCUAGCCAUUUCUUGAUAUUAGUAUGAAAUCCUAUGUCCUUUUCCAAUAAGUAGAAUAUCAUCUACAUACAAGACUAAGAAUACUACAAUGGAAUUGACGACCUUUUUUAUAAACAUAAGGUUCGUCAACCUUUUGUAUCAAAGCCAUAAGAUUUGAUCAUAGUAUCAAAUCUUAUAUUCCAGGAUCUAGAUGUUUGUUUUAAUCCAUAAAUGGAUUUUUUAAUCUUACAAACCUUUUGUUCUUGAUCUUGAUCUAUAAACCCUCUAAUUGAGUAAUAUAGAUACUCUCUUCAAGAUUGUCAUUCAAAAAAAGUUGUCUUGACAUCCAUCUGCCAAAUUUCAUAAUCAUAAAACGUGGCGAUGCAUAAGACUAUUCUAAUUGACUUUAGCAUGGCAAAGAUAGAGAAACUUUCUUCAUAGUCUAUGUUAGAAAGAGACAUGCGCAGUGGAAAAAUGGAAUACAAAAUUACCCUAAUUGCACCUAUUUAACUUGCAACCCUAAAUUAAAAGAAUUAGGGUUUAGGAAAUAUUAUACCUUUGUAUCUAUUCGAAUAUGAACGUCUAUACCUCUCACAAAAUUCCAAAAGUUUUUGAAACCAAAAUGUAACACCUUAAACUUAGGAUUUGGAAUUCGUAUCUCCAGCAUUCUCUGCAUCCCCUGCGACCUGGCAGCAUCAUCCUUACUAUUCUUAAAAACUUAUUAGAAUGAAAUUCCUCUUCACAAACCAACACGAAAUCUUUCAUCAUGCUUUUCCUCACUCACAUAUAUCCUAGGAAAAUUUCCAAGAGGUCACCCAACAUAGAAUUUCUUUCAAGCUAAGCACGCUUAACUAUGAAGUCCCUAUAAUCGAGCCACCGAAAAAAAAAGGUUCACAUUGUUGGUAUAGGUAAUAAGUUUCAAUUCUUUUAAGUCUUUCUUAACAUGACUUUCAUGUCCUCAAGGUGCACCUUGUCGGUAUACUUGUCGAUUUCUCUCUCUUCUCUCAAUUCGAACAAUUCGACUUAUUCCAUCACAAUGUUCUAAGUUUAUUCCAUAUGAACUAGCAGGGAAACCUAAUGGACUUAUAUAUCAUGGGCUCCAGCGAUUCAAGAUUAACUGGUUAAACUCUUUUAGACCGAGUUAAUCAACAUUCGUAAACUAACGGGUCAUUCCACUAAAGUCCCGCAGUUGCACUCUCCCUCACUAUAGAUAUAUUCUUGUCCAUUUAAUAUAACCAUGAUCAAUAAGUUAAUCCUUCACAUGUUAUUCGUAACCUCGAAUGGAUCAAAUUACUGUUUUAUCCUUGAGACUACAUCUUAUUUCUUAAGUUUCAUUGAUCCACUAUUGAACAAUUGGUUUAAGGUCCAACCUAUAAACUUAAUCCCUCUCGGGCUAAUGUGAGGGUGGGGCCCCUUGUUCAAGACUUGGAUUCAGUGCUUAAGAGAACAACCUAUCUACUAACCCUAAACAGGUAGAAGUGAAUUUUGUCUUGCAUCCUAUGUUCCCAGCCAUUCAUCUGAUCUUACCCUUGAAAUAGGAGGCUUAUUGGGAGAACGUUGAUGAGAUACCCUCACCUAUGCAUAUGUAACCCUAAAACAAGUAGAAGUGAAUUCAGUCUUAUGUAAGUACUUUACAGUGCUUAAGAGAACAACCUAUCUACUAACCCUAAAACAGAUAGAAGUGAAUUCAGUCUUAUGUAAGUACUUUACAGUGCUUAAGAGAACAACCUAUCUACUAACCCUAAAACAGGUAGAAGUGAAUUCUGUCUUGCAUCCUAUGUUCCCAGCCAUUCAUCCGAUCUUACCCUUGAAAUGAGAGGCUUAUUGGGAGAACGUUGAUGAGAUACCCUCACCUAUGCAAAUGUAAGGAUAAUCUCAUGUGAACAGGAGUUCAUAGUUAGCUUAGGAUUAAGAUUAAGCUACCUAAGUCAUCAAUAAACGAAAUAGUCAGUUCUAAACAGUAAACGGUGUUAUAACGUAAAAGUGACUAUUUCAUGGAUCAGUUUAUGUAAGUACUUUACAUAGGAUGCCCCCACUUUCAUGUCUCUACAUGAACAAUUUAGGAUCACCUCGUUUGUACUAAUUACAAAGCGGGUCACAUCCGUUAGUUUCUCUAAAUAAGGCACUAUAGACUAUUUAGGCUAUACACUCGAACUUGAUCCACGUUUAUGUCUCGACAUAAAGUUCAAAUGUAUUAAAAAAUAGCAUUAAGACUUAGUUUAUUGGAUUUAAGAUUAUAAUUUUAAAUUUUUCAAUAACGAUUUUAUUGAACUGAAUAUGAUAACAAACUACGAGUUUUAGGACAUAAAAUCCCAACAUAUGUAUUUUUGCCUCUAAUAAUAAUGUUGAAAGAUGUUUGUUGUGGUUUCAUAUAGGUGAUAUCUCUUCUGGUUGGACAUAGUUAGGUUUUGUAAUGGGUGACUUUAACGAUAUCAAAAUGCAUUUUGAGGCUUUUGAUAGGUCUUCUGUUCCUAUGGAUAUGGAGGAGUUCGAUAUGGCUAUUUGCGAGGCUUAUUUAGUUGAACCUACAGUACAGGGUAACUGGUUCACCUGGACUAGAAAGGUUCAUGGGUCUGGUUUGAUAAAAUGGUUUAAUCGUAUUCUGGUUAAUGGUGUUGGAUUACUGCAUGGCCUUCGGGUAUUUCUGAUCACUCCCCUCUUAUUUUAUCCGCAACUUUUAGCAGAGACAGUGGGUAGUUUCUUUUUGUUUCUUCAACCAUUGGGUUGAGGAUUCUUUGUUUAUUGAUGUUGUCUCUUUGAUUUGGAGUCGCCAUGUAGGAGUUUCUCUGAUUGUGAGUUUCGUGAGAAAUUUACAUAACCACAAGCCUACCCUCCAUAGACAGUUUGGUAAGCACAUUCAGACCUAAGUGAGGAGGUUCGUAUUGCUAAAGAGUCCAUGGAUAAAGCUCAGAGAAAAGGUUGGGCAAAAUCCUAUGUCUGAUGUUUUGAGUCGCCAAGCAGGUCUUGCCAUUGAGGCCUUUUGGACGGCUGUUAGAUUGGAGGAAGCCUUCAUGUGUUUAGAAGUCCAAGAGGUUUGUGAGUUGCCUUAGAACUUGUGUUACCUUCCUCGAUGUUCUCCAUUACGAUUAAUGGCUCUUUCAAGGGUUUUUUAAUGGGAGGAAAGGUUUGUGUAGAGUGAUCCUUUAUCUCCUUUCCUUUUUAUCAUGGUGAUGGAGGUCCUCUCUCGUAUGUUGAAUCGGCCUCCUCCGAGCUAUCAGUUUCACAGGCAUUGUGAGAAGGUUAGCUUAACUCAUCUAACCUUUGCUAAUGAUCUUAUGAUUUUUUGUGCUGCUGAUGAUUCCUCUCUGAGUUUUAUUAACGAGACUAUUAGAAAGUUUGGUGAUCUCUCGGGGCUAUUUACUAAUCUUAGUAAAAUUUCUAUGUUUGUUGUAGGGGUUAAUAGUGAUGAUGUUUAUCGUUUGACUACCAGUUUGGGUUUUGUUCUCAGGCAUCUCCCUGUUCGUUAUCUUGGGCUUCCUUUACUUUCUGGGAGGUUACGACCUACUGAUUGUGCUCUCUUAUUCAACGUAUUACUAGUCAGAUUCAUUCUUGGUUUGCUAGAGUUUUAUCAUUUGCAGGUAGAUUGCAACUGGUUUGAUAUGUGCUUGAUAAUCUUCAGGUUUACUAGGCUAACGUGUUUGUGCUGCCUGUGAGUGUGCAUCAUGAGGUUGAUAAAAUCUUGAGGUCUUAUCUUUGGAGGGGUAAGGAGGAAGGUAGAGGAGGUGUUAAGGUGGCGUGGGCUGAGGUGUGUUCCUUUUGAGGAGGGUGGUCUUGCUAUUCUUGAUGGGUCUUCUUAGAAUGUUGUGAGUACUAUGAAGAAUCUUUGGUUGUUGCUGACUAGUUCGAGUUUUCUACGGGUUGCUUGGGUCGAGGCAAAUGUUCAUAAAGGAAGGUCAUUGUGGGAGGUCGAUUCUUGUGUUGGUCGGUCUUGGUGUCUUUGUGCUAUCAUGUGUAAACGAGAUAGUCUAAAAGAGCAUGUUCAGAUGGAGGUUGGGGAUGGUAGGCAUUGUAAACUGUGCCUGGAUCCGUUGUUGCAGGGUGGUUCCUAUCCUUCAACAAGUUGGUGAGAGAGCGCUUUAUAAUGUAACGAGUAGAUAGGAGGCUAGGCUCUCUAAGUUUAUUGGUUCGAAAGGGGAGUGGAGGUGGUCGAGGGUGUCUUUGGAUUUGAUUAAUUUAUGGGAUAGGGUUCAAGUUGUAAGUUCGUGUCCUAAUGUUGGUGAUAGGUGGGUUUGGGUUCUUGGUCGUCAUAGUGGUUUUUUGAUUGCUAGUGCAUGGGAUACUAUUCAUCCUCGUAGUGUUAAGGUUCGUUGGACAGGUUUCUUGUGGGGUGGGGAUUGAGAGUCUCGUUAUCAUUUGUUUUUUCAUGUCCUUUUGGUUGUGAUAUUUAGUCUCGGGUCCUUUAGGUUAUGGCUUCCUCUCACAGGAUUGGGUAUUGGGGGGUUGAGUUGUUUAGGGUUUGUCAUUAGAGUAUUGGUAAGGGUGUGAGAAGGAAGUUGUGGUAUGUUCUCUAGGGAAAAUUGUGCUACGAUUUAUUUUAUGUGAAAGGAGCAUAAUCAUUGUCUCCAUGGUGGUCAAGCUCGUGAGCUCAUUGUUCUGUUUCAGCUUAUUCCAUCUUGUAUCAGUGCUCGUGUUGUUUAUUUGCGUGAGGAUGCUCAUGGUAUUAUUUAGCUUGUUUUCUUUUGAUUUUUGUUUUAUCUGCUUGUUCUCGGGCUGUGGAGUUGUUUGGACUUUUUAUGUUUUUGUUGCUCUUAAUUUUGUUGGGUUUAUUAUUGUUCUUUCUUUUGAUACUUUGGAUUCUUCCUGUUUUUGUGAGCAUUGUCCGCUCUUGUGAGGUCAUCCUUGUUGUAUUAUGAUAUUAACUUUUCAAGAAAAAAAAAAAGAUAAUGCAAUUCAACUUUAGAUAGAAACAUGAUUCGAAUUUUCAUUUCAAGAAAAUACAAGGGGACAGAACUCAAGGAUUAUGUGGAUCACAAAACUUGAAUUACUAGAAUCUAAAUUUCCAUAUGUUAGAUAUCAUUAGAAGCAGUUAGACCAAAAGUUAAUUAUCAAUAUGUUAGUUCACAGGAACUGCAUAAUCAAGCACAUAAACAUCCACAUUGUCAUUCAUUGUAGGCAGCUUUGAUACACAAAAAAUAUGGAUAUUUUCAGAAGUUCAAGCAUACACAAAAAACAUAUCCUUGUCAGAAAAUAGCCAACUAAGAAAGAGAAGUUCAAGAUUUAUAUACAAAGUGCAGCUGCAAAAGGACAAGCAAGAUGCCAGAAUCUAUAUAUUAUGCAGUCGGAUAUUAAUUGGCAAGUACUAACAGCAAAGGUACCAAAAUAAAACCGUAUCAAUUUAUCUUGUCUAAAACUAAACAGUAUAUGUAAAUCUUGCAAACAAACAAGUUUUUUGAAUCAAAACUGCCAAAAGAUUUUGAUUCAAGUGAUAUGUGGAUUGUGAUCUUUUGUGUCACCCAUCCAUUCCUCCUGUUUUAACCAUUUAAAUCAAUAAAUAAUUUUAUGUUCAAACAUAAGUUGGACAACCUUUGUUAAAGAACUGCUUCCCAAAACAAAUAGCAUUAACCACCCUUUUUUAAUUCAACACAUGGGAAUAAAGAUCGAAUCUCUGAUUUUUUGGUCUAAGGUACCUUUCCUAAACUUGUCGAAUUCCAUUUUCUACACCAACUUUAGAACGAGUAUAUACAUCAAGUAAUUUCAUGUUCAACUCAAAAUUGGACAACCAUAGUAUUACUCCAAAGCAAACAAUACUAACUGUUCCAUUAAAUAUUUUUUUAUAGCUCUUGAUUGUCUCACUUUUUUGUAUUUUGAAUUUACAAGCCUCUUUUUUCUUUCUUUGGUAUGAAAGGUGGCAACUAGGCCUUGCUAGAACGAGUGGGGUAACCUUUCUAUGGUAGUACACUUAGUUUCGAAGUUCGAAGUUUUCCUCCUACAGUGGAUCAUCGAUAUUGAUUCUUCUACUGUUAAUUCGACCUCCCACUAAUUCUCUUCUUCUAAGGAUUCACUUUUCUCUAAGGCUCUGCACUUUACUAAAAAGCCUUGAUCUUCUUCCCCCCAAUGUUUUCAUAAACUUCUUAAGACAGACCCUGACCUUGGUUAGGCUCGGAUCUCCUUGGAUUAUCACCUUAUUCCCCUGAUAUGUAAAUGUUAACAUCAUAUUCUUCCAAUCCACUCCAGUCGUUCCCAAGGAAUACAAUCACUGCAUUCCAAGUAUGGCAACUACCCCUCCCAACUUCAAGGGUAAAAACUCAUUCACUACCUUCUAGUCUCCCAGCAUUAACUCAACAUCUUCACAAAUUACCUUCCCUUUGACUACAGUGCCCGAGCCCAAAAUGACUCCAUAAUUCGACGUUUCUCUUGUACUCAGUUGCAACUCUUUCACUAUUUUUUCCUGAAAUGAAAUUGCGUGUGACUUCACAAUCAAUUAGUACUAUAGCCACAUUCCCUUGUAUCAUCUCUUUUACCUUCAUUUUCCCUAGGUUGGAUAAUCCCACCACAUAAUUAAUGGAUAAUUCCACCACCACCUGACUCUCCUCUACGAUCUCAGGGGCAUUCAACUCUUUCUGAUCAAUUCCUCAUUCUUCGAUAAUUUCAUACUCCUCGCCUUCUUCCUUCACAACAAUCAUUCACAAUUCCCUUUGCUCUUUCAUCUUGCAUUUGUGGUCAUGAGAAUAUUUCUCAUUACAGCGAAAGCACAAUCCCUUCUUUCUAGAUUGAAAUUCAGCAUCAAAUAAGCGCUUCGCCUGUCCCUCUUUCCGUACUUCCUCUUUUGUUGUUCCUCGUAGAGUAAUAGUUCUCAUCGGCCAAUUCAUUCCUCCUUUACUUUCUUCUGUAUUCGCAAUGGUAUUAGCCUUGGUGCUAUUAUGGGAGUUUAUCACCUUUUCUCCAGAAUAUCCAGAAAGAUUUGCUUCCUGACGUAUAUCUUCCUUGUUCUCUACCUUUUGCGCGAUUCGUAUCGUUUGUGCUAAUCCCUUCGACUCACAUAAAUCCAUCUCCGCCUAGAUCCACAGUUUCAAUCACGACAUAAAUGUCUCUUUUACCACCUUCUCUAAUAGGUCCGACAAAGGAGCUACCCACUUAUCGAAUAAAUUUUGAUAUUCCUCUAUCGUUUUCUUUUGUUGAAUUUGCAAGAACCUUACAUACAACGAUUCCUCCCUCACGGAUCGAAAUCGCACAAAUAAUCUUUCCUUCAUAUUCACCCAAUCUACAAAGUUCUCUCGUUCUUCUUGAGAACGGUAAAAGUUCAAUGCUAGUCCCUCAAAACUAAUAGUGGAUACAGUCAUUUUCUCAAAUUCAGUAAGUUUAUGAAUGUGCAAAUACCUCUCUACGCGAAACAGCCAAGAAUCGGGAUCAUCUCCAUUGAAUAUCGACAUCUCCACCUUCUUAAACUUAUUGCAGUAACUAUUACUUUCAUCAUAUAUUUUCUUUCCUUCCUUCCUUGUUUCGUUCUCCCAUCUUGGUCACCCUUCGCCUUCGUCCACAUUCUUCGUCGAUGAAUUGUGCAUUGUUGUCGAUUCCAUAAUUCGUAACAUCAUCUAAAUUCUACCUCUCCAUAUUUUUGGAUAUUUUGGCCAACGUCUUUUCGAUCACCAGUAUCUUACUAAUCUCUUUCUUAAUGUCCUGUAUUUCCUGGUCAAACGUCUCCAUCUCUUCGAUCCGAGUCUGAACCAUUUGCAUUCUUCUUGCCCGAGAUCAAUGCUCUGAUACCAAUUUGAUGGAAACCAGUCUUGGAAUGAAAUUGCUACUAUAUUAUUAAUGAUAGAAUAGGAAUGAAAUCCUAAUUACAAUAUGAAAUCCCUCUCCUGUUAUCCUCUCUCUCAAGGAAGAAUAGAAAUUCACUUUCUCAAACAAAACCUAACUUUCCCGCCCACGAUUACUUUUUAUUUAUACUAACAAUAAGGUAACUAACCCUUCCCUUUACACAUGCUAUUCAUGUGCACGUGAUAUAUUUUUUUUAAUUUCUUUGUCCCUCUUCCACUGUAUAGAUGUAAUAUAGGGGGUCUAUCAGAUUCCUCCUCUUUUCAAAGCCUCCAACCAAACUCAAUGCUAAGUUUGACUGCUCCCUUCAGAGUGACGACCCUCAUUUUCCCCCUUCCGUGGUUUGGGGAGGAUUCCUCCUCUUUUUAAAGCCCUCAAUCAAACUUGAUGCUAUGUUUAGAACGCUAAGAAUAGGUGGUCUAGUUUUGGUUAGGCCAAAAGUGAAAAUUUCCCCCAAAAGCACUAAUAGUUAGGGAACUCAACACAUUCUACUUGACUUAAUCGACUUGACUCUCUAAUUUUUAUGAGCUUUUUUCAAUGCAUAUUGCAUAUGUUUUUUUUAUAGUUGUUGAUUGUCUCACAUUUUUAUGGUUUGCAUUUACAAGCCUCUUUUUUCUUUCUUUGGUAUGAAAUAUGGUAAUAGGCCUUGCUAGAAUCGGUGGGGUAAUCUCUCUAUGGUUCUACACUUAGUUUCAAAGUUUGAUUACUCCCUUCGAAGUGACAACAAGCCUCGUUUUCCCCUAUUGUGGAUCAUAGAGGAUUCCUCCUCUUUUCAAAGCCCUCAAUCAAACUCAAUGCUAAGUUUAACUGCUCCUUCGAAGUGACAACAAGCCUCGUUUUCCCUAUUGUGGAUCAGAGAGGAUUCCUCCUCUUUUCAAAGCCCUCAAUCAAACUCAAUUAGAGUAAAAAGGAAAAAUUUUCAUCUCGGGCGCGUGUACCUCACACGCGUCUCUCUAGGAUUUCCAAGUUCUCUCACUCGCUGGUGAAGGAGGCGAACGGCUGGUGAGUGCUGCGGUCAGCAAGGGAUCAAAUUCGAAGGUAAUUCGUUCGGUUUUGGCAGAUUGAAUGUGAAAACUAAUGUCAUUUGGUAUCCAUUUCGAAAUUGAUUACAAUUGAUCAAUUGAACCAUUACGAAUGAUAUUCUUUUGAUUCGGGAGAAUUAACGUCUGUCAGAAAUUGUUUAAAUCGAUUUCCAAGCUGAAUUGAUUUGAACUAUCUUGAAAGUAUUGCGUGUGGUACGAAUCGAUUUAUUGGCUAUCAGUUCUGGUUUGAAGACCGUGAUUUAAUUCACUCGCUGGAGGGAUCUCGCAUGAAUCUCCUCGGUUGAAUUUCAAUUCUUUUUUAGUUCAUUCGUGUUCCCAGAUUGGGCCGAAAAGAUCAUCACGGGUGUUGGGUUGAUGUCCUAAGCAUGAAACGAUGAAGAAAUUAUCCAGUGACGUUGAGGAGGUGAAGAAACGCGUGAUGUCAAGCCUUCAACGCGUACAUGAUAUGGCGGCGAACCGAAGGGCGGCGACUGCAAAGGCUGACCUAAUUUCUGUGAGGAAGAAACGGUCGGACAUGAGUGGACCCGAACCGGUUUACGUGAACCGUGAAACAUAUAAAAACGAAAUACAGGAAAUGGACCGAGCGGAUGGUCCCAUGAAGAUUGUUGGCCCAAAGGCGUGUGGGCCGAUUGUUUUGAAUGAAAACUUGAUGAAGUCCUGAGCCGGUAAAGGGGCUGAAGCCGAAUGGUGUGGACACAUUUACGAAUGGAAUUGGUCAUGGAUCUCUGGUUGAUGGGCCAUCGUUGAAUGAUGGGCCGUCCAUCUCACACGAAACUGGGAUCUCACAGAAGGAGUGCUUACCUGUGGUGCUUCAAGUGUUCAGCAUGUUGGGCAAAUUGCGGCCAAGGAUAUGGACCUGGGCUGGAUGCUAUUGCAAGUGCCCCAAAGAUUGGGCCGGUUGAUGGGCAUUUGAAUGAUGGGCCAGCCAUUAGAGAACGUUUGGUACUAAUUCAAAUGGUGGGCCGCCUGUUCGAUUCGUGGGCAUGAGGUGCAUAAAUCUAAUAAUUCUGGAGGUGCAGGCAAAAAUUCAUGGGCUUCCUUUUUGGCUCAACAAGAGGUUUCUCUAUGACCUAUACACCUCUACUACCGUGGGAGAGAAAAUUGUGGUGACCCCGUUUGAAGAAGUUAUUAGUCAAGGAGUUAGAGUGUGGGAGAACUCCUCGUCAGCCAAUUAAUUGAUGCAAAAUUGCGUAUCUAGUCAUCUAUCGUCUUAUAGAGAAGAUUUGGGGUAGAAUUGAAAUGCCAACAAUUACUCUGAUGGAGAAUGGGCUCAUCUGCUUUCAAUUCAAACAUCUGAAGUCGAUAGAGUGGAUCUUAUCCCGUGGCCAUGGCACCUUGGAGGCAAACCUAUGCUCCUCCGCAAAUGGACUCCAGGUAUAGUUCCUGAAUCCUUUGUCUUUGAUUCAGUUCCUGUUUGGAUAAAGUUAGGGAGGAUUCCGUUGGAGCUAUGGACGGAUGCUGGUUUGGCUGUGGUAGCGAGUGCAAUAGGAAAACCUCUUUCAGUUGAUCUUGCUACUAAAGAGAGGCGUCAUCUUUCUUAUGCCCGUAUAUGUGUGGAAUUGAAUGUGGACAGUAUUAUGCCUGCCGAAGUAACAGUCAACCUUAGAGGAGAGGAAUUUAUUGUAACUGUCACUUAUGAGUGGAAACCGAAAAAAUGUAACUUGUGUCGAUCUUUUGGACACUCGCAGAACACCUGCCCUAAGAAAAGAGGCAAUGAAGAUAGUAAAAAGGAAGCUGCAAGUAAAGAGGUUCCUGUUAAAGAGGUUGUUCCUACUAAAGAGGUGGUUCCAGAUUGUGGGGAGUAUGGAGAUGUUGUGUUGGAAUCCUUCCAACACAUGGAAGAAGGAGAAAUUAUUACCCAUAAACUGCCUGAAAAGGUGGAGGUAAAUCGGGAGGAAUUUACCCCAGUUGACAGGAAAAAUAGGGGAAUGAUCUCUAUUCGGGACAGAGGGAAAAGGGGGAAGUGAGUAUCACUACUCCUUUAACAACCUCAUGGAGGUGGAUAAAGGAGAUAAAUGGCCUUUAUCUAUAGUGGAUGGCUCCCCUCCUCCCUUACGAGUAGAUGACUCUUCUAUGGUCCUUUUGAGUACUACAGGUGAUGUAAUUCCUAUGGGAGAGGCGCUCCCAUACGACCUCAUGGUUAGUUGGUGUACGUGGAACGUGCGGGGCCUUAAUAGCCCUGUAAAGUGUAGAGCGGUGAAGGACUUCUUAGCCGUGUCUACGGUGGGUUUCUGUUGCAUCCUGGAGACUAGAGUUCGAGAGGAGAACUUUGUCUCGAUAUCUAGAAGAUUUGUGAUUCGUGGGGGUUCAUUAGUAACUACAGCAAUAGUGGAGUAGGUCGAUGUGGAUUAUGUGGAAACGUAACAGAUUCGUGUGUGUUCACGACUAACGAGGUUGUCGACCAGUUUAUUUCUGGUGUAAUAACAGAUUUGAUCUCUGGGGAGAAGGUAGAGGUUCUGUGUGUGUAUGCCUCUAAUAGUAAUAUCAGAGACGUGUUUUAUGGAGGCGAAUGGCUGAGAUCUCUGCUGGUUGGAGAGGACCGGGUAUGGUCUUGGGUGAUUUUAACACCAUCAGACUCCACUCUGAAGCCUUCGGGGGUGCUCGAACGUGGGGGAUAUGGAGGAGUUUGACAUGGCUAUUCGAGAGGCGGACCUUGUUGAACCGCGGUCCAGGGGAACUGGUUUACUUGGACUAGUAAGAUACAUGGGUCGGGUUUGAUGAAUAGACUUGAUCGUAUCCUAGUGAAUGAUGAGGGGCUUAGUACAUGGCUAACAUGAGGGUUAACGUCCUCCCGUGGGGUAUUUCUGAUCAUUCUCCAUACUUGUCUAUCCCAGUAAUCAGCGAAGCCAACAAGUGGUCUCUUUUCGUUUCUUUAACCAUUGGGUUGAAGAAGCGUCCUUUAUGGAUGUUGUGUCCUCUGCUUGGACCAAAGAUACUAGAGUUUCUCCAAUUGUGAAUAUUGUGAGGAACUAAGAAAUCUCAAGUCGAUUCUUCGCAGACAUUUUGGUAGGCAUAUCCGGACCAUCAGUGAGGAUGUUCGUCUUGCCAAUGAUACCAUGGACCGAGCUAAAGAGAGAUGGAGACGAACUCUCUGUCGGAGGAGGCGAGUAAUCACGCGAGCUUAGCCACGGUAAACUUUUGGAAAGCGUUAGAGUGGAGGAAGCCGCUAUGCGCCAGAAGUCGCAAAUCAGAUGGUUGAAGCUAGAUGACCAGAAUACUGCCUUUUUUCAUCGAUCUGUUCGAUCAAGGCAGAGCAGCAAUGCUUUGAGAUCAGUUAUUGACCCAGAUGGAAAUCGGUUGACUAACCAUGAUCAGGUGACUCAGGUGGUAGUGAAUUAUUUCAAAGAUAGUCUGGGUUCUCAGAAUAUUAGCUACAAGAGCUCUCUACUAGUAUUGAGGAGAUUGUUCAGUUUAGAUGGACUGAGGAGUGUUGCAGGCCCUCCAGUCGCCUAUUGGCAGGGAGGAAGUGAGACGUGUUCUGUUCUCCAUGGAUGGUGGAAAGGCUCCAGGCCCUGAUGGGUAUUCAGUUGCUUCUUCAAAGGAGCUUGGACGGUGGUUGGAGAGGGUUUCUGUGAUGUCGUCUUACACUUCUUUGAGACCAAUUACUUCCCUCAAGGGGUGAAUACGACUGCUAUUACACUUAUUCCUAAAAGGAAUGGUGCUGAUCGAUUGGAGGAUUUCAGCCCUAUAUCUUAUUGCAGCGUUAUUUAUAAGUGCAUUUCAAGAAUAUUGGCAGAUAGGCUUCGUGUGUGGCUUCCUUCUUUUGUUAGUGGAAAUCAGCCAGCUUUCAUCCCUGGGAGGAGUAUUAUUGACAAUAUUCUUCUUUGUCAGGAGCUUGUAGGGGCAUACCAUUUGCACAGAGGUAAACCUCGGUGCACUAUGAAGGUUGACCUCCAAAAAGCUUAUGAUUCUGUUAAUUGGGAUUUCCUCUUUGGCCUGCUGAUUGCCAUAGGUACGCCUUUAAGAUUUGUGAGUUGGGUUCGAGCGUGUGUGACCUCUCCGAUGUUCUCCAUUAUGAUUAAUGGAUCGUUGGAAGGUUUUUUCCAUGGGAGGAAAGGACUUAGACAAGGUGACCCUUUAUCCCCGUUCUUAUUUGUGAUGGUCAUGGAGGUGCUUUCUCGCAUGUUGAACAGCCCACCUCAGAAUUUUCAAUUCCACCAGUUUUGUGAGAAGGUCAGAUUAACUCAUCUUACUUUUGUAGAUGACCUAAUGAUCUUUUGUACUGCUGAUAAUCAUUCUAUGAGUUUCAUAAAAGAGACUAUUAAGAGGUUUGGUGAGCUUUCGGGACUGUUUGCUAAUCUUGCUAAAAGCUCAAUUUUUCUUGUGGGGGUUAAUAGUUCGAAAGAUUCUCGGCUUGCUGCUAACAUGGGUUUUUCCAUUGGUCAUCUCCCUAUUCGUUAUCUUGGGCUUCCUCUCCUCUCUGGAAGAUUGCGGAGCUCUGAUUGUGAUCCCCUUAUUCAGCGUAUUACCAUUCGUAUUCGGUCUUGGUCUGCUAAAGUGUUAUCUUUUGCAGGUAGACUUCAGCUUGUUCGCUCAGUCCUUAGGAGCCUUCAGGUUUAUUGGGCUAGUGUGUUCAUGCUUCCUAUGAAAGUCCACAGAGACGUUGAUAAGAUCUUGAGGGCUUAUCUGUGGAGAGGUAAGGAGGAGGGAAGAGUGGUGCUAAAGUUGCCUGGGAUGAGGUUUGUCUUCCUUUUGAUGAAGGAGGUCUUGAUAUUCGUGAUGGAUCUUCUUGGAAUAUAGCAAGCACGUUGAAGAUAUUAUGGUUGCUACUUGUUAAAUCUAGUAGUUUGUGGGUUUCUUGGGUGGAAUCUUAUAUCCUUAAAGGGAGAUCGCUGUGGGAGAUCGAUGCUGGGAUAGGAUUCAGGGAGUGAGGCCGAGUCCGAGUGUUGAGGAUAGGUGGGUCUGGGUGCCGGGGAGUCGUGAUAGUUUUUCGAUCACUAGUGCGUGGGAGACUAUUCGUCCUCAUAGUAGUAGGGUUGGAUGGUCGGGUUUACUAUGGGGUGGGGGAAAUAUUCCUAAGCACUCCUUCUGUGCUUGGUUGGCCAUCAGGGAUAGGUUGAGUACUAGAGAUAGGUUAAGUCGGUGGGAUAGGUCGAUUCCUUUAUCGCGUUUGCUUUGUGGAGGGAACUAUGAGUCUCGUGAUCAUUUGUUUUUUUCUUGUCAUUUUGGGUGGGAGAUUUGGUCGAGGAUCCUUUUGCUUAUGUCAUCUUCUCAUAGAAUCGGUUAUUGGGGGGUUAAGUUAUCUUGGAUUUAUAAUCAGGGUAUUGGGAAGAGUGUGAGGAGAAAACUGUGGCGCCUUCUCUGGUGUGCUACAAUUUAUUUCAUUUGGCAGGAGCGAAAUCAUCGUCUUCAUGGAGGUGUUGUUCGGGAGCCUAUGGUUGUAUUCCAGCUCAUUCGGUCGUGUAUUAAAGCGUGUGCUGCUUCUUGGUCGGAUGGUGUUCAUGGUCUUAUUUAAUGUUCUUUUCGUUUGCUUGUCCUCGGGCUGUGGGGUUUCUCUUCUCUUUAUUAACUUUGUUGUCUUUCUCUCUUUUUCUUGUCCUUUUAAUGUUUGGAACACUAGUUGGUUUCUUUUGGUUUUAGUUCUUGUUCCCGAGAUGUGGGGUUGUUUUGGGUACUUAUGGGUUGUUUUGUCUAACUACUUGUUUUGUGAGUGUUGUUCGCUCUUUUGUCUUGACCUCAGGCUGUGAGGUCCACCUUGUUGUUGUAUAAUAUUAUCAUUAUUACCUUUUCAAAAAAAAAAUCAAACUCAAUGCUAAGUUUGACUGCUGCCCUUCGAAGUGACAACAAAGCCUCGUUUUCGCCCUACUGUGGAUCGAGGAGGAUUCCUCCUCUUUUCAAAGCCCUCAAUCAAACUUGACGUUAUGUUUAAAACACUAAAAAUAGAUGGUCUAGUUUUGGUUAGGCCAAAAGCGAUGUUUUCCCCCAAAAUCUCUAAUAGCUAGGGAACUCAACAUGUUCUACUUGACCUAAUUGACUUGACUCUGUAUUUUUUAUGAGCUUUUUUUAAUGCAUAUUGCAUAUGUUUUUUUUUUAUAAUUGUUGAUUGUCUCACUUUUUUAUGGUCUGCAUUUACGAGCCUCUUUUAUUUCUUUGUUAUGAACUGCGGUGACUAGGCAUUGCUAGAACCGAUGGGGUAACAUUUCUAUGGUUCUACACUUAGUUUCUAAGUGUGAUUGCUCACCUCUAAUUUUCAAAACACUUAAUUUCUAAGCACAUACAAUGUUCACCUAGAAAAAAAAUGAAAAUUGUUGUAGUUAAGAUCAAAACUAAAUAGUUAUGAAAUAAGACAUAAGAGAUUUGAUUUUAACAACCUUCUCGUUGUACUUGGGAUCCACUCUGGCUUUGUGCUGGAAAAUUGGUUUGGAGCUGAUCGUAAGCUUUCGGUUGCUCUUCUGUAACCUUUAGAUACUCUUCAAAGCUAUAAGCUUUGCUUCCUGACGAAUAAUCUUCUACUAUUACAAUACAUAAGAAAAUUCUAUUUCAUAAACCCUGUAUCAUAAUUGAGGCUGAUAGAAUGAUUAUUCUAUAACCCUACGAUAGUUUCAUUCUUAACAUUCAUAGACACGAUGCAUGGCAGCUAUCCAAUUCUAUUUCAUGUUCUCGAGAAUGGCUCGGUUUAACAAUAAUGUUAAUUUUUGUUUUCUAUUUUAAAAUAAUAACGCUGCUUACUAAUAACUAAAUGUUUUAAGCCAUUUACAAAUUAGAUUUCAAUAAAUCGAUAAUCAUAUUUUUUUACAAUAUAGGACUAAAAAAGAUAACAUUUAUAUAUAUAUAUAUAUAUAUAUAUAUAUAUAUAUAUAUAUAUUACAUACAACAGUAUUUAGUUAAAUUACAAAAAAAAAUUCUUUUUGAAUUUUGUAGUUUGUGUAAAAAAAUAACCUUAAACUUUGAAAUGUUAAAAAAAAUUGUUUUGAACUUUUAAAAAUUAUUCAUAAAUACAUCUACAUACGUAGGAUGAAGGUAUUGGCAUGCUUCUCUAAAAAAACUUUCCAAAAAGAUGUUGUGUGACUUUUGAAAAGAAAAAUUACAAAUGGGGUCGUUUUUAAACAAAUUAGAUAUAUCGAGUUAUAUUUAUUUAAUUUUUUUCCUUUUUUCACAUAUUAUCAAUCACAUCUUACUUUUUUCUUUUUUCUUUGGAACCCUGCAAAAAUAACAAAAACAUUUAUAAUCACAUGACUCAUGUCACUACAUUUUCUAAAUUUUAAAAGUAGUAAAUUUAAAAGUUGAUAACCCUAUGAUUAUCGUUUGAUAGUCAUCUAAUAUCACUAAUUUUGUCAUAUUCGUAAUAUCCAAAUAAGGUUUCUUGGUGAGUCUAGAGUCAAACGUGAGGACUUAUACUAAAAAUAUAUUUAUAUUUUGAAAUUAUCUUAAGGUGAUUAAUAACAUACGCCUAAGAACAAUAGCGGUAUCAUCCACUUGUAAGGGGGGAGGGGAGUCAUCCACUAUAGAUAAGGUCCACUUGUCUCCCUCACCCAACUUCAUAAGGCUGCCAAAAGAGUUAGGCAUAAUCACAUCCACACGUUUACCCUUCUCUCGAACAUAAACCAACUCUCUUUUCUUCCUAAUAACGAGUAAUUUCAUCUCGAUUACCUACCUCCUUUUCCUUAAUAUGCCUAAUGGGGGAGCUAUUAGUCUUACUUUCCUCCAACUAUUUAAAGUCUAACACCACAUCCACAAGACACAAUUGUCCAUUCCUCCUCUUUGUUUGAAAACCACCUUGCUCACAUCCUUCUCUCGAUGAACUUUGUUUUCCACAAUCUUAGGACACUUACCACUAGAAUGCCCAAAAGACCGGCACAAAUUACACCUUCGAGGCUUCCACUCAUAAUUCACAGUCAUAACGAAAUCCUCUCCCCUAAGGUGGAAUUGUAAAUUCAGCAAGCAUAGGAGAGUCCACAUUUGAUUCAACACAUACUCAAGCAUGUGACAACCUUCGUCUUUCCUUAGUAGCUAGAUCUAAAGAUAGAGGUUUUCCUAUAGCACUAGCCACAACAGUCAAUCUGACAUCUAUCCAUAACUCCAUUGGAAUCCUACCUAGUUUAAUCCAUAUAGGAACAUAAUAAAAAACAAAAGGAUUUAGGGACAAUACCUGGAGUCCAUUUACAGAGGAGCAUACUUUUGCCAGCAAGAUGUCGCGAUCAACGAGGUAGGAUCCAUUCAACAAGUUUUGGGCAUCUGAAUUGGAAACAUAUGAGUCCGUUCUCAAGAAUUGUAAUCGUUGGCAUUUUAAUUUUAUCAACAAUAACAACGAGCUAAACAAAAUCCUCUAUCCAGGACGCACUAAUGAAAACUAAAAUGUAAAAUAAGUACGAAGUAAUUAAUUAAAACAGAAGACAAAAGAAACCCAAAGUAAGUUGACAAAAUGCCCACAAUAAGCUUCAAGAUGAGUGAGAGGGAACACCAAGAGAAACAUGAAUAGCCUUGCUAACUUUUCACUACUAGCUAACUACAUAUAUUUUUACAAUACGUGUUAGGGAAAUCUUUCCCUUUGCAAAACAGACCAAUAUAUAAUCAAUCAUUGGCUCCUUAUGGGAAAAUACAGAAGCCCUAUACAUGUCUGUUUCAAGCUUGUGUUGAACAACUUUUAAUUCCCUAAGAUAAGGAGAUUUAUCUGAAGGUUCGAGAAUAAUGGCAUGUCCUAAACUAACCCACCAUUUCGCAACAGUGAACCAGUUUGAUCGUUAGGGGACAACUUUUGAUAAUAAGCGCACAACCAUGCCCCAAUUCCAAUGUUGCCCAAAAGUAAAGGCCUUUCUUCACAAUGCUCCAUAAAAAAAAAGUUUGACUUUCACAUAAAGAUCUUAUUUCUUUUUUAUUGCUCCAAGAGAUCUAAUAGAUCUAUUUUCACCACGCAAAUCCCUUUUGUUAUCAUGGAAAAUGUGUUGGUUGUGCUCAAACCAAAUCUCUGCUUGCAACACUUUUAUCAAAUUAACCCAUGUUUUUUUUUAAAAAAAAAAAGAGGAUAUGAGUCUCACUAUUAUUAAUAUUGAAAAAUGAAGAGACAAAGCUCAAUGUCAUGAGGAUUAUACAAAGAGCAAUAGGAUGGAGGAUCAAUAGACGCACCUGGACAUCUCAACUAGGUUGACACCCCCUUAGCACCCUCAUCACAUCCAAAAAGCGACAACACAAGAUCAAAACCAAAAGCCACAAAUAGAAGGCUUUUUUUGUGUUUGUUUUGCCUUUGGACAUUACUCCUUUGUUAUGGGUUUUAGCUUGGUUGGAUAUGAUGAGGGUGCUAUGGGGGUGUCAACCUAGUUGAGAUGCCAAGGUGCACCCCCUGAUCCAUGGUUACAUGUUCAUUGUAUAACUCUCUUGUACUAUGAGCUUUUGUCUAAUUAUUAUUAUUAUUUUAAUAUUAAUAAAGAGGUUGUCUCCUUUUCAAAAAAAAAAAAAAAACAAAAACAAAAACAAAACAAAACAAAAGCCACAAAUAUAAAACCAAGCAAAACGAUAAAAUAAUAUGUCCAAAACAAAAUCAUAAAUCAUAGGUAGCAGGUCGAGAACAAAGAAGAAUAAGCCUUGAUUGAGCAAAAAAUCCCAACAAAUAUUGAAUGUUUGGAGAAGACGGAACCAACAUUUCGAUACAAAGACAUAGUCAAUUCAAAGGUGCUAAAUAUUUUUCAUGUUAUCAACACAAAUGGGGCAGACAUGAGGUGAGAGGACAUGGGAGGGAAGUUUUCUUUGAAGUACUAAAGCACAGUUUAAUUUUCCAAACAACGUAAUCCAUAUGGGGAUAUUUAUCCAAAGAGUGAGCUAAAUAGCCCAAUGAGUGAUUGUUUUAUAAAACAUCGUUUUGAAAUAAUAAGUAUUUAACAAUUAACUCUUAACAUAAAUGAAAUCAAACUCAAACAACUUAUCUCAAACUUUCCCUUUCAGUUGCUAUACCUAGAAUCGUCGAGACGAAAAACAAUAAACUAGGCAUAGAAGCCCUAUCCCGUGAUACGAUACUUACGAGAUGAAACUCUAGGCAUCAAUUGUGCCCUAUCUCGUUAUAACUACAAUGAGAUGGAAAACUAGGCAUUCGUACAGGCUCUCAUCCCUUGAGAUGGGAAACUAAGCAUCUUUAGAAGUCUUCAUCUCUUAUCUAAUACCAAUGAUGGAAAGCUAGGUAUUUACUGAAUAUCCAAAUCAAAUGACCUCUAUGCACAAGAAAAUAUUUCCCGAAGGGUUGCUAUAUAUCUUAGAAUAUUUUAGGUAUAGACUAAAACAUGCUAAUAUUAUUUUCAAGCUUAAACAUUUUGAAAACUUAGCACAAUCAUGAUUGCUUAUAAUUUUCAUUAGUAAAUUCAUCAAUAAAAACAUGUUUACCAAAAUGUUUCUAAAUUCAUGCUUUGGAAAUACUUUAUAAGUCAGUAUUCUCAAAUAUUCAAACAUCAAAGCAUGCUUGAAACAUUUGAUAGUAAAUUCAUGUUUAGAAAUCAACUUUAAACUCAUUUUUGUCAUUUAUAGAGAGUAGCUUGGACCCUUGGCUUAUAAACUUGUUCGAUCUCCUUCAGAUCUAAAAUAAUGAAAAAUAAUGGGAAAUAAUUCCAUUUAAUUCCCGUUGAUCAUAAAAAUAUCAAAACUUUGCUUAAAAUUUCCAAAAACCACAAAAACAGCCCAAAGACAUUAGCUUGCGUACAAAAUAUUGUGGCAGAAGUUGGCAGGUGCGCGUAGGGCUUGCCUUGCCAUGUCUCGUUCUAACCUCAUGUGCAGCGUGUCACAAUCACAACUUUUCAAACACGGAACAGACUAUUGUGCGACACUUGUUGUAACUCGAUGAACACGUCAGUUGUAUGAAAUUCGAUACGAUGUAGCCUCCCUAUAGAUUUUAAGAGAAAUUGGUUUUAUUAAACAUGAGAGAGAAAGGAAAGCAUUGGAAAUAUCGUUAAAAAAAACUUUGAAGACUGUCCAUUGCAAAGAGAGCUUAAAUUGCAAAGAGUAUCUCUGUGAUGAGAUUGGUUUGUGGAACCAAUUGGGAUGGGAAAAAUUUUAGAGAUAUUUGAGAGAAACUCUUUUCUUUUUGCCAAGAGAAAUAGCGUUAGCCUUAUUUUUUUCUUUUUUUAUUAAUUCAUUUUUUUAAGAAAAUUGUUUUCUUCUAGAUAUUAUAACUCUCUUUCCUUCUAGGAAUAGAAAAUGAAGUAGAAGAGAAUCAUGAGAUUCUAUUAAUUUAUAAAUAAUUAAAUUAAUAUAUAUAUUUCAAAUCUACUGAUUAAUUAAACAUUAAUCAAUUAGUUAAUAAUUAAUGAAAUCGAAUUUAAUUAAAUAAUAUUAAACUAAACUAUUAAUUAAUUCUCCAAUUAACUAAUAACACUAAAUUAUUUAUCUUAUAUUUAACUUAAAUUAAAUUUGAAUCAUAUUCAAAUAUAAGUUUCUCUCAAUAAUUUUAAUAUGAAUCCAAUUCACAUUAAAUUAAUAUUUGAACUCAUUCAAAAUAUUUUAUCUCUCAUAAAUUAAUUUUGAAUCAUCCCCAAAGUUAAAUUUAUAUAGUAAAGUUUGAUAAACUUUAUAUUAUAAUGUAUCACUAUACAUUAUACUAAUUCCCAAGUUAAAUUUAAACAUUUUAAAUUACAACCAAUACAAAUAAAUCUCAUUACCCUUUACGAGCUAGGAAAGGGACCUAAUGGACCUACAGAUCAGAAGCUACAACGAUCUAAGAUUAAUUGGCUAAACUCAUUAAUCAAUAUUUGUUAGCUUUGUGUACACUCCACUAAAGACUCACAACUGAACUCUUCUCACUAAAAAUAUAUUUAUGUGUCCAUGGAUAUAGACCAAUAAUAGUAAGUUAGUCCUUCACGAGUGUUUGUAACACCAGUUGGACCAAUUUACCGCUUUACCCCUAUGUUACCUCUAAUCCUUAAAAAACCAGUGCUCCUCUAAUGAACAACUUGUUUAUGGUCCUACUAAUAAACAAAAACCCAUCUCAUGUCAUAGAGAGGGUACGAGCCCUUUGUUCAAGUUUUGGAGACACCAUUUAAGCUAACAUUCAUCUACUUACCCUAAAGUAGGAAAUGAGUGAAUUCCAUUUUGUGCAAUUAUAAUCCCAACUCCCCACUCAGUCUUGUCCCCAAAAUCACUACUACAAAAACAGGCUCUCUUGACGGUUGUAGUUUUCCUUUCUUGACGUUUUUUCCCAAAAACGUCAAGAAAGAUGUGAUUUCAAAUAAAAAAACGUCAAGAAUUUUUAUGAAAGGCCAAUUUUCAACUUUCUUGACGUUUAUUAAACGUCAAGUAAGAUGUACUUUUUCUUGACGUUUUUUAAACAUCAAGAAAUAUCUAAUAAUUUUUUGACGUUUUAAAAACGUCAAGAAAUUUAUAAAAAAAUUCUUGACGUUUUUAAAACGUCAAGAUAAUUCUAAAAAAUCAUUGAUGUUUUUAAAAACUUCAAGAAAUUUUAAUUUGUUUUUGAUGUUUUAAAAACGUCAAGAAAUUUCCAAAAAAAUUAUUGUGUUAAUUUUCUUUUACAAAACGCAACGUUUCAAUUAGAUCACUUCCCCUUUUCUUAAUUAAACCUAAUUCGCCGCGACUUUGUCCCUUCUCCACCCGAAAUCAAAAGCGUCGUUCACCUAACCUUCCCUUCGCGUUCAUCUGUGCAUUCAUCUGCGUUCAUCGCCGAAAAAGACUUCCCUUCGCGUUCAUCAGCGUUCACCUUCAUUCAUUUGCCUUCAUCGUCCGUCACUUCGUCUGCUUUGCGUUCCCUUCACCUUCGUUGAUUUGCGUCCGUCUGUUCACCGUUUGAAAUGUGUAAACACAUUCUCUAUUCGAAAACGAGUAAACACGUUCACCGUCCUUCUGUCGCAUUCCACUUUCGCUAAACCUCUAUUCGUUUCCAAAUCCUUCAUGGUUACUCAUUCAUUUUCUUCCCUUUCUAAAGGUAAUAAUUUUCCUUUUUUCGUUUGUGAUUAAAAUUUGUAAUUUGGAAUUUAAAAUUGGAAUGCAAAAUUAAAGAAGAGGAAAUAUGCCUUAGAGAAUGGAAGAAAGGUUUUGCAUUUUAGGCUUGAAAAGGGGGGAUACAAGUUAUUAUAAUUGAAUAUAUAAUAUUUUGAACAAGGCUACCAAGCCGUGCGAAUAUGAUUCAUGGUUAGUUUAGGGAUUGGAAAGAGAAGGAUUGUGGAGUUUGUGAUAAUAUUUUUGGUACACUGGAGCUGGAAACAGAGAAUAUUAAAAAACACAUACUGUUAUACACAAUAUUAUAAUAAUACGAAUCACUAGAUUUUCUUCUUCGUUUUCUUUUCUUCUCUCUUCAAUUUUUGUUAUGGUAUUGUAUUGAGUUUUGUGUUUUAGAUUGUGAAUAUGGGUAGCUAAACUCUUAAUCCUGGGAUAGAUGUAGACAAAGUUUAUGAAUUAUUCUUUGUAAUGCAUCUGAUUAUCUGCUCUGAAUCUUUUCAUGUUUUUAUGUGAUUAAUUGUUGAUUGGCCAUGAACCUUAAUCUUUGCAUGACUAGAGUGGUUAUGAACUUGGAAAGAGCUAAUUAAGGAUCCUUGAGGAGGUUGUUGAAAGAAGUGGACCUAAAAACUUUUGUUUGUUAAUAAAAAGAAAAAUGAACAGAGAUUCAUCUUCGUGAGGGGUCUUGAUGUUUAAUUUAAUUUAAAUUGUGUAUGAAUUUUUAAUUACGAGCAUUUUAAUAUGUUGCGUUUUAAUCCUAGGGAUAGAUGUAGACAAAGAGCACUAUAGCCAAGGUAUAGAGUGAGGGAGAUAAGGUUUAUAUGUCUUAGAGAAUGGAAAGAUGGAAUUUGUGCUAAAAUCAUUAGUGUUCCAAAUACAAUUAUGAAUUGGGUAUAGUUGCAUUCCCCCUUCUGGAUUGCAUAGCACAUAAAUAUACUCUCAUGGAUUGCAUAGCACAUAAAUAUACUAUCAAAAACAAUAACAUAAAACACAAACUUGAUUUAGUUUCAUUCACACUUGUACACCAACAUGUUUCAAUUAAUGAUCAUAUAUUAAAAAUCAUUUUCAAAUUUGGUAAUAUAAAAUGGAAGAAGUGAGACCUUGAGGUUUUAACCACCAAUACUAUCUAACUGAUGAGUUUAUGAUUUUUGUUUCUAUUGUGUUUUUUCCUUAAGCUUUAACUUGCUUUAGGGGCAAGAUGGUGAAGGUCUAGUCCACAACCUUUCCCAAGAAUUUAAUGAUGUUUGGGUUGACCCAAUUAUUGUUAUUGGACACCGUUUUAUGGUAAUUGGUUGUUAUGGUUUUUAAGUGUGUUUUGAUAUCUUGUGUUAAAAAGUAAUUGCAAAAAGUCAGAAAAGUUUGUUAAAGAUUAAGUGUUUUUAAGUUUGUCAUUCCACUUUAAUUCUCACCAGUACUUGCUGAAUGGAAGCCUCUUGUCUAAGACAAUUCGAGUGGAAUAACUCUCGUGACUACCACAACAUUUGGGAACUCACCAAAUGUAAGACUAUUCCUUUAUCCUAGCAUUUGAUCUCUCUCUAUAAUUUGGUUUGCUAUCGUAAGUUUGAUUAAAAUAAAUGCUGAUAAUUCAACUCCAAUGUUCUUAUUUUCUUAACUCUCAUUCAGUCAGUUAGAAUCAGAACUCAUUUAUUUAUCUUGUCUCCAUAAUUUGGAUUCAAAGAUUCAUCACAAUAAUCUUCUCAACAACAUUCUUGAAAAGGUAUUGAAUUUUCAACUGUGUGACCUUUAUACACAAAUUUCUUCAAAGAAAUUUACAUUCUUUAGAGUUUAGAGCUUUGAAUUCUAGUACAACUUAUGAAGCUUUUGAUACUUGUUAGACUUUUUUGCUUGGUGCGGAUAAAACCUUAUUUACAUUCUUUCUUUCCUGCAUGUUCUCUUUUGAUAUUUGUUAGACUUUUUUGCUUGGUUGUCCUUAGUGUUUUCCUCUUUAGCUGAAAUUUCUCUAUCUUGAAAAAAAUAGAGCUUUAAAAUUCAACUUCAACUUUAUUUGAUACUAUCUUAGUCCAUACUUAUUUUGGUAUUUCUUUCCUUUCUCACAAACACAUCUAAGAGGUUGCCUUCACAAUAUGGCCAAAUUAACAAUAUGGCAACCUUUUUCAUUGCAAAACAUAUUAGAGGUUGGUUACUUAGUUAGCCUUAUUGGGUAAAUAAUUGACAUUUAGGUACUUUUUAGUUUGUAUAUUUAUAGAUGCCAAAUCGAUAUGUGAAUUUUAAUUGUUGCUUAUUUGAAACAUUGCAACCAUUUGAUAAAAUGUUGCUAUGUGAAUCCAUCUUAACUUGAUAUAUUAUUUUAUUUUGGUUUAGGUUGUGGAAUCCAAGUUUGUAUUUGAAGUCAAAUUCAUCCAAGAUCAUUGAGUUUCAAAGCUUCUUUAAUUAAGAUUUUGUUUCUUGAACUAGAAUUGUAGUCUUGUGAUUUUUGGAAUAGCAUAGUUGGAUUGGUUUUGUAAUUUUGGGAUUAUCAUAUUAGGUUGGGGUUGACUGAAGUAGUGUUUUGUAUAUGACAAUAUCGAACAAACAUGUAAAGUUUUCGAAAUGUUCAUACAUAUAUGAUUAAAUGUUAAUAUAUGUUAAAGUUUUGGAAUUGUAUUCGUGCAUAUUUAUGAGAUUGUUGGGCCACACUACAAGAAUUAUAGAGACAAUACAGGAACAAAAAUAUAAAUAAAUUAUAAUUUAGAAAAAAAAUGAAACAAGCUUCAUGUUUUUUAAAUGUCAUAAACAAAUACAUUCUUGACGGUUUUUCAAUGUCAUUAACAAGUAAAUUCUUGACGUUUUUUAAACGUCAUAAACAAUUGUGUUCUUGACCGUUUUUAAAUGUCAUAAAUUACAUUCUUGAUAGUUUUUAAAUGUCAUGAAUACUCAUUCACUUGACGAUUUUUAACUGUCAUGAAUAUUUGUAUACUUGACGUUUAUAAACUGUUAAGAAUCGCUAUUCUUGACGUUUUAUUAACCGUCAAGAACUUUGACUUUCUUGACGCUGGCUUCAACGACGGUUUUAAAACCGUCAAGAAUAGUGAUUCUUGACAGUUUAAAAACGUCAAGAGAGUCUAUUUUUGUAGUAGUGAAUGAUAAGCUUAUUGAGUCGGCGAUCUAGCCACUCUCACUCGUACAAAUCAAAGGACAAUCUCUCGCGAACAAGAGUUCAUAAUACACUCAAGAUUAAGACUAAGUUAUCUAGGUCAUCCUAGUGAAAUAGAAACCUAACUAGUUAAUGUAGUAACACCAAGUGGUUACUAUUUCACGGUCUGGUCUAUUGCAAUCUCAUUGCAUAGGAUACCUUCACUCGCAUGUCAACUACAUGAACACAUUGGAUCAUUGUAUUUGUAUCAAAUACAAGGUGAGUCGUAUUCAUAAUGUUACCAGGAUAAAGGUACCCAGUCUUAUCCCUAUACUAUAGACCCUUUAAGCUGAUCUCGAACAUUGAUCCUUGUAUGUCUCUACAUAAUAUUCAAUACUUAUUAAACAGUUUAGGAUGUUAGUUUAUUGGAUUUGAGUUAUUAAGACAAAACUAAUAAUAUAAUCAAUAACAAUUAUUACAAUAAUAACACUUUAUUAACAAUGGUCAAUGGAUUAUAUUUACAAUCUACGAGUUUUAGGACAUAAAUUCCAACAAACUCCCACUUGGACUAAAACUCUAGUCUCUUUGGGAUGUUCAUAAUAAAGUAAUCCUCUAACAUUGAAAAUGGUAAAAUGUACAAGUGUAUUACAUAGAAUGUGUAUAUACAAAUACAAUAAACUAGGGCAUCCUCAUACCCAUUACACAUCUGCCACUUUUCCUAGAUUACCUAAUGUACAUAACUCGCAGAUCUAGACUUUCUAGAAGACCCUUGAACACUUUAGCCAUGAGAGUCUUUGUAAAUGGAUUAGUAAUAUGCCCCACUAUUAUCACAAUAUAGAGUGAUGGGGUAUGUUCAUGUUUGGAACAACUUCCAAAUUAUGCAAGAACUUCCUCAGCAAAACUGCUUCUUUUGCUGCUUCACAAGUAUCAAUAUACUCAACUUUCAUAAUAGAGUGUGUAAUGACGCGUGGCUCAGGCUGCUUGAUCAUGCUAGGACAUGCUUUCUGCAUGUCCGAAGCCUAAAUAACCUCUUUCGCUCAAAACACACGCUCAUCUCACCUUGUCAUCCUGGCAAUCAACCCACCCUUGGCCUUGCCUAGAAAUAUGAUUUUUCUACCAGAAACUUAACUCGACUUUGAAGCUUAAAUCAAUAAGAUUCCUUCUACAAACUUACUUAGAAUGUCUUCACUAGCUUACCACAAAGUGUCACUAACAAAUUCCAAGUAUUGAGUUAUGUAGCUCCAAAAUACUCUAACAUUGUUUAGGUUUUUUUUUUUUUUUUUUUUUUUCUGAAAAUGACCUUUGAGUCUUUCUUCACUUCAAUGCCUUUCUUCCUGGUAGCCUUUCUCCUGAUACUACACUCAAUUUAGGAGAUUUUCGAAGUAGAGUUACCCAAUUAACACAAGUUGAUUGUUAACAUAAUUCGUCCAAAGUUGUACAUAUAGUGAUCCUUGCAUGCUCUUUGGUUGACACUUUUAUUAUCACCUCUUACGCCUAUACUUGCCACUUUCCACCUCAUGCAAGACACUUAUUUGGCAAAACUUAGGUAUCUUGUAUGUUGUCCACUUGUACUCUACCGCACAUCUUACCUCAUAUUGCUUAAGUCAUCCUUGGACGCAUAUCCCUUUUUCUAUAAGGGUUCUUUAGUAAAUUCUUACUGCCAAGAAUGCCUAAGACUUUUUUUUCUCGCCUAAUCUCCCAAACAUCCCUCAAUGCCUUCAACAAACCAUGCCAUCUUGACUAGCAUUUGGUUGAAUUGCCCCAUUGGCCGCAUGGCCUAUGUCCACAUAGCCCACCUCUUUGUUGCAUGACAUUCCUUAUCCACGUUCUAACUUCUUUAGAGUUUCUUGACAUUUCCUAGAUGCUUAGCUUCCUUGCCUAGCGCAUACCCUUGGUCAUAUAGCCUUGUCUUAUAGAGGUUGUCUUGACACCUUUCGGCCAUACCACAUCUCAACCUUUGGCCACCCAACAUGUCUCUUUAGAGGUUCGCUUGACACUUUUGGCCGCCUAGAGUAUGCAACAUGCCCUAGCUAACACUUAGCCAAUUUUCGAACACCCUUUAGGCCUUUCUUUGUUACGAUGACACUUUUCUUUUGUCAUCUUAAAAAUAUUAACACAUCUUCCAUAACACUUCAACUAAACUAUCCAAUCUUAAACCAUCUUUCUCCUAACAUCAACCCCUAAUGUCCUAUUGAGUUAUUUAGAUGAAUUAAGGAUUAUUGGGUAUCGGGGUUUACACGCGAGAUGUAAGUCUUCCUCCUUGGAAUUACGUAUAGUAGUGUGCGGAGGGAGAGGAAUGUGAUGCAGUUCUUCCUCCUCAACCCUAAGGAAUUCGUCUUCGCUAACAAUGCCCUUUUUAUCGGGUAAGGGCUUGUUCGGUCAGGUCGUGAGGUGAAGGAUGUUGUUAUAAUGAUGAGGUAUUUGGUGGUGAGAGGAUAAUAUUAAAGGUUUUGAGGUGUCUUCUUCUUCUCUGCCAUUCCAUUCUUCUCCCUUAGCUUUAUUAAAGGUUUUGAGGUGUCUCUGUUCUUCUUUAUUUUGAUGGAGUGUUAUGGUUUGGUUGAGAUUCGCCUGAGAACAUGCAUAAGGGGUGAUUGGAGAAAAGCUAAAAGCUUAGGAACCGUCGGAGGAAGGGCAGAUCAUUAAUUGUAUGUUACGCCUUCCUCUGACGUGGUGGCAGCAACGUUGAGAAUAGAUUUAGGGAUUCCCGACGUAUCAUUAAUCGCGUGGGAAUAUGUUUAGGGAUUUCUGACGUUUAACAAAUCAGGUCAAGAAUAGGGUGCUAUUCCCGACGUUUUCGUUGUGCGUCAGGAGUUCUCUGUCUUUUUUAACUCCAUUCUUUACAUAAAAAAAACAUAAAGAGAAAGAAAAAAGAGAGGGAGAGGGAGACCGAGAGGAAGAUUGAGAAGAAGAGGGCAUUGUCAUCUCCAUUGCCGUCCCUGUUGUCGUCCUGUCGUCGUCGCCAUCGGUAAGUGGUUUAGUUUAGAUAUUGUUUUGUUUUAGUUAAUUAGUUUUAGUAUUUAGAUUUCAAAUUUGUUUUAGGUGUUAGAUUUUAGAUUUCAAAUUAGUUUUAGUAUUUAGAUUUUGAAUUAGUUGUAAGUUUUAGUAUUGAAAUUUAAUUUCAAGUGUUGUUAGAAUUUUAAAUUAGUUGUAGGUUUUAGAAAUUUGAAUUUGAAGUGUUGAAGUUGAGAUUGAAGUGUUAAAGUUGAGGUUGAAGUGUUGAAGUUGAGUUUGAAUUUAAAAUUUUCAAUUUGAAUUUAGGAAUUAAUUGAAGUUAUUUUUUUUAAAAAAAAUAGAGGAUCUCCCGACGCAUGGUUCCUAGACAUCUCUCGAUGCUAUAUUGACAACAUCUUCGACGUUCAUACAACGUCGGAAGAUGUCUAGAAACUCUCGACGCACAACAUUGUGCAUCGGGAGAGGAACUCCCGAUACAUUUUUCCUGACUUGUGUUCCGACGUAUAUUAGUGCGUCAGAAAAGCCUUUUCUGACGCUUUUUAUAUAUCUCCCAAUGAUUUUAUGCAUCGAGAGAGCCCUCAUUUCUUGUAGUGUUAGACAAAGAGCUUCAAUGUGGUAGAGGGGAAAGGCAUGACACCUUUAGGUUUCAUCAAAGGGAGGAUUGAGGUUCUGAUUACGGCGCUAAGGUUAACUGCGCCAUCUUCUUCUUAAUGCAAUAAAUCAUCAUUGUGCACUCUAGUGGGAUGGUGUUGUUGUCAACCAGGCAGGCGGUUUCGUUUUCAAGUCUUAGUUCUUAAUUCUUAACAACCUUUGAGUAUUGAUGCUCUACCCCAACCCUCAUCCAAAACGAUAACUAACACAAUGGUUUGGAAGUUUUUGUGAAACAUCAUCUAUACUUUUUCUUUAAUGGUCGAUGAAAAAAAAGUCAGGAAAAUGGUAUUUCUGACCAUUUUAAGUGUUACCAAAAUAUCACAUUUGGUGUAGUAUGGUAUUGUUUUGAAUAUUUUUGUAAAAUAGUGGAUCAAGAAGUUUUACUAAGAUAAAGUUUCAUGUUGGACAAGAGGAUAGUGGAUGGGAAUUAAGUUGAAUGGUCCACUUUUUUUUUAAAUCCUUUAAGGUUUUAUGAAAACCUUUCACAAUACCUUUUCAUAAUCAUUUUGUAAAAAUAAUAUCAAAUCAUUUAAAUAUACCAAAAAAUUAUUUCAUUUCAAAUAAACCUUUCUAUGCUUAAAAAAUCAUUUCAUUUUGUCAAGGAUCCCGAAUCGUUCUCUACGCUUGGUCUCAUUACCUCGCGUUUAGACUACUGUAUCAACAGCAUCUGAGAACAUACAAAUUCGUCUUUGUUGCUCAUACCGCUAAGCUUUAUACGCUCAUUUCAAUGCAUAAGUCAGCUUCUUAUUACCAUGUAGUUCGUACACUCCAUAGUGGCCUUCACUCUUUAUGUGCACACAAAAGUUAGCAUCAUCUCAAAGAAACAUAAUAUUGAAAUCAUAGUCAUCAAAUCAAGCUUUAACAUUAUAAAUAAUGCUUGAAAACAUAACUUUUCAUAGAAAUCUUUCUGAAACAUUCUCAUCUGAAUUCUUCUUUCGAAUCAGUAAAGAGAAAUCGUAAUAAAGUUUCUUAACAUAAAUUCUUUUGACUGAAAAGCACUCACCAAACUUUACUAAAGAAGUCCUUCUCACAACCAUCUUUUCGUGUGGCUAAACCAACAACACUUUAGCAUUUCAACAAAACUCUCAUCAUCCCCUCCUUAGUUACCUAAAUUCUCCUAUUUUAUAGAUCCCUUAUACUAACUUAGUCAUGCAAAUCCUUAAUAUUUAACCUAGUCAUGCUCAAAUCCUUAAUCUUACAUGUUAACCCAUGUCAAAUCAGAUUUGACAUUUUCUUUACAAACCUUGCUCCCCACCUAACCCAAACCGUGAAUAAAUUCAACCACUUAACAUUUCUCGUGAAUAACCUUAUCGCUUGAUUAUAUUUUUAUUAUAAGAAACGUUCCACAUGAACUAACCAACUUUUACUCGCAUAAAACUCUUAUCACGAACUUAAACUCCAAGGCUUCCUCGUAGACUUCUUCUCCACGAAAUGCUUGAUUCUUCUCGCGAAGACCACCCAAAACUCCUAGUCUAACACUCAAAACUUUCAUUUCUUAACUUACGCAAAGACUUUUUCGCUUCUUAUCGCACAACUUCUUUCGCGAACUACACACUUAUCGCAAAAAAGUAUACUUAACCGUAAAAGAUCUUAUCACUUAAUCUUUCCAUGGAUUUAUUUGAACACCAACUUCUUAAUUCUUAGCCGAAUUUUACUUCCUUACUCGAAUUAGAAAUGGGUCGCACAACUUCCUUCGCAAACUACCCACUGAAUCGCAAUAACGUAUACUUAACCAUAAAUUUUUUUAUCGCUUAAUCCUUUUCGUGGAUUUAUUCAAACGCCAAAUUCUUAAUACCUAGCCAAAUUUACUUCAUUACUCAAAUUAGAAAUGGGUCUCACAUUUAGAGCCUAUCGCUUCUUUAAGAUACAUGAUCUUACUGAUUCAGAGAAAUUAACCACAGGCGUUAUUAGUUUUGAUGAUCUGGCAUUGGAUUGGUACCAAGCACAAGAAGAGUUGGAAGUUUUUAAGAAUUGGGCUGACCUGAAAGAACGAAUGCUUGUACAGUUUCGAUCAAUUCGAGAAGGAACUUUGGUUGGAAGAUUUUUCUCAAUCAAACAGAAAAUGAAUGUAGAAGACUACCGCAACCGAUUUGAUCGAUAUUUAGCUCUAGUAGCAUUUCUUCAAACGGUAGUGUUAGAGGAGACUUUGAUGAUUGGGCUUAGCCCAUGAAUAAAAAUGGAAGUGGAAAUGUGGAACCGAUUGGGUUGGCCCAGAUGAUGAAAUUUGCGUUGAAGAUUGAGAAUAAGGAACUAGUGAGAAAAGAGUGUGGGUUGAGCAGUGCAUUUCAUGUAAAACUGCAACUCACCCUAUCUAUUGUGGAAAACAACAAUACAAUGAUGACUAAGGAAGAAACCAGCAAUGGAAAGUCUACUGAUGAGAGCUAUCACCCUGAAGGGAGUUACUGAUAGAACUAAGACAUGCACAACAGAAAAAGAAUCGAAAUUCUACCCUAAUUGGGCUUAAUUAACGAGACUAAACCAAAAAAUAAGGUUUUUAGAAUACUUACAUUUGAAGCUGCGUUUUAUUCGAACAACCACUAAGUUUGACUUAGUAUCCUCUAGACUCAUAAUCGAGUUGUGGGACCCGUUGGAUGAAAGAACCGGACGAGAGAAAUAGAUGAAAAAAAUGGGCGUGGUAAAUUUUCUUUUUUUUUUUUAAGUAAAUAAGAAAAAGAAAUUCCAUUUGGUGUGAAAGCCCAAAUUUAAUAGGAAAAUGAAAGGGAAUUCCUUGGAAAGUUGGUUUGUGUGUCAUUAAAAGUCAAGGUGGAAAACAAAGUACAACAUAUGGCUAAAUGUGAGAGUAGGCGUGCAAGUAUAAUAAAUACCUACCAAGAUGUUUAUUAAUAACAUGUGUUUGAUACAUAAUUACAACACUUUGACCAAACAACCAAUGCUUAACUAUUUUCAAAACGUCUGGUCAUCUCGCUGCAAAUCCUUCAACCUUCUUCUCUACUUGGCCUAAACACCUCAUCUUGGAAGAUGAAUUUUUGAAAGAAUGUCUAAAAGACUAAGGUUUUAUGAAAUCCUUUUCGCAAUACCUUUUCAUAAACAUCAUUUCGCAUAAACAACAUCAAAUAAUUUUAUCUCGCAUAAACCUUUCUUUAUCCUUAACAUACUCAUAACAUAACAAUUUCACAUAAACACACAUUAGUUAACAUUCAUUCCUUUCACCAAGGAUUUUGAAUCGUUCUCUACACUUUGAUGUAGAACAUCUCCCUUCUUGAUGUUUCUUGAGUUUUAUCCUAGAGGAGUGGUUUGAAUUACCAUUUUUAUAGUUUAGGAUUAGUUAUUUGAAUUACCAAUUUUGUAUCUUGAGUUAGUUAUAACUAACUCAACUCCAAGUUAAACUAACUCAACCCCAAGUUAGUUUAACAACUCUCGUAAUCUCCAGCCUAUAAAAAAGCUUCUCAUUUUCAUUAAUAAGACAUAAAAAAAAAGAGGCAUUAUACAUAAAGAUUUCUAGCUUUGCAAUUACUGCAUCAAUUGGUAUCAGAGUGUGAUCCUAGCUCACUCUUCCCUAAAAAAACUUGGAUCCUACCACUCUUAUCCAUGGACGCAGAAGCCUCCUUCAACCAAGGCUUGCAGUUGGUAGAACAAGCUAUUGAAGAACUUCGAAAAGGGCAGUCGAUAUACAGCAAUCGUUAGUAGAAUUAACAAACCUUUUUACCCGAUUUCAUGUCCAACCUUUAGAAGAAGCAAUUCAUCCCCCAAGAAACCCAAUUGCAGCAAACCAAGAAAGACAAGAAAGACCAAUAAACCCUGUUGUAAACCAAGAACUACUAAGAAAUCAACCUAUUCACAUCCACAAUAAUCGAUUGUAUGGAAACAACGUACUUGGAAAUUUCUUAAACGAUUCUGACUCUUUCGAUGAAGACAACUUGCUGAACAUUCAUCAAGAACCUCAACAAAGGUUUGGACUUCGACCAUACUUUCAAGAAGAUCAAGAAAUACGUAUGAAAGUGGAUCUCCCUACCUUCAAUGGUCGAAUGGACGUGGAGAAGUUUCUUGAUUGGAUCAAGAACGUAGAAAUUUUUUUCGACUAUGCCAAUACACCCGAACACAAGAAGGUUCGAUUAGUUGCUCUCAAACUUCAAGGUGGCGCAAGCACUUGGUGGGAUCAAUUACAAAACAAUAGACGAUUAUUCGGUAAACAAUCUAAAGAUUAGCUGAAUAUCUUAUAAAAAGAUGUUGCCGUAGGCUUAGUGGUGACAGGUGAGAAAGUAAGCUGUAUCUUUUAUGACUCUUAAACGUUGAAGUCAAUCAAUGAGUUCCAAAUGCAAUAUUGGAAGUUUUCUUAAAUAUUUUGAUGCUUUUGCAUGUUGUGAAAGAACUUGGUUAGAUGUGAGAAAGGGGUUUAUGAGAUUAGUUACUUACUAUUCCCUUUUUCACUGUCAUUGCUACUCCGUAGACAUGCUAUGGGCUCGUGUUUCUGUAGAAUAUAAUUCAGAUGCUCUUUCUCUAGAAUAUAAUUUAUGUGCUUUCUCUACAAAUUUGAAGUAAUUUCUACUGCUUUUGCUAAUAUUCUCUAAAGCUUAUUCAAAAUGUAGUUGUUUAAUGAUUGUUCAGAUUUAAAAUAUAUUAUAGAGUUAAAUUUAACACAGUUAAUCAGCUUAAGCAUUUGACUCUGGUGUUCUUAAGAUAUAAAUUCAAAUCCCUAUAAUUUUAUCAUGUUGAUCUUUUCAAUCUUCUCACAUACCGUCUUCAUUUCAUAAUCUUGCCUACUAGCUGUGUAUCAUCAAUGAAAUUACCAUAGGAGUCCACAUGUGGUAAUUAUGGAUCUAGCACGAUAUACUGCGUAUCAUGUUGUUGGAGAUCAGUUUAAAUGAUUAACCAGUCUAUUGGUGGUUUGAGUCUUUUCUUUUGAAUCUAUAGGUUGUUCAAUGGUCUAAUAUUAACUGUGUUUAGAUUUAUGGUAAUUUUCAUAAGCCUUAAGAAAAGGUGUGCUUUGAUAAUCUUUUCUUUCUCUUCAGCAUGUUGGUAAUGUAGAAAGAUUACAUGUAUACUAUGCCCAUGGACUAGAUAGCCCAACCUUUGUUCGCGGUGUUAUUGGCUCCUAGAUAAGUAUGUUAUGGUUGAAAGAAAAUUGUUAAAUUGCUUGCUACCAGUUGUUUCAGUGGGGUAUAUCCCCAUCAUGCUACAAGCAAAGAAAAAUGAAAUUAGACAGUGGCAGUAUAUCGUGUUCUACUUAUAUAAUUUAUGACUUUCUUCUGCUUUUUGUUCAGGACCUUUGAACACAUUGUCCUUGUUCAUUACCGUGAAACACAAGAGGUUAGGUUCAACACAAUGCAUCUGCAGUUACUAAAAUAUUAUCUUGAGACAAACUUUUAUCAUUUGGACUACUACAUCUAUUUAAGAUUUGCUGAUUUUUCCUCCAUGGUUGCAAUAUUAGAACUUCAUCCAAAAUAAUGUUGUCAUGUGUGUCUUUAAAUUUUUACUGGCAGUCUGGCACCAUAUAGAUCUAGUAGUUGUGCAUGCAUGUCUUCCUCUCUAUCCUCCAUUGAAAAACUCGAUAAUUAUCUAUUUGUGUUUUAUUUUGAUGAUUUAAUCCAACAUUUAUUAUGGAUAAAGUCAGCCAUAAAAUACAUAUGUUUACUACUGCUCUUUGUACAUUUUAAAUACUAGAUUUCUUGAUGAUUGUUGUCUUUAAGUUGCUCUUAAUGUUGUUGCAUAUCGAGAAAUGCACUGUAAUUUCUGUACCAAUUUUAUCACUGCUUUUAACUAAAUCUUCAAAAAUCAAGGCACCACCUGGAUGUAGAGUGCUAUAUGGUGAUUCAAGUGUUGAGAGUUCUCUUUCUUCUGCUAUCCAUAAAUUUAUGGAAUGGAAAGGCAAUGAUCAUGACACUAUUUUUUGUCAGAUAAACACAGGUUUCAUAUGCUUCAACUCUGUGGUGCUUCACAGCACACGGAUAAAACUUCCAAACAUUCUGCACCCAAUAUUACCAUAAUGCAUUUGGACACUUCAUUAACAACUUCUUACAAUUAGCCUUUCUAUAUUGAAAAUAAUUCGUUGUCUUAACUUCAUGUUGCUGCUAGUUUCAAAAUUUUGCAUCCACAUCGUUGAACUCAAAUUCUGGUUCUGUCUCUAACCCAUCAACUCCGUGGCUUUUAUCGAGGAACUUGAUUCCAAGGCUACUCAUGUUUAUUCUCUUGGUGAAAAUGAAUUGUUAGGUGAUACUGGCCGAACCUGUCAAAAAUAAAUGAGUCAUAGUUUGUUUGAUCAUUCAUUUUCUAAUCUUUCUUCUUUAUAUUUAAUUAGUUGUUUAAUUUCUUAAAAAAGAAUUCUGGUUUAUUUAUAGUAUAUUUGGUAGUAUGCAUGCCUCAGCUCCUUUAAUGCAUGUCUCUUACAGUAUAUUUGGUAGUCUUUUAUAAUGUUACACCCUUUUUUUUAAUUCCUAAAACCUUUUAACUUUCCAAAUUUUCAUUCAUUCUUUUAGAAAAUUAUUUUCAUUAUUUUUUUUGGUUACAAAACCAUCCAUUAACUACAUUAAUUAGACAAUUCACUCCAAUAAUAAAUAAAUAACUUUUUUGGAUCUAAGGUCUUUUCUCAUUCUACAAAUUUAAUUUACUAUAUAAAGGUUAUUAUGCUAAUUGAAAAAUAUAUUUCUCUCAAGUAUGCAAUGACAGAAAAUUAGGUUAUAAAUAUAAAAAAAUAUAUAUUUUUAGGUAUUAUAAUUUUUUUAAAAAAAUUAUAUUUUAAAUUUUUAAUAAAACCUUGCAUUUGGGGAUUCACAUGUUGUUACUUGUCGAACCAAAAAAGAUAAAUUCGUGGUGAAAACUCUUUAAAAGCCCAAUUCGUGGAAGGAAAAAUUGAAGUGUGGCGUUGAGUUAUUUUGUUGUUGAAGAAGAUCAGUAAAAAACCCACAGCAUUAAAACUUCUUUUUGUUUCUUUAAGUAUAUUUUAGAUUGCAACGUAUUUUCUAUUUGGGUUUAGUUAGGGUUUCUCUUGUUUAUUCCAAGAUAUGCAUGGAUAGUUCAUGUUCGACUAUUUGGAAAGAGGGAUUUAUGUAGCACGGGUAUUAUAUUCUGGUUUUGGAAGUGUCGAGAUAAAUUAAGGACUUUUUUAAUCUUCUUCAAACAAACCUAUACGAAGGCGAAGAAUAAUUUGUGCUUGUAUUUUAGUCGGAAUAAGAAGAAACAUGAAGAGAAUGCCCACGAGGAAAAUGACCAUGAGAAAAAGUUGUGUAUUCCUCCAUCCAUAACUGAGCUCUCUAAUGUGUAUUCCUCCCUCCAUAACUGGCUUACUUUGGACUGUUUGGAUAGAAAGAAGAAUCCUUCGAAGCCCUAGACUUGUCUCUACCGCAUUCGAAAAUGCCAAGUUCUCUCUGAGGAUCUCUAACUUCUGCCGUGUUCACCGUCCGUCCGUCCGCGUUCACCACGUCCGAGUUUAUCUAAUAUAUUUUUCCAAAUCUUAAAGAAGAACUUUUGAUUUCAUUGGAGUUUAUCAUUAGAGGCAUUACUAUAUUGGCUGCCUCUCAGUGGGCGAUAGGUUUUCCAAUGGUCAUUUGAGACUGGUUGAUAAUAGCAAAAGUUAGAGCUUGAGAAGAAGGAGCGAAGAAAGUAGUGAAGACAAAAAAGAAAGAAAGCUGAGUGAAAAACGAAAAUUGACAAGGUAGAGAUGUGACAUGAAAAUGAUGAUGAGAAGUGAAGGAGGCACGACACAAUACUGGUACACAAUAACAAAGCCUUGAUAAUUAAAAAAAGGAUGGUGCCAAGAAAAUUUAAAUACAAAAAAAAUGAAGGUUCUUGCAAGUGUAUUGAGUGAAUGGGAGAAAGAAAGGAUAAAAAAGGUAGAAAGAGAGAAAGAGAAGUCAAGGGUAGAGAUACAUAGCUUUGUAUAUAGAAACUUUAUGUUUAUACUCCAUUAUACGUUGUGGAGAAUAUAACAUCCUGAUAUGUUUGAUUCAAUUUGAAUGAUGCAAUUAUUUAUUUUUCUGCAAUAAUUUCUACUACUUAAGAACCUAAAUUUUGAAAGCCUACUAAUUUUUCAGAAUUAAUUCGAGACCCCACUUUUGCUCCCCUUCCUACCUACGGUUACUUUUUGCUUAAACUUUAAAAGUUGUUUGAAAAUUUUUGCUGAAACUUGUAAAAUUUGUUUGAAGUUCGUAUAUCUCUCACAUAUUGCAAGGUUUCUUAAUUAUUUUAUUGAAUUUCCUACAUAAAUGCAUUCAAACAUGAGUUGACAUAAAUGCAUUUUGCUAUCAAGAGAGUAUACCAUACAUGCAUGUGUAGGACUUUUAUCCCUUAUAUUUUAUAAUUUGUCUUACUACUGUUAUUGACUGAUAUACCAAUAUACAUGUGUAAAGUAUUGAUCAUAUAAUUAAUAUUAAAUUUAUUACAUUCACUCAUCAAUUUAAGUUUUUUAGUCAAUGUAUGUUCAUGAUGUACCAUGGUCAUAUCAUAAUAGAAUAGAUCCAAGAUUAUAUAUGUUCAAACCAACUGGUGAUUUAAUUAUCAAAGAUAUUAUGAUUUUGUCCAGUUUUUUUUCAGUCACUACUAGAAAAAUGGAUUUUAAUCAAGACAUUGUGUCGUUGAAAAUAAAAGAAAAAAGAGGUGGGAUGAGGUACAUUGUGUUGUUGAAAAUAAAAAUAUGGAUUAUUUCUUAAAACAAUCAUAUUGACACAAUUUAAUUUAUUUCAAAACAAUUUUUGCGUCAUUAAUUAACAAUUUUUUUGUCAUUAAAAAAUUUUCAAAUGAAAAAACCUCAAAUUUCAAAAAAGUUCGAAGUGGGCUACCGAGUCGUUAUGAAGAACCCUUGCCCUCCAAUUUUUUGCCACUUGCCGUCGUCGAUUCCACACUCCAACCACUGUUGUCGUUGCUCCCACAACAAGCCUUCGCCGUCAAACCCACCAAUCUAGCCACUUUCGUCGAAUAAAUUUAUUUAGAAAUAUAAGUUUUAAUGACACUUGAAAUCAAGAAAAAGGGAUAUGAGGGAAUAAAAUGUGUCGUUAAAAAUAAAAAUACAAAAUUUUUUGUGACACAAAUUGGUUUUCUUGACAAAAUUUUCGCAUUGUAAAUAAUGGCAUAAAUUAUGUGUCAUUAAAAAUUACCCUAAUAAAAAAUCAAUGUUUUCCUUCAAUCAUAUGCUUUUUGAUUUAAAACAAAUAAUUCGAAGCUUUCAUCCCACUUGUGAACAAUGACCGAAAAAAACCUUACUUCAUCCCACAUCGUCACUGUCUUUAGCUCUCUCGCAAAUGCUCUCUGGCGACGUUCCCCCUCUCUCGCAAAUACUCUUCACGACUUUUUCUCUCUCUCAAAAUUAAGCUCUUCGCCCACCGUUUGAAGGAACUCACCAAAUUUGCAAGUAAUUGAAGAAUUUGUGGUCCAUGAGAUCGAUUAAGUCCAUUUAUGAGUUAGUUUGAUUAGAUUAUGUCACAUAUACAUGUAUUACAAUUAAGGGACACUUGCGAAAAUGGCAAAAUAAGUUAUAAUAAUUAAGUCCAUAGAACACAUACUUUAUUAUUUGAGAAAGUGACAAAAACAAAGACCAACUGUAACGACCCAACUUUUCUAGGUAAGUCGAGGUCGUUAAUUUUUGACAAAAGACUUUGGUUGAUACAAAAUGAAAUGUAAGCCAAUUGAAAAACAACUUUAAGUCAGGCCUGAUUUUCAAAUAUUCCAAAAACUUAAAAAAAGUACUAUUUACAAAUAAAAGUUUGUAAGCUAAGUUUCAAUACAACGUCUUAAACCUAAAACAAACAAUAAGCGGAAGCAAAAUAACACAUUUCCUAUGGCAAUCACACUUCCUUCCUGCCCCUCGCCGGUUUGCCGCCUUUAUUACCUUUGCCUGAAAAUUAAACAUAAGAAGGGUGAGUAUAAAAAUACCCAGUAAGAGACCCUCUACUGGUCCCGUCAGGGGAAAAAUAAAUUGUUAACAUUCUAUUGGGACACCCUGUACAGUCGCAGUCUUGUGAUCCCGUAGGAUGCACAUUUCAGUCUAACGCCCGAGGACGUACAUUUCAGUGUAGUGUUCUGCAGAAACACAUAUCAGUCUAAUGCUCCCGAAGGUGCAGAAUAAUUGGUGAUCCCGUGGGACACCUACAAGGCACACAUCCCAAUAAAAGCUAACAAUUUUUCCCCUCAAUCCAUUCGUACCAUCUUUCAGUUACUUCAAAAUAUAAAGUUCUUUCACUCAACGUUCUAACAGUCAACUUAUCUCACUUUAGCCCAAUGUCUGUCAGUAACAUACUAAUACGUCAGUCAAUCAAACUAUAUAGUCAUAACGCCUCUCAGUUCACCAGCACACAGUCAUACUUUAGUAUAACGUACACCCAGUCUAAACGACAAUCACAAGUUCACAUCCGCAUCUCAUACAAACACAAUCUACAAUUGUCGUCCUGUCUACAUCCACACACAUAUAUAUAUAUUCCAAGACAAUCACAAUAUGCAUUCAACAUCAAGUCUACUUCAAUCCAUGUGUAUAUAUAUAUUUUCAGUCAUCCACAGUAUACAUUCAACACCGAACCUACAUCCAUACGUAUAUAUAUAUUGUCUCAACACAUUUACUCAAUCAGAGGUGACUAACAUUACAAUUCAAAAGCAUAGGUGAGUCCAGU
rnacentral:lncRNA from 1 species